AUUUCAUUGGAGAGGAUGCUGUCAUGGAUGGAUAAUGACACUUAUGUUGGUUAACCCAACCUACACGCGAGAUUUUUUCGCAUGUGUGUUGGGAACUUUUAAUUGGCCAUUCCCUUGUUCUUGCACACUGUACCUUGAAACUAUGUGAAUUACUGUAGUCUAGUUAGAAGUACAGUCGUGUCGGGGCUUCUAUUUUACUCUAGCUUUUUAAUAAGUCUGUUGUCUUUUGAGAACAAAAUGAUGUUCGGUUAUGUUAUUUCUGAUGUAACCAUUAAUUAUUGUUCUAUGUACUAUCGAUGUGGUGUUGCAUCUUUUCCUGAGAAAACAUUUCAAGGUAAAAACAUGUGCCCCUAUCUAUGACAUGGUCUUUAGGACCAAUUUAUCAGACACACCUUAGGGCGAAUUCAUACAUUAUAUCUAUUAUAUAAAAAAUUUCUUGAUGGGAUAACCAAAAAAGAGAAAUAUUCUAGAAAAAUUGCACAAAAAUUGGAAAUAUCCGACCGUUAAUUUAAUAGACUAAAAUUAUACAGCCAUUAGAUUUGAUUUAAGUGACUAAAAUUAUACAGCCAUUAGAUUCGAUUUAAGUGACAAAAUUACCCAACAUGCCAUUAUGAUGAUGAGAUCCUCCUUCACCCCAUGACGUCAUCAUCAUUAGACUUGAUUUAAGUGAAAACAAUUACCCACCAUGCCAUUAUGAUAGAUAACGUGGUCUCUCCUCCCCUAUUGCCUUCCCCCUUUUGAGAUUGAUGAGAAAAAGAUCAGAUCCUAGGUUAAAAAAAGAGAAGAUAUCGACCUUCACCGUCGAACAUGAUAAUCGUUUUUUUCCCACACAUCGAUUGUUCCAUCUCCUUCCAAUCUAGCAGCGGGAAAAAAGAGAUGAGACACUCCUUCAUCCCGUUGUGUGGCCAUCAAUUUUCUUUCGUGCCAUCAACUAGUUCUUCUCCUUCCAAUAUAGAUUUGGUGGAUGGUGCUUGAUCGAUCAAAAACUAAUCAAACGACCAUGCCUGGGAAACUUCAUACGACUUAUAAAGUAAGGAAAUACCAAAGCACUACAAUGUUUUUAAUCCAUGCUAUUAAAGCCUUUGUUUGGUAUAAUUGAGUCAUCUUUUUUCAUCCAUGUGAUGUUAGGGGAAAGUCCAGAAUUGUUCCGGAUAGUGGCGGAUAUUUAUGUCUGGCCGAAUGGAGCCAAAUUUGGUGGUUCCAGUGGCCGACAUGGCGGCUCUUGGUUGCACCUGGCCGGACAGAGCUGAACACGGGCGUUCAUGUGGGGGACUUGGUGGCUGCCAUAGUGGCUGAUGUUACGACAGCAUCAACCUGCAGAUGAAAGCUGAUGCCGACAUGUGAUCUACUACUGCCAUGCAAAAAAAGUUGUGGAACUUGAGAUAAGGUGGAGAACCUGAUAACUAAUUACUACAACAAAGCACAAAGAGAAGAGGAUGGAGCAAUUGAUGCAAGCUCAGAACAACAAUUAGCGAUUGAGAAGAGGAUGGAUUAAUUAAUACAACCAUGAGAAGAGGGCGUCUAGGUGCACAGUCAGAGAGGACUCAUUUUCCAUGGGGAGCACAGUCGAAGUAUUACACAAGCUUCCAUUGGGAGCAUUCAUUUUCCUGCCAUACAUUAUUUUGCUCUCUUUAUAGGAAGAUGCAUUAAUAGUAAACAUGAUCAUAGCCACCUUUGUGCAUCAGAUCUUAGUGUCCUCAAGUGUGUUGUGUUGUGUGAUAAACGAUAUAACUUGGGGGCUAUUUUUGCGAGGAGGUUACGUCUUAAUGCUCUAGAUGGAGAUUCAUUUGGUGCGAUUUAUGCAACCCGUUUAGCUACCUAUCUUCGAGUACCCAUAAGGGGGAACGAUAUUGAGUUACCACCUGCUUUUCUUGAUUAUAAUGCUUUGGUUCGCUAUCAGUUUCUUGUGAGGUACGAGCAGUCCCUCCUAUACCGACUAAUCUUUCACCGGCGGCAUGCUCGCCAUAUUACUCUUCCCGCUCCUGCCUUAUUUAACUUUCAGGUAAAAGGGAGAUAUUUUAUAAUUAGAGAGGAGGCGAACGAGUACGAGAGAGAGGCGGAGACCGCUCGCCUCCACACUGUAGCACUUCAGGCAGUAGCUGCCGCAUCCCAGUACAACCCCGACUACAAUUUUGGAUAUCCGCCAGGCCAGCCAUGGCCCUAGACCAACUUAGGCCAAAAGCCUAAGCUUGGGGGAGUAUGUAUUUCUCACCAACAUUACAUUCAUGUUCACACACUCAUUUCAGUUGUCAGUGUUCAUACAUUUUCAUUGUAUUAUCCAUGCUAGUUUAUUUUCCUUUUUCCUACUUUCUUCUUGUGUGUUUGAAAAACCUUAAGAAAAACCAAAAAAAUUAGUUGUAGCUUAUUUCCUUUGCAUGUUUGUUUAGUAGUAUUAUUAAAGAAAACCCAAAAAGAUUUCUCGUUCUUAUUUUGCUUGUUGGGAGCUUUCCCAUGUAAAUAGUUUUUCUCGUUCUUGUUUUACUUUCUUCAAAAAACAAAAACUCCAAAAACAUUUCAGUGUGUUUCUUUGAAAUUCUUUUCUUUUCUUUGGGGGUCGAGAGGAGAAGACCACGAUGAAAAUGUUGAGUGGCUCUCAUAUGCAUUAUUGUUGAUCUAACAAAGAGUCCAUAUUACCUUGUAUUCUCCUUUGAAUAAAUGUUUGCAGAGUCCAGCUUAGUCCAAUGCACGUGCACUAUUAUUAUUAUUCACACCGUUCGUUCGUGCAAGUGAAAGGCCAUAAUGACGAUAUAUGAUGAAAUGAUUGAGAUGAGGAAAAGCAGGUAUGAACUCGACCUAUCUUGUUUUUGUAAAUAUGAUUAGUUCAUCGUUCUUGAUUCAUAAUAUUAUGAAUGAGACAUGUUUGCAAUGACAAUUAUAGAUUAUAGUGAUUCAUGCCAUGCGUAAUUAGCUAUGAGUUUAUAAUGGUUUACCUUGCGUGCCAACAUGCUUUUAAAAUGGUUGUGAUGUAGCAUGAUAAGAUGAUAUCCUCCUUUGAAUGAUUCGAGUGGCUUGACUUGGCACAUGUUCACGCAUGUUGUUGAAACAAAAUCAACAUAGCCUCCACGAUAUUUAUGUUCAUGGUGAUUUAUAUCCUACUCAUGCUUGCACUCAAUGUUGGUUAAUCUCAAUGCAUGUUUAUGACUGUUGUCGCUCUCUAGUUGGUCGCUCCUCAAUCUCUUGCUAGCCUUCACUUGUACUAAGCGGGGAUACUGCUUGUGCAUCCACUUCCAUAAACCCAAAGUUGUUCCAUAUGAGUCCACCAUAUGAGUUCCAUCACCAAAGCUGUACAACCUCCCCCCAUGGAAGUGCAUGAAGACAAAGUACAUACACAUGAGCAUGCUGAUUCAAGGGCAAAAACAACCGGGAAAUAAUAUUAACCCGUAUAUGGGGCUUCUGAAAGAGGAGGUAGACACGUUAUGGAAAACACUGGCAUGGACAUGGGACGCCAACAAAGCAGAGUAUUUUUAUAUGCGAGUCGCGCUGAUGACGACGGUGCACGACUAUCUCGGUUACGGGUACACCUCAGACCAGGUGUGCCAUGGAUACUGCGGAUGCAUGAGGUGCAUGGAUGAUACAACGUCUCAGUAGCUUACGUCAACGAAAGAUGGCGGGCCUGGGAAAAUUGUGUACAUGGGGCAUCAUAGAUGGCUCGAGAAGGAUGACCCAUGGAGAAAACAUGGAGAUCUAUUCAAAGGUUUGGCUGAGCAUCGAGGACGUCCACGUAAGAGGAGCGGCGCCGAAGUCAAGGGCUGUUGAAAAACUUGGAACAGUGCCCCGCAUCGGGAAAGAUGAAAAAGGCACCGAAGCCGCUGCUGAAGGUAUGGAAAACGAGGUCUGUUUUCUGGGACUUCGAGUAGUAGCCCAAUCACGACCGGCUCAUUGCCUUGAUCAAAGGCAUAUCAUGAAGAAUGUCCUCAAGAGCUUGCUUGGCACACUGAUGAACAUGCCAGAGAAGACCAAGGAUGGCCCGAAGGCAAGGACAGACUUGGAAGAUUUGGAGACCAGUAGAGAUCUUCACAUGCAGCCCCGUAAAAAGUCGACGGAGGAGAUGGAGACGGAGACGGAGGUGGUGGAAAGGGGCAGAAAAGUCAACAAAAGGAGGAGAAUUAUUGCCCCCCUUCUUGCUUCACCUUAAGUGCAAAGGAGAGAUCGAUCAAUUCAUCAAGUGCCUUAUAGGAAUCAAAGUCAGUUCCGGUUACUGCGGAAAGAUAAGCAGAUUUCUAGACACCAAGAAGAAAAGCUUCUGCGGGAUGAAGUCUCAUGACUGUCACGUGAUGAUGACGCAGAUAGUCCCGGUUUCCAUUAGAGGGAUAAUUGAGAAGCACGUCCGUGACACGCUUACUGGUCUCUGCAACUUCUGCGACGUUAUCUCUCGAAAGUCCAUCAGUGUGAAGUAGCUUCGAAGGCUACAGAAAGAGAUCGUUGCAAUCCUAUGUGAUCUUGAGAUCUACUUCCUUCCCACGUUCUUUUACAUCAUGGUGCAUCUGUGUGUCCACAUCGUGGACGACAUCAUCGACCUCAGGCCGACAUUCCUUCACAACAUGAUGUCGUUCGAGAGGAUGAAUGGGGUCAUCAAAGGAUUCGUUUGCAACAUGUCCCAUCCCGAUGGGAGCAUCGUCCAGGGGUAUCUGACGCCAGAGUGCAUCCCCUUUUGUGAGAAUUAUAUAGGCAUCGAAGACCCUCUUGUUGGUUUGCCCGUCAAGAAGCACCAUGGGAGGCUCGGAGGAGAAGGUCACAACAACGGCCGGAGGGAAUUGCACAGGGACUACUUGGAUCGACGGAACGACUUUGACAGGGCUAACUUAGUAGUGCCACAACACCUAGAUGUGGUAGAUGAUUAUGUGACACUGCAGAAAGAAACCAUCGCAAAGAAGUACUGUGAUAAGGGGAUGCGCUAAACGGAUGACGAAAACUGUAGAGCACAACGCCACUUUCUUGCGUUGGUUAAAAGAGCAAGUUCUUUCUAAUCCCCCAAAAGAGGGCGGCUUGGAAGUAUUGCUCAUAUACGCCUUAGCACAUGUCCCCACGCCCAAACUCGCGACCUAUCAGACAUACGAUAUCAAUGGGUACACGUUCUACAUGGAGGCCAAUGACAUGGACAGUGAUUACCAGAACUAUAGGGUGACGAUUGAAUGCGGACCGACGCAAACGGCACAACUAAAAGAUUCUAUGGAAGGGUCGAAGAGAUCUGGGAGCUUGACUAUGCUGGAAUGCAUGAGGUGACGUAUGUUCCAUGUCAGAUGGGCUAAGGUCGUCGUAAGAGAAGACAAGUAUUUCACUACCAUGUCUAUACCCGACGCGAAGAGCGCUACCGUGAACGUUAACGUCAUCGCCAAAACUGAGCCAUGGGUACAAGCUAAGCACGUGACACAAUGCUUCUUCCUAACCAACCCGACCAAUCCUAGUCGUGUUGUCGUGAGGAGAAGCAAAAGGAGCAUCGUCAGUGAAAGUGCAACUAUCCCUGGGUGGUUUUGGUAAUUACUAACAACAUAUAUCGCAUUGAACUAAUUCUAUUUCAAGAUGAUCAUUUCAGAAGGUUCAAUGAUUGGCAUGGCAAGGAUUAAGAAUGUGGACCCCUCAAAAUGCCAAGGACACAUAUUGGCUCAAGCUCAAGAUUCUACAUUUUAUUUUUACUGAUCCAAGAUCACAUAGAGUCCAUAGGAAAAUCCAAUACUAUUAAAAGGAGAUGAGGUGUUGCUUAAUUGCUUGCUUGCUCAAAAUCCUUAGUGAUAUGAUCCAAAAGCCCCCAACCACAUUAUCAUAUCCACAUAUGUCCCAAACCAAAAGACAAACUCGGCCCCACCAAAAUGCUCUAUCCGGCGCCACCGAGUUCAUUUGACAUAGCCACUGCCAGAAACCCUAGUCACUUCGGUCUCACCGAUAGGGAUCUCGGUCUCACUGAGAUGGGAUUGCAAACUCUCUGUUUCCCUUCGUAACGUUUCGGUCUAACCGAGAUGAGCGAUCGGUCCCACCGAGUUUGCAAUGCAAACUCUCUGUUUCCCCUCCGUAACAUUUCGGUCUCACCGAAAGAGCGAAUCGGUCCCACCGAGUUUGCCUGACAAACUCUCUUAUUAGCUUAUUACCAAAGUCGGUCUCACCGAGUUUGUGUAAUCGGCCUCACCGAGAUUACGUUAUGCCCUAACCCUAAUGAAAUCGGUCCCACUGAGUUGACAUGUCGGUCCCACCGAAAAGCCAAACGUUCACAUUUUGAACAGAAUCGGUCUGACCUAGUUUUCUGAUUCGGUCCCACCGAGUUUGGUGAAUUGUGUGUAAUGAUUAGAUUUUGUGUGGAGGCUAUAUAUAACCCUCCACCCACUCUUCAUUUGUGGAGAGAGCCAUCAGAACAUGCCUACACUUCCAGCAUAUAUUUUCUGAGAGAGAACCACCUACUCAUGUGUUGAGGUCAAGAUAUUCCAUUCCGACCACAUAAAUCUUGAUCUCUAGCCUUCUCGAAGUUGCUUCCACUCAAAUCAUCUUUCCACCAAAUCCAAAUAUGUGAGAGAGAGUUGAGUGUUGGGGAGACUAUCAUUUGAAGCACAAGAGCAAGGAGUUCAUCAUCAACACACCAUCUAUUACCUUUUGGAGAGUGGUGUCUCCUAGAUUGGUUAGGUGUCACUUGGGAGCAUCCGUCAAGAUUGUGGAGUUGAACCAAGGAGUUUGUACGGGCAAGGAGAUCGCCUAUUCGUGAAGAUCUAUCCUAGUGAGGCAAGUCCUUCGUGGGCGAUGGACAUGGUGCGAUAGACAAGGUUGCUUCUUCCUGGACCCUUCGUGGGUGGAGCCCUCCGUGGACUCGCGCAACCGUUACCCUUCGUGGGUUGAAGUCUCCAUCAACGUGGAUGUACGAUAGCACCACCUAUCGGAACCACGCCAAAAAUCUCUCUGUCUACAUUGCGUUUACUCCCUCCAAACUCCUCCGUUUACCUUCAUGUGCAAUGUUUUACAUUUCGCUGCUAUACUCUUAGACUUGCAUGUGUAGGUUGAUUGCUUGACUUGUUCUAAGUUGCUAAAAUCUGCCAAGACUUAAAUUUGGGAAAAGGCUAGAUUUUUAUUUGGUCAAGUAGUCUAAUCACCCUCCCUCUAGACAUACUUUCGAUCCUACAAGUGGUAUCAGGGCCUUGGUAUCCAUUUUCCUUGAUUUCCAUAGCUUUUGGUGAUCAUAGCCUUGGUUUCACAACCAAGGAGAGUAUGGCAUCUAGCGAGGGAAAUUACCACCAUAGAGGUCCUUACUUUGAUGGUACUAAUUUUGCUAGUUGGAAGCAUCAGAUGAAAAUACAUAUUCUUGGACACAACCCCGCCGUUUGGGCUACUGUGUGUAUUGGUUUGCAAGGUGAAUUCUUUGAUGGGACAGAACCAAACCGUGAAGCUACCGCAGAAGAGUUGAAGAUGCUGCAAUACAACGCUCAAGCUUGCGAUAUCCUCUUCAACGGAUUGUGCCCCGAAGAAUUCAACAAAAUCAGCCAUCUUGAGAAUGCAAAGGAUAUUUGAGAUACUUUGAUUGAUAUGCAUGAGGGUACCGACUCUGUCAAGGAAUCCAAAUUGGAUGUGCUUCAAAGUCAACUUGACAAGUUCAAAAUGAAGGAUGGUGAAGGUGUCGCUGAAAUGUACUCUAGGCUUGCUCUCAUCACAAAUGAGAUUGCCGGCUUAGGAAGUGAAGAGAUGAUCGAUAGAUUCAUCAUCAAGAAGAUCCUAAGAGCCUUGGAUGGAAAACAUGAUACCGUCUGCGCAUUGAUCCAAAUGAUGCCCAAUUACAAAGACCUUAAGCCUACGAAAGUCAUUGGAAGAAUUGUUGCUCAUGAGAUGUCACUCAAGGAUAAGGAAGAGCUUCACAACAAGUCAAGUGGUGCUUACAAAGCCUCAUGUGAUGCUCCUACAUUGUCAAGUGAGAAACAAACCUUCAAUGAGGAGUUGAGCCUAAUGGUGAAGAACUUCAACAAGUUCUACAAGAGUAGAAGCAAGGAAAGAAGUGCCAAGUCAAGGUCCUACAAUGACAAAAGAUCUUCUAGUCGUGAGUGUCAUUGCUACAAUUGUGGAAGACCCGGACAUUACUCUAAUGAGUGUACGGCUCCCUACAAAAGAAUAGAAGAUUCACCCAAAAGAAGAAGUAGAAGAGAAGAAUCACUACCAAGAGAGAGAAGGAGUAGAGAUGAUCGUUAUGAACGAAGAACCUCUCGGAGAAGCAAGGAUUUGGAAUGGAAGGACAACUCAUCAAAGAGCUAAACAAAACGAAGACAUCAAGCUCAUGUUGGUGAAUGGAUAUCCGGCUCCGACUCCGACCAUCACUCCGAAAGAAGUUAUCACUCCGACUCCGAAUAUACUGAAGAUGAAGGUGUUGCCGGUCUAGCACUUGUGUCAACAGACUCCUACGACAUAUUUGACUCACCAAAUGAAGGAAUUGGAAGAUGCUUCAUGGCUAAAGGCCCAAAGGUAUCACACCCCGAGUAUGUUGAUUUCAAUAGUGAUGUAGAUGAUUUUCUAGGUGAUGAUGAUUUACUUGUUGACAACUCUAGUGAUGAAAACUAUGAUGAGCUCGCUAUUAAUCAUGUUAAUCAAGAUAAAACGAAUGAUGAUGAUAAGAAGGAGAUUGAGAGCCUAACUAAAGAAUUAAACACUCUUAAGUUAGCUCAUGAAACUACCUUAGAAGAUCAUCGAGAACUUUUAAAGACUCAUGAGAAGCUACGCUUUGAAAAGCUCAAUCUUGAGCAAGAGCAUGGGUUCUUAAAAGCGAUCAAUGACGAUCUUCGCAAGAAAAGUUCUUCUUACAUUGCCAAGUGUUUACUCUUGUUUACUUACAUGCCACAAGUUAAAUCUAGCAACAACAGUAAGAAAGAUUCUUCAUCUAGUAGUAACAAUAAUCAUGCUAAAUCCAAUGUUGUUGCUUCUAGUAGUUCUCUUGAUUCCACUAAUGAUGCUCUUAGUCAAGUUACACUUGAGAAAGAAAAUAGCUUAUUGAAGGGAAUUAUAGAGAAAGGUAUUUACAAGAGCCUUGCCGGAAGUAAGCAAUUUGAGGAAAUUGUACGCAAGCAAGGAAGACACCGGAAGAAUCAAGGUGUUGGUUUUGAACGAAAGUUCAAUGCCAAUGUAGUUGAAUGGGAAGAAGAUCAAUACCCCAAGACGAAGUUUGUUCCUCAACAAGAGAAGUAUGAUCCUACUUCUUUCCAAGGAACACAAGCUCAAGAUAAUCUUCCACCACAAUACCAGAAGCAAAAAGGCAAAGACAAGCUUCAAGAGGAGAUUGAUGCAUUUGAAGAAGCUCCCAAGGACUUGGUCAAGUGGGUUCCCAAGACUACAUCAAGUUCUACUACAUCAAGUACGACUACAACUCCAAGAAUUCCCAUCAAGACGGUGUCGAUCCUGAAGAAGAAGAACUAGAGAGUUCUUGAGGGUGACUCCGCCAACAAACUUCACUCAUAUCUUUUGGCAAGGACAUGUGCAAACAACUUUCACAUCUUGCACUAGUUCAAGGAGUCACAAACCCUCUUGUUGGUAAGACAAGGGACAAGGUAACCUAAUGCUUUCAUGGACAUCAUCUUAUGUGAACAUCACUCUAUGUCUAUGGAUAUACUUGUUUGUUCCUUGUGGGACUAACCCGUGUAGGUAUUGAAAGUGCAACUAACUCCAAUGGAUUGCUCCGAACGAUCUACAUCAACGUUGAGCAUCCACAUCUUCAACACCUACAUGAAGUCAUCAUCGACAAAACCCAAGGUUAGUUCAUCCCUCUUAGGAGGGAUAUCACAUCUAGGGAGAGCUUUAGUCUAAUCAAUUGAGCUAAAGCAACUCUAAUGGUGUGAACACAACAAUGCUUUAUGUAAAAGUGGCAACCCCACUUGUGCUUAAACGACGAGUCUGACCUAUGAUCAAAUGUUCUCAUUUGACUCCUAAGUCAAUAUACUCAUAUAUAGAUGACCUAGUCAUCGCCAAUUGCUUGAUGGAUGCUAGAGUGUUUGUGCAUACUUUGUCACAAAUUCCAUUUGCCAUUUUAUUGUGUGAGCAUGUUGAUUGCAUAUUUUACUCAUUCGAGGACAUCCAUUUGUUGCUUUGAUUGUUUGGCUUUUUCUCUUUUGACAAAUAGAUGGACAAGAAUGCCUAAGAACUCCCUCUAGCGAUCUAUGCUUUUCGCGUCUCAAACUCUAUUCAUGCUACAUCACAAAGUUUGAUCAAGUCAGAUUCGAACCACUCUGUUUGAGGAGCACUCGGAGUCCCCGAUUCGUCAUAGACUUAAACUUCCAAAACCUCUCUGGGCAUUUCGGACUGACCGAUCCAUCCACUUCGGUCACACCGAGUUCACUGAGUUGAUCUAGGUUUUCAAUCUUGGUGCAACCAGUUUGAACUUUUCGGUCACACCGAGUUGCAGUAACCGCUUGCGAUUCUGCAUCUUGGUGCCACCGAGUUGUUCCACUCGGUCACACCAACAGGGUCGGGAUAUAUAUACCCACGGGUGAUUUUGGAAAUUUAUUCAAAACCCCUCAGCCCGCGCGUAUCCUGCUCUGCCGUCUCGGGUCUUCGGAUCGUCUCCUCGUCGCCAGCGACCUCCCGCCGCUGAUUUCCGUCGCUGUCAACGGGAUUCUGCUCCACCUUUGUCGCCGUAGCGAACUCAUCGCCGGACUAGGGUAUGAGUUUGAUCUUUUGUGCUAAUUCCUUAGUCCGAUUCUUAGCACAUUUCUUUGCCAUGAUCAUUACCACAUAUGAAAUCAAUCUAUCCAUACAAAACCCUCCAUUAGAUUAGGUCUGAUUCGAAAAUUUAGGGUUAAGUCUCCGCCGAACUCAUCUCGGACCGACCAAGUUGUAGAAAUCGGUCUCACCAAUUUGGUUUAGGCCAUUGCACAUGCGCUUUUCGAUCUGACCGAAAAUUGCAAAUCGGUGCGACUGAUUUCAACUCUUAGUGAGACCCUAGCAAUCUCGGAGCAACCGAACUGUGACUCGGUCUGACCGAGUUCACUAGUUUAGGUUCCAAACAUUGCUUCGGUAUCACCGAGUUUAUCAAAUCGGUAGCUCCGAAAUGCUUUCUGUGGAGAACUAAAACUAUGUUUUCGACUCAUCUGUUUUGCAAAACUCUGCACUUUGUGAUGCUCAUCUACUCUACCUCAUCUAUAUCUAUUCACAGGGUUUGCUGUCAGUUUUCUUGCCAAGAUGUCUGACCAGAGUGAUAGCCAGAAUAGAUAUGAAGAGCAAAUGCAAAUGAGUGAGGGCACUAGUCCCUCAAGCAGCUAUGAUGAGGGCAACAGGAGCACACCCAGCAAUUUGCCUAUGGCAUCCACCAGAACAAGGAAGAAGAGAACCUCAGAUUAUGAGGAUGAGGACUAUGUGGCUACAGAGGAGGAAGUGACCUCAAAGAAGAAAGUCUUGAAGAAGGAGUAUGCUACAGCUGCUGCAACCAAGCCUGGGUUGCACAAAAAGGCACCUGCAAAGAGAGUUCCAAUGUCAAAAGCCAGAGCCUCCACUCAUGAGACCUCCAAGUCAACUGGAGGAGAGGAUGCUAUUGAGGAGAAGAAGAAGGAAAGAAAAAGAGGAAGAUGGUGCAAGAAGGUGGACCCCAUGGAAGAAUUUGAGAGGCAUUCUUCUGAUGAAGAAGAGGAAGAGGAAGAGGAAGCUGCACCAGCACCCACGUCCCAGAAGCUCAUGGGGGAUGCUACCAAGUCAGGGGCUGCUUCAUCAAAGCCCAUAAUUGCUCCCAAAGCUACUACUCAAGCUCAGAAGCCUUCUAAGCCAAAGAGAAGCACCAGAAACAUCCCAGCUGAAGAGAAGAACAAGGCCCUAGUGCCUGAAGUUGAAGAAGAAGAUGAUGAAUCCCAAGUGCUGAGAAAACCGAAACCAAAGAUUCCAGACCACAAUGACACUCAUCCAGUGGCAGAGGACAUGAACAUCAGGAUGGAUGCAGGACUGAGACUUUGAGACAGUCUGAUCCCUAUGCUGUUAGAAGGAGGACUGCUGUGGACUAUAGGUUCCACACCAAAGAACAACAAGAUUUCUAUGAGACCAUUCUGUUGGACAAUAAACCUAUUGUCUGUGAUAUGAAGUGGGUUGAUUGGGAACAUAUUGAUGAGAAUGAAGAUCACUUCCCAUGUGUAAAUGAGAGCUUCAAAGGUUGUGGAGUUGACAAGUUUGUUGGACAGAAGGUUACCAAAUGGAAUGAUGAGCUAAUUAUGCAGUUCUAUUCCACUGAUCAUUUCUAUCCAGAUGGAAGAAUAGUGUGGAUGUCUGAAGGUACCAGUCAACUGUUGAUGAGUGGGCCAAGUUGAUCAAUGCCCAGAAGAGCAUGAGGAUGAUUUGGAUGUGUAUGCCAAGAAGGAAAAAGACCACAACUCUAUGGCAAAUAUGUACAAGGAGAUCCCAGACUAAGCUUUGGAGAGACACAAGUUUGGAUCUGUACAUUAUUUGUUGUCUGGUCUGCCUACAAUCAACACCAUCUUAAGGCAUACUUUGUUGCCCAAGUCUGGAGAUCACAAGAUGAUUAGAGGACAUCCCAUCAACUUGCUGCAGAUCUUUGAUGUUCCUAAAAAAUUCAAGGUCAUGAGUCUGAUUGUAGAGACAAUCAAAAGGACAGCUGCUGAUCAGAAAAGAUCUUGUGGGUAUGCUCCACACAUUCAGGUGCUCAUCAACUCCAAGAUAGGAAAAUGCACUUACUUGUUGGACAAGAAGCAUUUACCUUUGCACGCAAAAUUUGAAGAUAACACAGUUGUGAUGAAUGAGGAUGACCCUUCAUCAGCGCAAGCACAAGAGAAGAGAGCAAAGGCCAAGGCAGAAAAAGCUGCAAAGAUGCCAAUUAUUGAGGAGGCAUCUGAAGUGUUCUUGAAGAGCAAACAAGAUCAACUAGGUUAUCUGAUUCAAGCUACAUUGAGGAUUGAGAAGGGCUUGGCCACCCUGACUCAGAAUCAGGAGAGCUUGGAGAGGAUCAUAGAGACCAAGUUUUAUGAUCUUGAUCUGAAAGUCACUGAGAUACAGACUGCAGUUGAGCAGCUCCAGGAGGAAGCAGAGGAGAAGAGAGGGAAGGCAACUAUAGAUGCUUUUCAGUGAGUGCCAAGAGGUCAGAGGCCAGGUGCAGUGCCAGUGCCAAAUACUAGAGCUACUUCAUCUGCACCUGCAGCAACAGCUUCAGUACCACCUCCAGCAGCCACUCCACCAGCUCCAGCUACUUCAACUGAUGCCUUCGUCCUUGGAGUUCUCUCUACACCACCUCCCGAAGACCAAGCCCGAGAGACGCAUAACACUAUGCACUUUUAAACUUUUGGUAACUUGUUGCCAAAGGGGGCGAAAUGUAUAGAUCAUAGGCUUCGAGAGAGAGUGUUUUGCUUCUUUGUCUCUCUUGCUAUUUGCUAUUUGGUUGAUACCUUUGUGUGUGCUCGUUUGAUACUUUAUGUCUGUGUGAGAGAUACUUAUAUGAUCGUGUGUUUGAUCAUAUCAUAUUUUAAUGUUUGCCUGGAUGAUAUUAUCUUGUAUAUCCAUAUAUGAUCAUUCACUUUGCUUGGUGAUGAGUGCAUGUUUUAAAUCCUAUCAUUUUGAGCGCGCCACCAAGAUGUAUGUGACAUGGAAGAGUAAUCCAUGAUCCUAAUCAAUUGUGCAUUUGCAUUCAAAAGAAAAAAUGCACAAAUUUAGGGGGAGUUCUUACUUAUCACAUACUUCUCAAAGAGGUGAUGUAUUUCAAUCUUAUUAUCAUUUGUUGAAGCUUUGAUCUAUAUGUUGUCAUCAAUUACCAAAAAGGGGGAGAUUCAAAGUGCAACUAUCCCUGGGUGGAUUUGGUAAUUACUAACAAUAUAUAGCUGAUUGAACUAAUGCUAUUUCAAGAUGAUCAUUUCAGAAGGUUCAAUGAUUGGCAUGGCAAGGAUUAAGAAUUUGGAACCCUCAAAAUGCUAAGGACACAUAUUGGCUCAAGCUCAAGAUUCUACAUUUUAUUUUUAGUGAUCCAAGAUCACAUUGAGUCCAUAGGAAAAGCCAAUGCUAUUAAAAGGGGAUGAGCUGUUGCUUAAUGGCCUGCUUACUCAAAAUGCUUAGUGAUAUGCUCCAAAAGCCCUCAACCACUUUCUCAUAUGCACAUAUGUCACAAACCAAAAGUCAAACUCGGCCCCACCGAAAUGUUCUAUCCGGCGCCACCGAGUUCAUUUGACAUAGCCACUGCCAGAAACCCUAGUCACUUCGGUCUCACCGAUAGGGAUCUCGGUCUCACCGAGAUGGGAUUGCAAACUCUUUGUUUCCCUUCGUAACGUUUCGGUCUAACCGAGAUUGACGGUCGGUCCCACCGAGUUCGCAAUGCAAACUCUCUGUUUCCCCUUCGUAACAUUUCGGUCUCACCGAAAGAGCGAAUCGGUCCCACGGAGUUUGCCUGACCAACUCUCUCGUUAUCUUAUUACCAAAGACGGUCUCACCGAGUUCGUGUAAUGGGUCUCACUGAGAUUACGUUAUGCCCUAACCCUAAUGAAAUCGGUCCCACAAAGUUGACAUGUCGGUCCCACCUAAAAGCCUAACAUUCACAUUUUGAAUUGAAUUGGUCUGACCGAGUUUUCUGAUUCGGUCCCACCGAGUUUGGUGAAUUGUGUGUAACGGUUAGAUUUUGUGUGGAGGCUAUAUAUACUUCUCCACCCACUCUUCAUUCGUGGAGAGAGCCAUCAGAACAUGCCUACACUUCCAGCAUAUAUUUUCUGGGAGAGAACCACCUACUCAUGUGUUGAGGUCAAGAUAUGCCAUUCCAACCACAUAAAUCAUCAUCUCUAGCCUUCUCCAAGUUGCUUUCCACUCAAAUCAUCUUUCCACCAAUUCCAAAUCUGUGAGAGAGAGUUCAGUGUUGGCGAGACUAUCAUUUGAAGCACAAGAUCAAGGAGUUUAUCAUCAACACACCAUCUAUUACCUCGUGGAGAGUGGUGUCUCCUAGAUUGGUUAGGUGUCACUUGGGAGCCUCCGUCAAGAUUGUGGAGUUGAACCAAGGAGUUUGUAUGGGCAAGGAGAUCGCCAACUUCGUGAAGAUCUACCCUAGUGAGGCAAGUCCUUCGUGGGCGAUGGCCAUGGUGGGAUAGACAAGGUUGCUUCUUCGUGGACCCUUCGGGGGUGGAGACCUCCGUGGACUCGCGCAACCGUUACCCUUCGUGGGUUGAAGUCUCCAUCAGCGUGGAUGUACGAUAGCACCACCUAUCGGAACCACGCCAAAAAACUUUGUGUCUACAUUGCGUUUGCUCCCUCCAAACUCCUCCCUUUACCUUCAUGUGCAAUGUUUGACAUUCCGCUGCUAUACUCUUAGACUUGCAUGUGUAGGUUGGUUGCCUGACUUGUUGUAAGUUGCUAAAAUCUGCCAAGACUUAAAAUUGGGAAAAGACUAGAUUUUUAUUUGGUCAUGUAGUCUAAUCACCCACCCCCCCUCUAGACAUACUUUCGAUCCUACAGUCGGAAUGUAUGGAGUCGCCAACGAGGAAGACUACGACUAAUAAGGCAACCCGAUGUGGGAAGAUGACGAUGACGAUGAAGCAUACGUGAAAAGAAGAAUCAAGACUACAUCACCUAAGAAGAAUCAAGACUACAUCACCUAAGAAGGAUCGUGCUCAAUUAUUCGACAACGGACAACAAAGGUAAGAACCUCAAUGGGAAACGUCGUCGACGCAGCUGAGAAACCAUCAUUUAUAUAUACUAGCCAACAUGUCUGUGCGUUGCAAUGGGAGAAAAAAAAUCAUACUUCCAUACUCAUAAGAUGACCUAAGACCCUUCCCGUCGGUUCCACCCACACACAGGUCCACGUCCUCAAUUUCAACACGCCCCCAUCCGUGUUGCCGCUUAUCUUCUAGUUCGGUGUGUUUUGUGAUUGCAAUAUUCCCAUAAAUGCAAAAGCUGAAAAGCCUAUGCAAUGUAAUCCAACUUCCCUAGAGUUUAUGGAAGGUUAAAAAAAUGCCAACAUAUUUUUCCAGAAAAAAGUAAUAAAGUAGAACAACACCUUGCCACAACUUUAUAUUCAUUUUUCUAUGCACAAAACAUUUAUACAAAACCAAAAGCUGUAAUUCAUUGUCAACAAAUUGGUAAAAGGCUUACAUUGAUGGGGUGAUAGGGUCUCCACAGAUCAAUUGUUCAAACACUACAUUUAUCUAGAAAAUAAGUCAUGUUUCUAGUGCUAACUUACUAAGAAGGUUAAAGAUUACAAAAAUGAAUAUCAACAUGAAACUACAAAAUAUAGUAUGAAGCGGAACUAACAUCGUGGCUGGAUUUGCCAAUACAAUGGGCAGAUGGUGUGCUAAUAAGUCUGACAUGAAUAUGUUACAACGCGACUGUGCUAAUAAGUCUGACAUGAAUAUGUUACAACGCGACUGUGCUAAUAAGUCUGACAUGAAUAUGUUACAACGCGACUGUGCUAAUAAGUAACGCGACUGUGCCACAUUACUGACAAAACAGGUAAUGAGAUGUAAGCAGCUUGUGCAAAUUAGCUAGAAACUACCCUCGUACGGCAGCUGGGUCCCUUGGGGAGCAAGCUCGCGAGUUAGCUCGCACGGCUGGGUAAAUUAAGCAGGGCCAUGGCCUCCACGAAAAUAUAAAAUAGAACAACUGCACCCCGGCCCUCUCUAUCUAGCCAUCCAUUCUGCGCAUCGCGAUUCGUGCAAACACAUUUCUCUUUUUUGUUUCUCUCACAUAAAACAUAUUUUGAAGUUCAAACCUUUGUAGCGUAGCAAAGUUUUCUAUCUAGAAUCCAGGAUAAAUCUUUCAGAAUUUUUUGUCAAACAUAAAUAUACAAAAAAUGAUUUUUUAGAUUAAAAAAUCAUUUUUUGUAUAUUUAUGUUUGACAAAAAAUUCUGAAAGAUUUAUCCUAGAUUCUAGAUGGAAAGGUUUGCCACGCUGCUAAGGUUUGAACUUCAAGACAUCUUUUAUGUGAGAGAAACAAAAAAGAGAAAUUUACAUAUGGAAAGUUAGUUGUGUUGCACAGAUCUUAAAGCAAUAUUGGACAGCCAGGAUACCAGGACCCGGGUGCAGCUGUUCUAAAAAUCCACGUCCAUGGCCUCCACACACCUCCUUGCUUUUGUUUCUUGCAAUUCCCGUGGUUUUUGUUGCUGUUGAGAUGCGAUGGCUCUCACGCGCAGCUCUCGGCCGUCCGCGCUGCACAAGGAACGACGUCUCCUCAAUGUAUGGCACCAUCUGGGCGAUCGACUCUCGCGUCCACUUUCUCCUUCCUGAUCUCCUCCUCCUCCCAUCUUGUUCGAUCAUCUUCCUGAUGUUCUCCACCUCCUUGUCGUCUUCCUGAUCAUGGGAUCGUGGCCCCAGGACGUGACUUACGAAAAAGAGAAGCUUCUAGAUGAAACGGGUUCUGAUCAAGCUCGAUCUUGAGCGAAGUCUAGAGGACGAUCAGGGACACGGCACACGUGAGGUGUUGCGUAUAUAUAUUGGCUGGGUGUCCGUAGAAGGCUCAAUAGUACUGGCGCAAGAGGAGUCUAGCUAAAACUCUUUUUUAUAUAUGUUGUUUUUCCUGUUAGCAGAGUGCCCAAGCUUACAUGAACGGGCCGGCUCUGCUUGCGAGACCGGAGGAAGGAACCAAGAAAAUGCCGGAGCUUGUCCUGCAACGUUUGGUUAUUCCUUAUACUUCUAUACGUGUGUAGAUCUACUUUUAAAUCUCAGCCGUCAAUCUUUAAGGUUAACAUAAAAUUAACGAAUAUAAAAACGUGACGUAUGAAGAACUAUGAAAGUCUCCGUCCUUUAAUAUUAUGUAUAGAUGUAUCUAUUUUAUGCACGCACUUAAGUAACCGUUAUCGGUCAAAUGAUGUAUACAUCGUAUCCCCUUCAAUUACCACCACAUGCAUGGUUCCGGUGAUAUUCGCGCAGUGUGGGAGGGAGACGUUAUCGUCGACUACGUGCGAGGUUGUCGGGAGAAAAACAAAAAACAAAAAAGGGAGAAAACAAUACAAAAGAAAAAGAAAAGGAAACAGAAAAGGAAAGGAAAAUAAUAAAAAGAAAAGAAAACUAAAUAUUAGAAAAGGAAGAUAAUAAAAAGAAAAAAAUAGCAGUAGCGCUAGAUUAGGACCCAAUGCUACCCAACGCUAUAGCUAACUUAGGCCGACGAAACCCCGUGUGCACUACUGUACGACAUCAACGGCCAGAAGGUGGGCGUGGGAAAGGCAAUGAUCAUGAAGCUGAAGGACUGCAUGUUCCAUAACCGAGGGAUUCCCCAUUGCGUCUUCAAGGUUAACGUGGCCAGUGUCAAAGCGGGCUUCGAGGAUUUGCCUUGUCCGGUACCAGUCGAGGACGACGAGACACCUAAAUGGAUUGAUGCAUGCAAGAGCUGGUUCUUGCCUUGGCCGAAGACUCUUCUUCGUGUCGAGGUGCUCGGUAGCACACCAACGACAGCUCCUCAAGAAGGUAUCACUAGUAGAAAACAGGCUUUGGUCACAGGGCAAUGCUCACAUUAGUCCCGGUUCAGUCACGAACCAGGAUUAAUGUGAGCACUGGUCCCGGUUCGUGCGGCUAAGGCAUUAGUCCCGGUUCACCUGGGCCCUUUAGUCCCGGUUAGUGCCACGAACCGGGACUAAAGGGUGCAAUGCCCAUUAGUACCGGUUGGUGGCACCAACCGGNNNNNNNNNNNNNNNNNNNNNNNNNNNNNNNNNNNNNNNNNNNNNNNNNNNNNNNNNNNNNNNNNNNNNNNNNNNNNNNNNNNNNNNNNNNNNNNNNNNNNNNNNNNNNNNNNNNNNNNNNNNNNNNNNNNNNNNNNNNNNNNNNNNNNNNNNNNNNNNNNNNNNNNNNNNNNNNNNNNNNNNNNNNNNNNNNNNNNNNNNNNNNNNNNNNNNNNNNNNNNNNNNNNNNNNNNNNNNNNNNNNNNNNNNNNNNNNNNNNNNNNNNNNNNNNNNNNNNNNNNNNNNNNNNNNNNNNNNNNNNNNNNNNNNNNNNNNNNNNNNNNNNNNNNNNNNNNNNNNNNNNNNNNNNNNNNNNNNNNNNNNNNNNNNNNNNNNNNNNNNNNNNNNNNNNNNNNNNNNNNNNNNNNNNNNNNNNUACCGGUUCAUGGCACGAACCGGUACUAAAGGUCCCAUUUUCAAACUCUACCCCCCCGGACCGCCUUUUCAGUUUUAGAAAAAACAAAAGAAAAUGAUGGAAAUGUCAAAAAAAUAAAAUAAAAUAAGUUUCCCAUGUGAUAUGUGGUCUAGUUGUUGGGAAAAUUUACAAAUAUGAAUUUCGACUUUAUUUGCAAAAUCUCUCUGGAAUUUGUAAAAUGGGCAUAACUUUUGCAUACGAACUCGGAUUAAAAAGUUUUUUAUAUGAAAAAUCAUCUACUCGCAAAGUUACAUCCGAAUUUAACCGGGGAAACCCCGUUAAACAUUUUCAAAAUUCUCAAAAACCUAACAGAAAAAAAGUUACGGGGCUUUUAAGAUCUAGAGUGGAAAAAAAUCGAAAAAAUUUCAAACUUACUAGUGGCGCACCAUUUGCUAGGUGCGCCACUAGUAACCGAAAAAAAUUUAGUUUCAAUUUUUUUUUGAAAAAAUGUGGUCAAAUCUGGUCAAACUGUGGUCAAACAAUGGUCAAACUAAUUAUUCUAGAAUAUUAGUGUUACUAAAUAAUUAUUUCAGUUUUUUCGAAUUUUGGUCAAAUCUGGUCAAACUAUGGUCAAACAAUGGUCAAACUAAUUAUUCAAGAAAUAUUAGUGUUGCUAAAUAAUUAUUGUUUUUUGAAACAAUAGUUUCAAACUCAAACAGUGAAAUGUGUCACUUCAUGCUCAAGGUAAAUCCUGAGGGUUAAUAGGAUUGACAUCUUACUAUUGUCAGGAAAACAACAAGUGCAGACUUGGAAACGAGGGAGAACAGAACCCGAAAGUUAAGCGUGCUCAGGCUGGAGUAGUGAGACGAUGGGUGACCGUCCGGGAAGUUAGAUGAUUUGGAAUGAUGAGGGGUGAUUAGAGAUUAGAGGAUAAAUUGAGCAGUGAUGAGGGGUGGUGAUUAGAGAUUAGAGGUUAAAAUAAUUCAGAAAUUUGAAAAUCAAAAAAAAAAAUAAAAAAAAAAUCAUAAAAUUUCCUUUAGUCCCGGUUGGUGUUACCAAUCCGGACUAAAGGUGGAGCUCCACGUGGCCGCGGCCUUUAGUCCCGGUUCGUGUAAGAAUCGGGACUAAUGGGGGGAGGCAUUAGUAACGACCCUUUAGUCCCGGUUCAAAAACCAGGACUAAAGCCCCUUUUUCUACUAGUGUAUGAACACCACCCCACCUACCAAAUUACCCGCACGUGUCGUGGCGGGUGAUAGCGGACGACACGAGGGAGAGCCUCCAUUAGUGCCGUAUGGCGUCGCCCCCGUCGAAGAAGCAAAUGCUGAUGUUGUCAUGGAGGAGGAUGAUGAUGACCCUCUGAAAGCACAAGUGCUCCCUGGGUGAUUUUGGUAAUUAAUGUCAACAUAUCUCUUGUUGGACUAAUGCCUUUAUCUAGUGUAUUUUAGAUAAGUUCAACAAUGGAGUGGCGUGGACAAGAGGAUGUGGAACCCCUUCAAAAUGCUAAGGACAAAGGAUUGGCUCAAGCUACAAAGCUCAAGACUCUACAUUUUAGUUUUUUGUGAUCCAAGAUCACAUUGAGUCCAUAGGAAAAGCCAAUACUAUUAAAAGGGGAUGAGGUGUUGCUUAAUGGCUUGCAUGCUCAAAGUGCUUAGUGAUAUGCUCCAAAGCCCUCAACCACUUUCUCAUUUCCACAUAUGUUCCAAAGCAAAAGUCAAUCUCGGCCCCACCGAAACAUUCCAUCCGGCGCCACCGAGUUCACUUGACAUAGCCACUGCCAGAAACCCUAAUCAAUUUGGUCUCACCGAUGGGAUCCCGGUCUCACCGAGAUGGGCUUGCAAACUCUCUAUUGCUUGUUGCAAUUAUUUCGGUCUCAUCGAGAUUUGUAAUCGGUCUCACGGAGUUUGCUUGACCAACUCUCUGGUUAGCUCUUUACCAAAAUCUGUCCCACCGAGUUUGUGUAAUCGGUCAAACCGAGAUGAGGUUUUACCCUAACCGUAGCACAUCGGUCCCACCGAGUUGACAUAUCGGUCCCACCGAAAUGCCUAACGGUCACAUUAUGAACUGAAUCGGUCUGACCGAGUUUUCUGAUUCGGUCCCACUGAGUUUGGUGAAUUGUGUGUAACGGUUAUAUUUUGUGUGGAGGCUAUAUAUACCCCUCCACCAACUCUUCACUCGUGGAGAAAGCCAUCAGAACAUGCCUACACUUUUAGCAUACAUUUUCUAAGAGAGAACCACCUACUCAUGUGUUGAGGUCAACAAAUUCCAUUCCAACCACAUAAAUCUUGAUCUCUAGCCUUGUGCAAGUUGCUUUCCACUCAAAUAAUCUUUCCACCAAAUCCAAAUCUGUGUGAGAGAGUUGAGUGUUGGGGAGACUAUCAUUUGAAGCACAAGAGCAAGGAGUUCAUCAUCAACACACCAUCUAUUACCUUUUGGAGAGUGGUGUCUCCUAGAUUGGUUAGGUGUCACUUGGGAGCCUGCGUCAAGAUUGUGGAGUUGAACCAAGGAGUUUGUACGGUCAAGGAGAUCGCCUACUUCGUGAAGAUCUACCCUAGUGAGGCAAGUCCAUCGUGGGCGAUGGCCAUGGUGGGAUAGACAAUGUUGCUUCUUCGUGGACCCUUCAUGGGUGGAGCCCUCCGUGGACUCGCACAACCGUUACCCUUCGCGGGCUGAAGUCUCCAUCAACGUGGAUGUACGAUAGCACCACCUAUCGGAACCACACCAAAAAUCUCCGUGUCUCCAAUUACGUUUUCACAUUCCAAUCCUAUCCCUUUACAUUCUCUCAAAUUGCAUGCUUUACUUACCGCUGCUUAUAUGCUCUUGUCAUGCUUGCUUGGUAUGUAUUGUGAAUGUGUAAACUUGUGCUAACACUCCACCUUAACUUGAAGAAUUUAAAAACUGCAACUUUUCUUUGCUAAGAGUCUAUUCACCCCCCCUAGACACCUCUUCUCGAUCCUUUCAAUUGGUAUCAGAGCUUUGGUCUCCAUUGCUUUGGUUUAAACACCUUUGGAGGAAGAUGGAUGAGUCUACAUUGGGGAGUCUUAGACGUAGAGUCCCUAUUCUUGAUGGAGACUACCUUCAUGAGUGAAAAAAUGAGAUGCUUGUGAUUUUCAAUGAAUAUCAUUUGAACAAGUAUAUUACUAGCCCUUGUUGUAACACCCCGGAUGUGACUUUUCAUAUUUGUAACUCCAACUCUUGCCAUUUUCGGCUAUGUGUUAUGAUAUUCCCUCCGCGGUUGGGUUUUGUUUUUCGGUUUACUUUUUGUUCAUGUCAUGCAUUUCAUAUGAUGUCAUCAUGUGCAUCGCAUUUGCAUACGUGUUCGUCUCAGGCAUCCGAGCAUUUUCCCCGUUGUCCGUUUUGCAAUCCGACACUCCCACAUGCACCGGCGCACCCCUCUUGUCUCUUUUCGUGAGCGGGUGUUAAACAUUCUCGGAAUGGACCGAGGUUUGCCAAGUGGCCUUGGUACACCACCGGUAGACCACGUGUCAAUUUCGUCCCAUUUGGAGGUCUUUUGAUGCUCCAAUGGUUAACCGGGUAACCGCAAAGGCUUCUUGUGUGUUGAUUCCCAACAACCCUUCAAAACAGCCCAAUAACCCAUCUAAGCCCCCUCCAUGCUCUCCGCCGUUCGAUCACGAUCGCGUGGCCGAAAAGUACACCCCAUUUGGAGUCUCCUAGCUCCCUCUAGCUAUAAAUAUGUGCACUCCUCCGAAAUCCCGGGUCCCGAAACCCUAGCCUCGCCCCUCUCCGCCGCCGGACAGGUCCGGAUCGGGCCGGACAAAUUGCCGCCACCGCCCGAGCCAACCGGAGGGCGCCACGUGGCGCUCCCCGCCGCCAGCCGCCGCCGGCCCGCCCGAGCCCGCGGGAGGCCCUCCCCGAGCCCANNNNNNNNNNNNNNNNNNNNNNNNNNNNNNNNNNNNNNNNNNNNNNNNNNNNNNNNNNNNNNNNNNNNNNNNNNNNNNNNNNNNNNNNNNNNNNNNNNNNNNNNNNNNNNNNNNNNNNNNNNNNNNNNNNNNNNNNNNNNNNNNNNNNNNNNNNNNNNNNNNNNNNNNNNNNNNNNNNNNNNNNNNNNNNNNNNNNNNNNNNNNNNNNNNNNNNNNNNNNNNNNNNNNNNNNNNNNNNNNNNNNNNNNNNNNNNNNNNNNNNNNNNNNNNNNNNNNNNNNNNNNNNNNNNNNNNNNNNNNNNNNNNNCCGUCCUCCGCCGUGUCGCCAGUCGUCGCCCCCUCGCCGUCCGGCGACCGCGCCCCGGCCAGAUCCGGCGGGCCCCGACCGGCCCGUCCCGCCGGCGCCAUCUCCCUCCUCUCCAUCUCCGGCCGGCGUUCUCCUCUUCUACGGCGAGCCGGCGCCUGCCUGGAACCACGCGCCAGAUCCAGAUCCAAAACGGAGGUUGACCCCGAAAUUCCACCAAGUCAUUUCUCUGUCGUAUUUUGUUGCUCUGUUCAUCACAUCAUAUCUCUUUGCAUACUGCUCCGUUUCAUGCGAAUGAUACAUCAAAGUGUUCAUCGCGAGAUGCUCUUCAUUUUGUUACAUUGUGCCAUGCUCUUUUGAGUUCAUCUGGUUACUCAAAUCUCUGAUGCAAGAGUGCUAUGUGAUGUUUACUGCUGUUCCUUAUCAGAACUUGAUGUUUUGUUAUUUUUGUUGCAUUUGAUGUGUGCAUCUUUUGGGCAUGAGCUCUACAUGUAUUUUGAUCUAUGACAUGCCAUCUUUACAGAGGUGCUGGACAUGUAUUUUUUCGAUCUAUGGGGUGACGAUCACAAGCAUGCAAACUAGGCUUCGUGAUGUUUCUGUUUUCAGGGACUUAGGAUUUUGCCAAGUCUUUUCCUGCUGUUAUUUUUUAUGUCAUGUAAACUUGAUGCUACAGUGAGAUCCAUGUUUAUUUUGAGAUACUUCAGUAAGGAUGUUUUGAACAUAUGGUUAUGCUCUAUCCAUUCAUGCCACUGUUUGCAAUUAUGGAGUGACUUAGCAUGUCUCAAUAUUGCUCUACUUUUGCUAUUAAAUGUUCCUGGAAGAAUGUUAACAUGCUAUUCAAUUUUGCCAAGGUUGUUGUAGUUGAUCCAUACAUGCUAUGAACUUGCUCUUACCAUGGAUAGCUUCAUGAACAUGUCUUCUUGCUGUUGGUAUGUUUGUUUUGUCAUGCAAUGCCUUGUGAUGAGUGAAUCGAGCUCACAAAGAUUCCUUCAUAAUUCUGUUAAUGUCAUGCUCUGUUUUCUGCUAAGUCUGAAAUCUGUUAACGAAACUUGCUAUGUUUACAUGGGUGCCAUCAUAUCUUCUGUGCAAUUUUAGCUCAUGAUCAGUAGGGGACUUUUGUUCUAUGCAUGUAGUAGAUUUAUGCCAUGCCUUUUUUGCUAUGAUAAGUUCCUGUAGCAUGUUGAUUGCUUGCUCUAAACAUUGCUACCUGCUGCUGUUUCUGCCUUGUUCAGUAUUUUCAGAGUCUGUGAAGCUGAUAUCUUUUGCACUUUUGCCAUGCUUGUUUGAACCUGCUCUAGUGUGCUUUAGCCGUAGCUCAGUGUUCAUCUUUUGUCAGGCAUCUUGAGUACAUCACACCCAUAUGCUUUGUUGUUAUGUUGGAGUGCAGUAGCUUAGUUUCUUGUUGCAUGCUAAAUGGCAUCGUGCUGUUAAUCGCAGAAUUGUGUCAUCCUUGUUUUGCUUGUCAUUUGCAAACCGUGCAUCCGAUUCCGGUGAUCUUUAUAUCGAUUUCAACCGAAAUCAUCCCAUCUUUUCAGCGGCAUACUUGGUUUGCCAAGUCGAUGCCUUGUUCAUCUUUUCGCUUCCGGAGCACGCACAUGCAUUGCAUAUCACAUCUCGCAUAUCAUGCCAUGUAUUGCAUCAUGUUGCUUGUGCAUUGCACCGUGUUUGAUCGUGGUUCCAUUGCUUGUGUUCUUGCUUUGGGUAGAGCCGGGAGACGAGUAUGUGAACGAGGAACCUGUUGAGAACGCUUACGAGGAUCAAGUUUUCGACAACUCUGAGAACCUUGCAGGCAAGAUGACCAUACCCUCGAUAUCACUUCUAUCUUUGCUUUGCUAGUUGUUCGCUCUAUUGCUAUGCCGCGCUACCUACCACUUGUUACAUCAUGCCUCCCAUGUUGCCAUGCCAAGCCUCUAACCAUCCUUUCCUAGCAAACCAUUGUUUGGCUAAGUUACCGCUUUUGCUCAGCCCUUCUUAUAGCGUUGCUAGUUGCAGGUGAAGUUGAAGUUAGUUCCAUGUUGGAACAUGGAUUCUUGGCUUAUCACAAUAUCUCUUAUUUAAUUAAUGCAUCUAUAUAUUUGGUAAAGGGUGGAAGGCUCGGCCUUAUGCCCGGUGUUUUGUUCCACUCUUGCCGCCCUAGUUUCCGUCAUACCGGUGUUAUGUUCCUUGAUUUUGCGUUCCUUACGCGGUUGGGUGAUUUAUGGGACCCCCUUGAUAGUUCGCUUUGAAUAAAACUCCUCCAGCAAGGCCCAACCUUGGUUUUACCAUAUGUCACCUAAGCCUUUUUCCCUUGGGUUUUCGCGAGCCCGAGGGUCAUCUUUAUUUUAANNNNNNNNNNNNNNNNNNNNNNNNNNNNNNNNNNNNNNNNNNNNNNNNNNNNNNNNNNNNNNNNNNNNNNNNNNNNNNNNNNNNNNNNNNNNNNNNNNNNNNNNNNNNNNNNNNNNNNNNNNNNNNNNNNNNNNNNNNNNNNNNNNNNNNNNNNNNNNNNNNNNNNNNNNCCCCGGCCAGUGCUCCUUCGAGUGUUGGUCCGAACCGAGCCGCCUGCGGGGCCACCUCGGGGAAACUCGAAGUCUGGUUUUACUCGUAGCCUGUCUCAUCCGGAGUGCCCUGAGAACGAGAUAUGUGCAGCUCCUAUCGGGAUUUGUCGGCACAGUCGGGCGGUCUUGCUGGUCUUGUUUUACCAUUGUCAAAAUGUCUUGUAAACCGGGAUUCCGAGACUGAUCGGGUCUUCCCAGGAGAAGGAAUAUCCUUCGUUGACCGUGAGAGCUUAUGAUGGGCUAAGUUGGGACACCCUGCAGGGUAUUAUCUUUCGAAAGCCGUGCCCGCGGUUAUGAGGCAGAGGGGAAUUUGUUAAUGUCCGGUUGUAGAGAACUUUACACUUGACUUAAUUAAAAUACAUCAACAGCGUGUGUAGCCGUGAUGGUCUCUUCUCGGCGGAGUCCGAGAAGUGAACAUUGUUUGGGUUAUGUAUGAGCGUAAGUAGUUUCAGGAUCGCUUCUUGAUCACUUCUAGCUUAUCGACCAAUGCGUUGCUUCUCUUCUCGCUCUCAUUUGCGUAUGUUAGCCACCAUAUAUGCUUAGUGCUUGCCGCAGCUCCACCAUAUUACCCCAUCCUUCCUAUAAGCUUAAAUAGUCUUGAUCUCGCGGGUGUGAGAUUGUUGAGCCCUCGUGACUCACAGAUUCUACCAAAACAGUUGCAGGUGUCGAGGAUAUCUAUGCAGGUGACGCAACCGAGCUCAAGUGGGAGUUUGACGAGGACCGUGGUCGUUACUAUGUUUCAUUUCCUGAUGAUCAGUAGUGGAGCCCAGUUGGUACGAUCGGGGAUCUAGCAUUUGGGGUUGUCUUCUUUCAUUUGGUUUCGUAGUCGGACCUUGAUUGUACUCUGAAUGAGGUAUGUUUAAUUUAUGCAUUCUGUGAAGUGGCUACUGUAAGCCAACUCUUUAUCCCAUUCUUGUUCAUUACAUGGGAUUGUGUGAAGAUGACCCUUCUUGCGACAAUACCUACAAUGCGGUUAUGCCUCUAAGUCGCGCCUCGACACGUGGGAGAUAUAGCCGCAUCGUGGUUGUUACAAGUUGGUAAUCAGAGCCAUCCCCGACUUAGGAGCCCCCCUGCUUGAUCGAAUCGCUGGCUUUGUUGAGUCUAGAAAAAAAUGUUUUGAGUCUUAGGAUUAUAUAUAUCGGAGAGUAGGAUUCUUUUUACUCCUCAGUCCCUUCGUCGCUCUGGUGAGGCCCCCCUGACGUAGAAGUUUUGCCUUUCCUAUCCUCAAAUUUCACUAAAAGAAAUUUAGGAUCACGCGGGUAUCUUGGAAUCGUUCCGAUGGUUUUGUGACGAGAACAUUGUUCUUGGUGCCUCCUGACAUUUAGGGGUUGUGGCAAUGUCCCGGGGAGUUGAGCUCCGAGGUGUUGUCGUCACAAUUUUAUCGUUGCAGUUCUGGAAUACCUGAGUUUCGCCGACAUCGAAAAUCUCUUUUAUGCAGUUGUUGGUGAGAUAACCUCGACGCCACCUAGUACUGGGACAGGAGUUCGGGAGUAUUGCCAUAACUCGUAUAACGGAUGCUUUUCGAAGGUUGAGGUAAAUAAUUUCCGAAGGUUUCUUGGUUAUGUGUUGAAGGAUGGAUACAACUGGAUCUAGGUAUUGUUAGUUUGGGUGAGAUAUAUUGUGUCCCAUGUAUCCCCAACACCAGAUUGCAUAACCAGAAAGUUUCGGGAGUUUAUAAGUGGGAAUUCAAGUAGCUCCUAGGAUAUCUUUCCGACAGAUGCAUGUUAUGAGAUUGGGGUUCGACGUCUAGUGGUCCAUCUAUCUACGGUUGGUUUUACAGUGGUCUCGUAGUGUCUUAAAGAGUCCUUGGCUAUGCCGACUCGGGGAAGCUUCGUAUGUCAUGUGCACUGCCUUGUACAUGAUGGUGCUAUACGAUCGAGCCCGUGUGGGCCUCAUGUUGGAAAUAUGCCCUAGUGGCAAUAAUAAAAUGGUUAUUAUUGUAUUUCCUUGUUCGUGAUAAUUGUCUGUUGUUCAUGCUAUAAUUGUAUUAACUGGAAACCGUAAUACAUGUGUGAAUACAUAGACCACAACAUGUCCCUAGUAAGCCUCUAGUUGACUAGCUCGUUGAUCAAUAGAUGGUUAUGGUUUCCUGACCAUGGACAUUGGAUGUCAUUGAUAACGGGAUCACAUCAUUAGGAGAAUGAUGUGAUGGACAAGACCCAAUCCUAAGCAUAGCACAAGAUCGUGUAGUUCGUUUGCUAUAGCUUUUCUAAUGUCAAGUAUCAUUUCCUUAGACCAUGAGAUUGUGCAACUCCCGGAUACCGUAGGAAUGCUUUGGGUGUACCAAACAUCACAACGUAACUGGGUGGCUAUAAAGGUGCACUACAGGUAUCUCCGAAAGUGUCUGUUGGGUUGGCACGAAUCGAGACUGGGAUUUGUCACUCCGUAUGACGGAGAGGUAUCUCUGGGCCCACUCGGUAAUGCAUCAUCAUAAUGAGCUCAAUGUGACUAAGGAGUUAGCCAUGGGAUCAUGCCUUACGGUACGAGUAAAGUGACUUGCCGGUAACGAGUUUGAACAAGGUAUUGGGAUACCGACGAUCGAAUCUCGGGCAAGUAACGUACCGAUUGACAAAGGGAAUUGUAUACGGGAUUGAUUGAAUCCUCGACAUCGUGGUUCAUUCGAUGAGAUCAUCGUGGAACAUGUGGGAGCCAACAUGGGUAUCCAGAUCCCGCUGUUGGUUAUUGACCGGAGAGUCGUCUCAGUCAUGUCUGCAUGUCUCCCGAACCCGUAGGGUCUACACACUUAAGGUUCGGUGAUGCUAGGGUCGUAGAGAUAUUAGUAUGCGGUUAACCGAAAGUUGUUCGGAGUCUCGGAUGAGAUCCCGGACGUCACGGUAAAGAUUUAUAUAUGGGAAGUCCUAUUUUGGCCACCGGAAAAUGUUCGGGAUUUUUUGGUAUUGUACCGGGAAGGUUCUAGAAGGUUCCAAAGUGGGGCCCACCUGCAUGGGGGGACCCACAUGAACGUGGGUAGUGGGGGCAAGGCCCCACACCCCUGGUCAAGGCACACCAAGAUCCCACCUUAGAAGGAAUAAGAUCAUAUCCCGAAGGGAUAAGAUCAAGAUCCCUAAAAAGGGGGGAUAACAAUCGGUGGGGAAGGGAAAUGAUGGGAUUUCUUUCCCCCACCUUUGCCAACGCCCCAAUGGACUUGGAGGGCAAGAAACCAGCCCCUCCACCCCUAUAUAUAGUGGGGAGGCGCAUGGGAGCAGCACCCCAAGCCCUGGCGCCUCCCUCCCUCCCGUGACACCUCUUCCUCCCCGCUUGCGCUUGGCGAAGCCCUGCCGGGAUCCCGCUACUUCCACCACCACGCCGUCGUGCUGCUGGAUCUCCAUCAACCUCUCCUCCCCCCUUGCUGGAUCAAGAAGGAGGAGACGUCGCUGCUCCGUACGUGUGUUGAACGCGGAGGUGCCGUCCGUUCGGCGCUAGGAUCAUCGGUGAUUUGGAUCACGACGAGUACGACUCCAUCAACCCCGUUCUCUUGAAUGCUUCCGCUCGCGAUCUACAAGGGUAUGUAGAUGCACUCCUCCCCUCUCUUCGCAAGCAUCUCCUAGAUUGAUCUUGGUGACACAUAGGAAAAUUUUGAAUUUCUACUACGUUCCCCAACAGUGGCAUCAUGAGCCAGGUCUAUGCGUAGAUUCUACGCACGAGUAGAACACAAAGUAGUUGUGGGCGAUGAUUUGUUCAAUUUGCUUACCGUUACUAGUCUUAUCUCGAUUCGGCGGCAUUGUGGGAUGAAGCGGCCCGGACCGACCUUACACGUACUCUUACGUGAGACAGUUUCCACCAACUGACAUGCACUUGAUGCAUAAGGUGGCUAGCGGGUGUCUGUCUCUCCCACUUUAGUCGGAUCGGAUUCGAUGAAAAGGGUCCUUAUGAAGGGUAAAUAGCAAUUGGCAUAUCACCGUUGUGGUUUUUGCGUAGGUAACAAACGUUCUUGCUAGAAACCCAUAGCAGCCACGUAAAACAUGCAACAACAAUUAGAGGACGUCUAACUUGUUUUUGCAGGGUAUGCUAUGUGAUGUGAUAUGGCCAAAAGGAUGUGAUGAAUGAUAUAUGUGAUGUAUGAGAUUGAUCAUGUUCUUGUAAUAGGAAUCACGACUUGCAUGUCGAUGAGUAUGACAACCGGCAGGAGCCAUAGGAGUUGUCUUAAUUUAUUGUAUGACCUGCGUGUCAAUGAAAAAUGCCAUGUAAUUACUUUACUUCAUUGCUAACCGUUAGCCAUAGUAGUAGAAGUAAUAGUUGGCGAGACAACUUCAUGAAGACACGAUGAUGGAGAUCAUGAUGAUGGAGAUCAUGGUGUCAUGCCGGUGAGGAAGGUGAUCAUGCCGCGCCUCGAAGAUGGAGAUCAAAAGGCGCAAGAUGAUAUUGGCCAUAUCAUGUCACUUUAUGAUUUGCAUGUGAUGUUUGUCAUGUUUACAUCUUAUUUGCUUAGAACGACGGUAGCAUAAAUAAGAUGAUCCCUCACUAAAAUUUCAAGAGAUGUGUUCCCCCUAACUAUGCACCAUUGCGAAGGUUCGUUGUUUCGAAGCACCACGUGAUGAUCGGGUGUGAUAGAUUCUAACGUUCACAUACAACGGGUGUUGACGAGCCUAGCAUGUACAGACAUGGCCUCGGAACACAAGCAAAACACUUAGGUUGACUUGACGAGCCUAGCAUGUACAGACAUGGCCUCGGAACACAAGAGACCGAAAGGUGGAACAUGAGUCGUAUAGUAGAUACGAUCAACAUGGAGAUGUUCACCGAUGAUGACUAGUCCGUCUCACGUGAUGAUCGGACAAGGCCUAGUCGAUUCGGAUCAUGUAUCACUUAGAUGACUAGAGGGAUGUCUAUCUAAGUGGGAGUUCAUUAAAUAAUCAGAUGAACUUAAUUAUCAUGAACAUAGUCAAAAGGUCUUUGCAAAUAAUGUCGUAGCUUACGCUUUAGUUCAACUAAGAUAUGUUCCUAGAGAAAAUUUAGUUGAAAGUUGAUAGUAGCAAUUAUGCGGACUGGGUCCGUAAACUGAGGAUUGUCCUCAUUGCUGCACAGAAGGCUUAUGUCCUUAAUGCACCGCUCGGUGUGCUGAACCUCGAGCGUCGUCUGUAGAUGUUACGAAACAUCUGACAUACACGUUUUGAUGACUACGUCAUAGUUCAGUGUGUGAUGCUAACGGUUUAAAAUUCUGGCACCAAAGACGGUUUUGAAACGUCGUAGAACAUAUGAGAUGUUCCAAAGACUGAAAUUGGGAUUUCAGACUAAUGCCCACGUCAAGAGGUAUGAGACCUCUGACAAGUUUCUUAAGCCUGUAAACUAAGGGAGAAAAGCUCAAUCGUUGAGCAUGUGCUCAGAUUGUCUGAGUACUACAAUCACUUGAAUCGAGUGGGAGUUAAUCUUCCAGAUGAGAUAGUGAUGGUUCUCCAUAGUCACUGCCACCAAGCUAUUAGAGCUUCGUGAUGAACUAUAACAUAUCAAGGAUAGACAUGAUGAUCCUUGAGCAACUCGCGAUGUUUGACACCGCGAAAGUAGAAAUCAAGAAGGAGCAUCAAUUGUUGAUGGUUUGUAAAACCACUAGUUUCUAGAAGGGCAAGGGCAAGAAGGGAUACUUCAUGAAACGGCAAAUCAGUUGCUGCUCUAGUGAAGAAACCCAAGGUUGAACCCAAACCCGAGACUAAGUGCGUCUGAAAUGAGGGGAAUGGUCACUGAAGCAGAACUACCCUAGAUACUUCGUAGAUGAGAAGGCUGGCAAGGUCGACAGAAGUAUAUUGGAUAUACAUUAUAUUAAUGUGUACUUUACUAGUACUCCUAGUAGCACCAGGGUAUUAGAUACCGGUUCGGUUGCUAAGUGUUAGUAACUCGAAAUAAAAGCUGCGGAAUAAACGGAGACUAGCUAAAGGUGAGAUGACGAUAUGUGUUGGAAGUGUUUCCAAGGUUGAUGUGAUCAAGCAUCGCAUGCUCCCUCUACCAUCGAGAUUGGGGUUAAACCUGAAUAAUUAUUAUUUGGUGUUUGCGUUGAGCAUAGACAUGAUUGGAUUAUGUUUAUCGCAAUACUGUUAUUCAUUAAAGGAGAAUAAUGGUUACUCUGUCUAUUUGAAUAAUACCUUCAAUGGUCUUGCACCUAAAAUGAAUGGUUUAUUGAAUCUCGAUCGUAGUGAUACACAUGUUUGAUAUAAGAUAGUAAUGAUAGUACCACAUACUUGUGGCACUGCCACUUGAGUCAUAUUGGUAUAAAACGCAUGAAGAAGCUCCAUGUUGAUGGAUCUUUGGAGUCACUCAUUUUUUAAAAGAUUAAGACAUGCGAACCAUGUCUAUUAGUAUAUAUGCAUGAAGAAAGUCCAUACAGAUGGAUCAUUUGGACUCACUUGAUUUUGAAUCACUUGAGACAUGCAAAUCAUACCACAGGGGCAAGAUGACUGAAAGGCCUCGUUUUCAGUAAGAUGGAACAAGAGAGCAACUUGUUGGAAGUAAUACAUUUGAUGUGUGCAGUCCAAUGAGUGCUGAGGCACGCAGUGGAUAUCGUUAUGUUCUUACUUCACAGAUGAUUUUAGUAGAUGCUGAGAAUAUUUACUUGAUGAAACACAAGUCUGAAUUAUUGAAAGGUUCAAGUAAUUUCAGAGUGAAGUUGAAGAUCGUCGUGACAAGAGGAUAAAAUAUCUGUGAUAUGAUCAUAGAGAUGAAUAUCUGAGUUACGAGUUUGGCACACAAUUAAGAAAUUGUGGAAAUUGUUUCAUGACUAAUACCGCCUGGAACACCAUGUUGUGAUGGUGUGUCCGAACAUCAUAACUGCACCCUAUUGGAUAUGGUGCAUACCAUGAUGUCUCUUAUCGAAUUACAACUAUCGUUUAUGGGUUAGGCAUUAGAGACAACCGCAUUCACUUUAAAUAGGGCACCACUCAAUUCCGUUGAGACGACACCGUAUGAACUAUGGUUUAGAGAAACCUAAGCUGUCGUUUCUUAAAAGUUUGGGGCUGCGACGCUUAUGUGAAAAAGUUUCAGGCUGAUAAGAUCGAACCCAAAGCGGAUAAAUGCAUCUUCAUAGAAUACCCAAAACAGUUGGGUAUACCUCCUAUUUCAGAUCUGGAAGCAAAAGUGAUUGUUUCUAGAAACGGGUCCUUUCUCGAGGAAAAGUUUCUCUCGAGAGAAUUGAGUGGGAGGAUGGUGGAGACUUGAUGAGGUCAUUGAACCGUCACUUCAACUAAUGUGUAGGAGGGCACAGGAAGUUGUUCCUGUGGCACCUACACCAAUUGAAGUGGAAGCUUAUGAUAGUGAUCAUGAAACUUCAGAUCAAGUCACUACCAAACCUCAUAGGACGACAAGGAUGCGUACUACUUCAGAGUGGUACGUAAUCAUGUCUUGGAAGUCAUGUUGCUAGACAACAAUGAACCUACGAGCUAUGGAGAAGCGAUGGUGGGCCCGGAUUCCGACGAAUGGCUCGAGGCCAUAAAAUCGGAGAGGAUCCAUGUAUGAAAACAAAGUAUAGACUUUGAAAGAACUACUUGAUGGUCGUAAGGCUGUUGGGUACAGAUGGAUUUUAAAAGGAAGACAGACAAUGAUGGUAAGUGUCACCAUUAAGAAAGCUCGACUUGUCGUUAAGAUGUUUUCCGGCAAGUUCAAGGAGUUGACUGCGAUGAGACUUUCUCACUCGUAGCGAUGCUAAGAGUCUGUUAGAAUUAUAUUAGCAGUUACUGCAUUAUUUAUGAAAUCUUGCAGAUAGGAUGUCAAAACAUUGUUUCCUCGACGAUUUUCUUGAGGAAAGGUUGUAUGUGAUACAACCAGAAGGUUUUGUCAAUCCUGAAUCAUGCUAACAAGUAUGCAAAGCUCCAGCAAUCCUUCUAAGGAUUGGAGUAAGCAUCUCGGAGUUAAAAUGAAUGCUUUGAUGAGAUGAUCAAAGAUUUUGGGUUUAUACAAAGUUCAUGAGAAACUUGUAUUUCCAAAGAAGUGAGUGGGAGCACUAUAGAAUUUUUGAUGAGUAUAUGUUGUUAACAUAUUGUUGAUCAGAAAUGAUGUAGAAUUUCUGGAAAGCAUCCAGGGUUAUUUGAAAAGUGUUUUUAAUGGAAAACCUGGAUUAAGCUACUUGAACAUUGAGCAUCAAGAUCUAUAAGGAUAGAUAAAAAACGCUUAAUAGUACUUUCAAAUGAAUACAUACCGUGACAAGAUUUUGAAGGAGUUCAAAAUAGAUCAGAAAAGAAGGAGUUCUUGGCUGUGUUACAAGGUGUGAGUAUUGAGUAAGACUCAAGACCUGACCACGGCAGAAGAAAGAGAAAGGACGAAGGUCGUCCCCUAUGCUUUAGACGUAGGCUCUACAAUAUGCUAUGCUGUGUACCGCACCUGAAGUGUGCCUUGCCAUGAGUUAGUCAAGGGGUACAAUAGUGAUCCAGGAAGGGAUCACAUGACAGCGGUCGAACUUAUCCUUAGUAUCUAGUGGACUAACGAAUUUUCUCGAUUAUGGAGGUGGAAAGGGGGUUCGUCGUAAAGGGUUACGUCGAUGCAAACUUUGACACUAAUCCGGAUGACUCUGAGUAGUGAACUGGAUUCGUAUAGUAGAGCAGUUAUUUGGAAUAGCUCCAAGUAGCGCGUGGUAGCUGCAUCUACAAGAUGACAUAGAUAUUUGUAAAGCACACACGGAUCUGAAUGUUGCAGACCCGUUGACUAAAACCUCUCUCGUAAGCAUAACAUGAUCAAACCCUACAACUCAUUGAGUGUUAAUCACAAGGUGAUGUGAACUAGAUUAUUGACUCUAGUAAACUCUUGGGUAUUAGUCACAUGGCGAUGUGAACUUUGAGUGUUAAUCACAUGGUGAUGUGAACUAGAUUAUUGACUCUAGUGAAAGUGGGAGACUGUUGGAAAUAUGCCCUAGAGGCAAUAAUAAAAUGGUUAUUAUUGUAUUUCCUUGUUCAUGAUAAUUGUCUGUUGUUCAUGCUAUAAUUGUAUUAACUGGAAACCGUAAUACAUGUGUGAAUACAUAGACCACAACAUGUCCCUAGUAAGCCUCUAGUUGACUAGCUCGUUGAUCAAUAGAUGGUUAUGGUUUCCUGACCAUGGACAUUGGAUGUCAUUGAUAACGGGAUCACAUCAUUAGGAGAAUGAUGUGAUGGACAAGACCCAAUCCUAAGCAUAGCACAAGAUCGUUUAGUUCGUUUGCUAGAGCUUUUCUAAUGUCAAGUAUCGUUUCCUUAGACCAUGAGAUUGUGCAACUCCCGGAUACCGUAGGAAUGCUUUGGGUGUACCAAACGUCACAACGUAACUGGGUGGCUAUAAAGGUGCACUACAGGUAUCUCCGAAAGUGUCUGUUGGGUUGGCAUGAAUCGAGACUGGGAUUUGUCGCUCCGUAUGACGGAGAGGUAUCUCUGGGCCCACUCGGUAAUGCAUCAUCAUAAUGAGCUCAAUGUGACUAAGGAGUUAGCCACGGGAUCAUGCGUUACGGUACGAGUAAAGUGACUUGCCGGUAACGAGAUUGAACAAGGUAUUGGGAUACCGACGAUCGAAUCUCGGGCAAGUAACGUACCGAUUGACAAAGGGAAUUGUAUACGGGAUUGAUUGAAUCCUCGACAUCGUGGUUCAUCCGAUGAGAUCAUCAUGGAACAUGUGGGAGCCAACAUGGGUAUCCAGAUUCCGCUGUUGGUUAUUGACCGGAGAGUCAUCUCGGUCAUGUCUGCAUGUCUCCCGAACCCGUAGGGUCUACACACUCAAGGUUCGGUGAUGCUAGGGUUGUAGAGAUAUUAGUAUGCGGUUAACCGAAAGUUGUUCGGAGUCCCGGAUGAGAUCCCGGACGUCACGAGGUGUUCCGGAAUGGUCCAGAGGUAAAGAUUUAUAUAUGGGAAGUCCUAUUUUAGCCACCGGAAAAUGUUCGGGAUUUUUCGGUAUUGUACCGGGAAGGUUCUAGAAGGUUCCGAAGUGGGGCCCACCUGCAUGGGGGGACCCACAUGAACGUGGGUAGUGGGGGCAAGGCCCCACACCCCUGGUCAAGGCACACCAAGAUCCCACCUUAGAAGAAACAAGAUCAUAUCCCGAAGGGAUAAGAUCAAGAUCCCUAAAAAGGGGGGAUAACAAUCGGUGGGGAAGGGAAAUGAUGGGAUUUCUUUCCCCCACCUUUGCCAACGCCCCAAUGGACUUGGAGGGCAAGAAACCAGCCCCUCCACCCCUAUAUAUAGUGGGGAGGCGCAUGGGAGCAGCACCCCAAGCCCUGGCGCCUCCCUCCAUCCCGUGACACCUCUUCCUCCCCGCUUGCGCUUGGCGAAGCCCUGCCGGGAUCCCGCUACUUCCACCACCACGCCGUCGUGCUGCUGGAUCUCCAUCAACCUCUCCUCCCCCCUUGCUGGAUCAAGAAGGAGGAGACAUCGCUGCUCCGUACGUGUGUUGAACGCGGAGGUGCCGUCCGUUCGGCGCUAGGAUCAUCGGUGAUUUGGAUCACGACGAGUACGACUCCAUCAACCCCGUUCUCUUGAACGCUUCCGCUCGCGAUCUACAAGGGUAUGUAGAUGCACUCCUCCCCUCUCGUUGCUAGCAUCUCCUAGAUUGAUCUUGGUGACACGUAGGAAAAUUUUGAAUUUCUGCUACGUUCCCCAACACCCCACCACGAAAACUUCGGACGAAAUCUCUAUCCUAUGUUUGUUCCGGCUUAUUCUGCAAGCCAAUCCUUUGUUUUGUUAAGAGUUGUGGUAUUUGAGUUGCUUCAAAGUCAAAUGUUGAUUCCAUACCUUUUUCUAAGUGGCUUCUCAACUUAUGGAAGUGUGAUGAUUUACUAUGGAAUUCAUUCGUUCAUCCUCGUUUGAAUGCUUAUUGUGAAGACUAUAUGUUGCAAAUUUCUAUCUGUUGAUUCAACUUGUCUAUCUGUCUAUCAAGAUGCUAAUGGAUGUCACCCUCUUCAGGAUGGCUCUGCCAACGCGUCAGAAUCCGGAACGCAAUGAUGGGAGUCAGGCGAACCCUCCGCCUCCACCUCCGCCUCCGGAGGCAUGGCAAGCUAUCAUGGCAGCCACCAACGCCAAUGCUCAGAUGAUUUUGCAACUCUUGCAAGAGCGCACCCAAGGGCAAGGCAACCAAGGAAACCAAGGCCAAGGCAACAAUCAGCCUCACUUCGCUACCCUCAACCAGUUCCUUGCAAAUCAGCCGAAGUCAUUCAGCUACUGUGCCGAGGCCACAGACGCCGAUGAUUGGCUAGUGGACAUCAACAAGCAUUUUGAAUGUAGCAAUGUCGGGCCUGAGGACUUUGUCAAGUUUGCUUCUUUUCAACUCAAGGGUCAAGCUGCUGAUUGGUAUCAACAAUACAAAGACUCCAGAGGAGGUCGUGUGAUCACUUGGACUGACUUCUAUCGGGACUUCAAAGCUCACCACAUUCCACAAAGUGUUGUUGAGAGCAAGCGUGAGGAGUUCCGCAAUCUCAAGCAAGGCAGCAUGUCCAUGUAUCAAUACAACAUCCAGUUUCAGAAACUUGCUCGCUUCGCUAAACAAGACGUUCCUGAUGAAAAGAGCAUGAUCUAUCACUUCAGAGGUGACCUUAGAGAGGAUCUGCAGUUAGCUCUCGUUCUUGUUGAGCCUACUCAGUUUGAUCAAUUCUAUAACAUGGCACUGAAGCAAGAAGCUGCCCAGCUCAAGUGUGAGGCUUCUAAGAAGAGAGUCAGGGACGCAGUUCAGUCUUCUUCUUCCUCACUAGUGGCAGCUAAGCAUCAGAAGUUUUGGUUGCCACCUCCUCCUCCGUUUCGUCAGCCGUUCCAGCAGAAGAACAAAGGUGGCCAUGGAUCUUCCCACCCACCCAACCUUGGCUAUCUGAACAAGUCUCAGAAUCAAGCUCCAAGGCCAAAUGCUCCUUAUCAUCGUUCGCUCUCAGAGCUAACUUGCAACAAGUGUCAGCAGAAAGGUCACUAUGCUAACAAGUGCUUCAACCAAAGGCGCCUUUUGCCUCCUCCUCCUGUGAGAUCUUCCAGCAAUGCAGUGGUCAAGCAUAAUCCCAAGUCUGCAAAGGUGAACAUGAUGAAUGCAGCUCAAGCGGAGGAAUCUACUGAUGUGAUAAUGUGUAAUCUCUCAGUUAAUGAUAUUCCUGCAAAAGUCUUAUUUGAUACCGGUGCAUCACAUUCUUUCAUGUCAUAUCCUUUUGCAUCGAAGCACAAUUUUGACACAGAGGAAUUACCUAGAGCAAUGCAAGUUGUUUCUCCAGCUAAGCGUUUGAGAUGUACCAUGUUGGUUCCGAAUGUCGGUAUCAAGAUGAGCGACUAUAAAUUUCUGUCUUCUCCAAUUGUCCUUGGUGACUCGGACAUUGAUCUAAUUCUUGGGAUGGACUGGCUUUCUAAGCACAAGGCUCAACUUGAUUGUGCUUCCAGGGAAAUUCAUUUAACACACUCUUCUGAGGAUGUAAUCAUCUAUGCCGCUCGUGAUGAGACCAUUCGGUUAUUCUCUCUAAAUUAAAAGGGCGAGCUAGACGCAAUCUCUCAGAUUCCAGUCGUUUGUGAGUACCAAGAUGUCUUUCCAGAAGAGCUUCCGGGUAUGCCUCCUCACCUGCCAGUCGAAUUUGUUAUCGAUCUUGAGCCCGGCACUGAACCCGUUUGCAAGCGUCCAUACAAGCUAGGACCCAAGGAGCUGAAAGAAUUGAAGAAACAGCUCGAUGAACAAGAGCGUCUGGGUUUGAUCAGACCAAGUUCAUCUCCGUGGGGUUGUGGUGUUCUUUUUGUCCAGAAGAAGGAUGGCACGGACCGACUUUGUGUCGACUACCGCCCAUUGAACAAGAAGACAAUCAAGAACAAGUAUCCACUUCCCAACAUCAAUGAGCUUUUCGAGCAACUCAAAGGUGCUAAAGUUUUCUCCAAGCUUGACCUUCGUAUGGGUUAUCAUCAGAUUCGCAUUCGUGAAGAAGAUAUUCCCAAGACAGCAUUCAGAACAAGUUUUGGUUCUUAUGAAUAUACUGUCAUGUCUUUCGGCCUUGUCAAUGCUCCUCCAACAUUCUCUCGAAUGAUGAAUUUCAUCUUCAACCCCUAUACCAAUGAAUUCGUGCCGGUGUAUCUCGAUGAUAUCUUGGUCUUCUCCAAGAAUAAGAAGGACCAUGCCAAACAUUUGCGAUUGGUGCUCGACAAGCUCAGAGAGUAUCAAUUCUAUGCGAAGUUUUCCAAAUGUGAGUUUUGGCUUGAUGAAGUUGUUUACCUUGGUCAUAUCAUCUCUGCCAAGGGCAUCGCUGUUAACCCCGCGAAGGUGUCUGCAGUUGUGGAUUGGGAACCUCGUUAGAAUGUCAAGCAGCUCCGCAGUUUUCUUGGGCUUGCAAGCUAUUGCCGAAGAUUCGUUGGGAAUUUCUCUAAGAUUGCAAAGCCUCUUUCCAACCUCCUCCAGAAGCAUGUGAAGUAUGUCUGGACUCCUGAGUGUGACGUAGCUUUCAACACUCUCAAAGAGAAACUUGUCACAGCUCCCGUCUUAACUCCUCCUGACGAAUCCAAGCCAUUUGAAGUUUUCCGUGAUGCUUCUCUUCAAGGUCUCGGUGCUGUGUUAAUGCAAGAGAAGAAAGUUGUGGCCUAUACCUCUCGUCAGUUGAAGCCCAACGAAAAGAACUACCCCACUCACGAUCUUGAGUUGGCGGCAGUUGUCCAUGCAUUAAUAACAUGGAGACAUCUCUUGUUGGGAAGGAAAGUGGACAUAUUCACCGAUCACAAGAGUGUCAAGUACAUCUUCACUCAACCCAACCUCAACCUCAGGCAAACUCGAUGGGUCGAAAUGAUUCAAGAGUACAAUCCGAGUAUUGAAUAUACUCCAGGCAAGGCCAAUGCCAUUGCAGAUGCUUUGAGCAGAAAGGCUUAUUGCAACAGCUUAAUUCGCAAGCCAUUUCAACCGGAUCUUUGUGAAGCUUUCCGCAAACUCAAUCUUCAAGUUGUUCCUCAAGGUUUUCUUGCCAACCUCCUAGUCUCUCCUACUUUGGAAGAUCAAAUUCGUGAGGCACAACUUCUUGAUGCCAUGGUGAAGAAGGUGAAACUGGGGAUUGCCAAGGGCAUUUCCAAAUACAAGUGUUAUCGCAUUGAUGACGGAGACACUCUUUUCUUCGAGGAUCGAAUUGUGGUUCCUAAGGGCGAUCUGAGGAAAGUCAUUAUGAACGAAGAGCACAAUUCUAUUCUUUCCCUUCAUCCUGGAAGUACGAAGAUGUACCAUGACCUCAAGCAGUCGUAUUGGUGGACUCGAAUGAAGCGAGAGAUUGCUCAAUUCGUGAAUGAAUGUGAUGUCUGCAGAAGGGUGAAAGCAGAACACCAACGACCAGCUGGUCUCCUCCAACCUCUUGCUAUUCCAGAAUGGAAGUUUGAUCAUAUCGAGAUGGACUUUAUGACUGGAUUUCCUAAGUCCAAGCGUGGAAAUGAUGCUAUCUUCGUUGUCAUUGACAAGCUUACAAAAGUGGCUCAUUUCCUUCCAAUCAAAGAAUCUAUCACAGCAGCUCAGUUGGCAGAGCUAUACACCUCCAGGCUUGUCUCCUUGCACGGCAUUCCACAAUUGAUCCUUCGGAUCGUGGAAGCAUCUUCACUUCUAUGUUCUGGGACUCCUUCCAGAAGGCCAUGGGCACCAACUUUCGCUUCAGCACAGCUUUCCAUCCUCAAACAAGUGGCCAAGUCGAGCGAGUCAAUCAAAUCCUUGAAUAUAUGCUCAGGGCUUGUGUCAUUUCCUUUGGCAUGAAGUGGGAAGAUUGUCUUCCAUAUGCCGAGUUCUCCUACAACAACAGCUUCCAAGCAAGUUCGGGCAAGGCCCCAUUCGAAAUUCUCUAUGGCAGGAAGUGUCGUACUCCUCUGAACUGGUCAGAGACUGGUGAACGCCAACUCCUUGGCAAUGACUUAAUCACAGAGGCUGAAGAAAUGUGUAAAGUCAUCCGUGAAAAUCUCAAAGCCGCGCAAUCGCGCCAGAAGAGCUACUAUGAUAGAGAGCACCGUGAUGUGGCUUUUGAAAUCGGAGACCAUGUGUACCUCCGCGUCUCUUCAAUGAAAGGCACUCGUCGCUUCGGUAUCAAAUGGAAGCUUGCCCCUAGAUACGUGGGUCCUUUCAAGAUCCUUGGUGAAAGAGGCGAUCUCGCCUAUCAACUUGAGCUUCCCUCAAAUUUUGCGAAUAUGCACGAUGUGUUCCACGUGUCACAGCUUCGCAAGUGCUUCAAGACUCCUGAGCGCACCAUCAAAUUCGAAGAGAUUGACCUCCAAGAAGAUCUGGCUUAUCAUGAGCACCCCGUUGCUAUUCUUGAAGAAACUGGGCGCAAGACUCGCAACAGGUCAAUCAAAUCCCUGAAAGUGAAGUGGUCACACCAUUCCGACCGAGAAGCCACCUGGGAGCGCGAGGACCACCUCCGUUCCGAUUAUCCGGAGUUCUUUCAGUCCUAGAUCUCGGGACGAGAUCCUCUCGUAGUGGUGGAGUGUUGUAACACCCCGGAUGUGACUUCCCAUAUUUGUAACUCCAACUCUUGUCAUUUUCGGCUAUGUGUUAUGAUAUUCCCUCCGUGGUUGGGUUUUGUUUAUCGUUUUGCUUUUUGUUCAUGUCAUGCAUUUCAUAUCAUGUCAUCAUGUGCAUCGCAUUUGCAUACGUGUUCGUCUCUGGCAUCCGAGCAUUUUCCCCGUUGUCCGUUUUGCAAUUCGACACUUCCACAUGCACCGGCGCACCCCUCUUGUCUCUUUUUGUUAGCGGGUGUUAAACGUUCUCAGAAUGGACCGAGGUGUGCCAAGUGGCCUUGGUACACCACCGGUAGACCACCUGUCAAGUUUCGUUCCAUUUGGAGGUCGUUUGAUGUUCCAACGGUUAACCGGGUAACCGCAAAGGCCUCUUGUGUGUUGCAGCCCAACACCCCUGCAAAACAGCCCAAGAACCCAUAUAAGCCCCCUCCAUGCUCUCCGCCGUUCGAUCACGCUCGCGUGGCCGAAAAGUACACCCCAGUUGGAGUCUCCUAGCUCCCUCUAGCUAUAAAUAUGUGCACUCCUCCGAAAUCCCGGGUCCCGAAACCCUAGCCUCGCCCCUCUCCGCCGCCGGACACGUCCGGAUCGGGCCGGACAAAUCGCCGCCGCCGCCCGAGCCAACUGGAGGGCACCACGUGGCGCUCCCCGCCGCCAGCCGCCGCCGGCCCGCCCGAGCCCGCGGGAGGUCCUCCCCGAGCCCAUCGUCGCCCCGCGCCUCCGCGCGCCUCCCGCGUCGGCCCGCUGNNNNNNNNNNNNNNNNNNNNNNNNNNNNNNNNNNNNNNNNNNNNNNNNNNNNNNNNNNNNNNNNNNNNNNNNNNNNNNNNNNNNNNNNNNNNNNNNNNNNNNNNNNNNNNNNNNNNNNNNNNNNNNNNNNNNNNNNNNNNNNNNNNNNNNNNNNNNNNNNNNNNNNNNNNNNNNNNNNNNNNNNNNNNNNNNNNNNNNNNNNNNNNNNNNNNNNNNNNNNNNNNNNNNNNNNNNNNNNNNNNNNNNNNNNNNNNNNNNNNNNNNNNNNNNNNNNNNNNNNNNNNNNNNNNNNNNNNNNNNNNNNNNNNNNNNNNNNNNNNNNNNNNNNNNNNNNNNNNNNNNNNNNNNNNNNNNNNNNNNNNNNNNNNNNNNNNNNNNNNNNNNNNNNNNNNNNNNNNNNNNNNNNNNNNNNNNNNNNNNNNNNNNNNNNNNNNNNNNNNNNNNNNNNNNNNNNNNNNNNNNNNNNNNNNNNNNNNNNNNNNNNNNNNNNNNNNNNNNGUCCGCCGUGUCGCCGGUCGCCGCCCCCGCGCCGCCGUCCUCCGCCGUGUCGCCGGUCGCCGCCCCCGCGCCGCUGGUCCCCGUCGCCCCCUCGCCGUCCGGCGACCGCUCCCUGGCCAGAUCCGGCGGGCCCCGACCGGCCCCGUCCCGCCGGCGCCAUCUCCCUCCUCUCCAUCUCCGGCCGGCGUCCUCCUCUUCUCCGGCGAGCCGCCGCCUACCUCGAACUGCGCGCGAGAUCCAGAUCCAAAGCGGAGGUUGACCCCGAAAUUCCACCAAGUCAUUUCUCUGUCAUAUUUUGUUGCUCUGUUCAUCACAUCAUACCUCCUUGCAUACUGCUCCGUUUCAUGCGCAUGAUAUAUCAAAAUGUUCACCACGAGAUGCUCUUCAAUUUGUUACAUUGUGACAUGCUCGUUUGAGUUCAUCUGGUUACUCAAAUAUUUGAUGCAAAAGUGCUAUAUGAUGUUUACUGCUUUUCCUUAUCAGAACUUGAUGUUUUGUUAUUUUUGUUGCAUUUGAUGUGUGCAUCUUUUGGGGAUGAGCCCUACAUGUAUUUUGAUCUAUGCCAUGCCAUCUUUACAUAGGUGCUGGACAUGUAUGUUUGCAAUCUAUGGGGUGACUAGCACAAGCAUGCAAACUAGGCUUCGUCAUGUUUCUGUUUUCAGGGACUUAGGAUUUUGCCAAGUCUUUUCCUGCUGUUAUUUUUUAAUGCCAUGUAAACUUGAUGCUACAGUGAGAUCCACGCUUAUUUUGUGAUACUUCAGUAAGGAUAUUUUGAACAUAUGGUUAUGCUCUAUCCAUCCAUGCCACUGCUUGCAAUUAUGGAGUGACGUAGCAUGUCCCAAUCUUGCUCUACUUUUGCUAUUAAAUGUUCCUGGAAGAAUGUUAACAUGCUAUUCAAUUUUGCCAAGGUUGUUGUAGUUGAUCCAUACAUGCUAUGAACUUGCUCUUGCCAUGGAUAGCUUCAUGAACAUGUCUUCUUGCUGUUGGUAUGCUUAUUUUGUCAUGCACUGCCUUGUGAUGAGUGCAUCGAGCUCACAAAUAUGCCUUCAUAAUUCUGUUAAUGUCAUGCUCUGUUUUCUGCCAAGUCUGAAAUCUGUUAACGAAACUUGCUAUGUUUACAUGGGUGCCAUCAUAUCUUCUGUGCCUUUUUAGCUCAUGAUCAGUAGGGGACUUUUGUUCUAUGCAUUUAGUAGAUUUAUGCUAUGCCUUGUUUUGCUUUGAUAAGUUCCUGUAGCAUGUUGAUUGCUUGCUCUAAACAUUGCUACCUGCUGCUGUUUAUGCCAUGUUCAGUAUUUUCACCAAGUUUGUGAAGCUGAUAUCUUUUGCACUUUUGCUAUGCUUGUUUGAACCUGCUCUGCUGUGAUUUAGCCGUAGCUCACUGUUCAUCUUUUGUCAGGCAUCUUGAGUACAUCACUGUCAUAUUCUUUGUUGUUAUGUUGGAGUGCAGUAGCUUAGUUUCUUGUUGCAUGCUAAGUGGCAUCGUGCUGUUAAUCGCAGAAUUGUGUCAUCCUUGUUUUGCUUGUCAUUUGCAAACCGUGCAUCCGAUUCCGGUGAUCUUUAUAUCGAUUUCAACUGAAAUCAUCUCAUCUUUCCAGCGGCAUACUUGGUUUGCCAAGUCGAUGCCUUGUUCAUCUUUUUCUUCCGGAGCACGCACAUGCAUUGCAUAUCACAUCUCGCAUGUCAUGCCAUGUAUUGCAUCAUGUUGCUUGUGCAUUGCACCGUGUUUGAUCGUGGUUCCAUUGCUUGUGUUCUUGCUUUGGGUAGAGUCGGGAGAUGAGUACGUGAACGAGGAACCUGUUGAGAACUGUCGUGGAAUUGUCACGGGAGAUGUCCUCGUGCAAGGACUUAGUCGUGGAUCCAUCGCAGCUAGGAAGCUUAAAUGGGUUAAACGGGACAAAGGACACGAGGAUUAUACUGGUUCGGCCCCUUACGUUGAAGGUAAAAGCCUACUCCAGUUGAGGUGGAAUUACUUAGGGUUUCGAUGACCAGGAGCUAAGCCGCUCUGCCUGGCUAUCGAUCUGAUCUUACUUGUCCUGAACCGCCGCCGGGUCGUCCCUUUAUAUAGAAAGGUUAACGCCCAGCGGCUCUCAGAGUUCCGGCCGGUUCAUAAACUGUGUCCGGCUUGGACUCUUAACUAUUCUUGCCUUACACUACAAGUCAUGCCACAACGGCGGUUUACCACUACGGGCCUUAAGUCGCCUCUGGGCCUUAGACCUAUUACUAAACCGCCAUCCUUAACCUGUCCUUGGGCUUCUGAACGAAGAGCUGUUGCAACGUAACCCGGCCCAUCUUGGGCGGGUUACACCGGUAGCUAUAUCCUCAACAUUAGGCCCCAGAUUGAUUUGAACCGGUUCAUGUCAAUCUUCAAUACCUUAAGAAAAAUCUUCCGGCUUCUGUUUGCGCAAAGGUUAUAACCCGCCAUGACGUCAUCUUCUGGAUUCUUGGUAAACCGCUGUGGCGUCACCCGCCAUUAAUGCACGUUCUGUCCAACGUAUCUCAACGGAUUCUUAUCUUAAUAACUAUCCCGAAAAUCGAGGCACCUCUGCAGCUGGAUAAUCAUGUCUUCAGCCUCCUCGUUUCUCGCGCCCACUCAUCAGCCGUCCCUUAUAAAUAGGCCCGACCGGGUCCUCUCUCACUCUUCCCUUUCCAUCGUCUUCCUUCUCUCAAACGCCCCAGAACCUGAGCUCCGCCGUCACCGCCGCGCCUCUCGUCUUCCUCAGCCUCGGCCGCUGGAUCAACCUGAGCUGGUCCAGAGAACGGCGGCGACUCUCCGCAGCAAACCUGCAGCCGUAAGUCUCCUCCUUCUCAAAUGUCAGAUCUGCAUUAGGGUUUCCAAGUUCUUCCCUGUUCUUCGCAACUCAUCACGAUUUCCUUGUAGUUCUUCCACUACGGUCAUGUUUGAUCCAAAAGUAGUACGGAGCUCCUGCGGUAGUUGUUUCGCAUCCAUUUUUAUGCUAGCAAAUCCCUUCUCCUUGUACAAAGACCUCCUUAGAGCUCACGAACUCAUCUGUACCAGUUUUUAGGUCUAGAACAUUUUCUUUUCUGAACGACCAUUUGAUCCAAAAUAAUCCCUGCAAUCUGUGAAACUUGUUUGUGCAACACUUAGGCAAAAAUUGCAUCUGUUAGCUAUGGCGGCUCAUAUCUCCGGCUUUAAAAAAGGCAAUGCUUCAUGAAUAUUCCGGCUCAUUCAUAAUAUAUUCAAAUAACUUAAUUGCUCAUGAUAUCCAUAGCUGCUUAAAUAAUCUGACACAAUUAGCCAUAUAACAUUAGGCCCCUUCAUAAGCCGCCACCUUAAAUAUUAAACCGAAACUUUCCUCCGGCUUAAAUUUGAACCGGAAAUUUUAUUUUGUCAUAGGCUUCCAUCCUUCACAAUGCCGCCCAAGGUUGCCCAAGAAAGAGGUCAUGUCAUAUCGUGCUCCUGACCCGUCUGAAGAGAGACCUCAACCCAAGGACGGAGAGGUUGUCAUAUUUGCUUAUCACAUGAGCCGGGGCUUUGCUCCUCCCGGCUCAAAAUUCUUCAGAGAUGUCCUGCACUUUUUCGACCUGCGACCUCAAGACAUUGGACCCAAUUCUGUGUCAAACAUUUGUAACUUCCAAGUGUUCUGUGAGGUGUACCUUGGAGAAGAGCCCAACUUGCUACUCUUUAGGGAGUUAUUUUAUCUGAACCGCCAGAAUGAAUGUGCCAACGGGCCUAGCUUGGAACUCGGUGGAAUCUCAAUCCAACGACGGAGAGAUUGUCUCUUCCCUUAUGCUGAGCCGCCAAGCCACCCAAAAGAUUGGAACCAGACAUGGUUCUAUUGCCAAGAUACUUCUCCGGCUGAUGAGAACCCUCUGCCCGGCUUUCGCGCCCUGCGUCUAGAGUCAAAUCACCCCCUGCCAGACAAAUUAUCUCAAGCUGAACGUCAACCACUUAUUCCCACCAUCAACGAAAUCAAAGCUCUUCUGGGGAACGGCCUAAAUGGCAUUGAUCUGGUCCGGGUCUGGAUUUCCUGGCAGGUGAUUCCUUUAAGCCGCCGCCCCGGCUUAAUGUGUGAUUACACGGGCCGGAAGGAUGAUUCUCUUUGGCACAGUCCCGACGAGUUACCUGAGGACGUCAUUGAUGAUAUGACCAAGUCUCUUCUGAACGAGAGCCUGGCAGAUUGCGGGAGGACAGGCUUAAGUCCUUUCUGCAAGGCUAACCCGGCCCUAGCGGUAAACUAUUGACCUGAACACCUCACCUUCCAUUUUAACGAUUUCGUCUUAACUUCAAAAACCUUUGUUGUAUUUUACAGGCUAAUGAUAAAUUCUGGAAGGUCAAGUAUGACCAUGAAGCUGCUAAGAACGCCAGAGAGGUUAAAAAAGCCGCCAGGAAAGCCGCUCCCCGCAAGAAGGGGAGUAAACCUAGCGCCUCGCACCUGCUUCACCUGGAAGACACCUCCGAGUCAGAGGUAGCCCUUGACUCUUUAGGCUCCUUUUUUAACCAUCUUAUUGACAUGGAUUAUCAGCAGGAGGACACAGGAACGAGUCAUGAAGUGAUUGAAGAGGUAACUAUAAUUUCCUCCGACUCGGAGCCCUUGCGAAGACUGAAUGUCCGAAGAGUAACCCGGAAAGUAAGAUUUUCACAUCCUUUAGCUUAUCAAGAUCCUCAAUUUCUUUUGAAGCGACAGAUUUAUGAGAGUCGGAGGCAGACCCGGACCAGCAAGGAUGCAGACCUUUCCUCCGGCUUACCCGAAGCAUCAAGGAAGCGCCGGACCGAGGUUAUCACUGACUUAUAUCCUUUUCAUCCUUUGGCGGGCGUCACUCGUCAACCACCCAAUUCUUCUGAUUCAAACUAUCAGGGAACUUCACCUUCCUCCGGCGACUCCAUGCAGUCUAGCUUGCCGGCUUUCAAAACCGCACCCGGGUAAUGAUGAUCAGCUUAUUUUGUGCUUAUCUUACUCAUGUUUUUGCACUAACCCUUUGACUUUCAGUGUACAGGUAAAGCCCAGCAGGAGGGCGAAGAAAAAUAAGCCGGCCGAAGAGCCGGUCCUGACUGAACCAGAUGCUUCUGCUCAUGAUCCGCCAUCUGCACCAGCUCCUGAAACCACCACUGCUCCAUCUGAUGAACAAGUUAUGGAAGGUUCUGAUAACCCAGAGAUCCCCAGCCCGGCUCAUCCAGAUGAUCCGGACGUUGUAAUUACCCGGACCGAGUUUGUUGAACCGGGAAGACCCACCGUGUUGGUUAGGUGCCCUGCCAAGGAAGAACUUCUGGAACGCCGCAGGGCCAGGCUGGAAAUCACUGAUUAUGCUCAUCUGAGCAUUGGAGAUAUUGUCUCUGGCUAUAUUAAUCAAGUGCACAACAGCUGGGACCUGGAAAUUGAUAUGGUGAAGCAAAUACAGCAAAAGUGUGAGGUAUGACUCUCUUGCUUACUCCAUAAUUAUCCUUACCAUGCCAGCCCCCAAGUCUAUUACUUAUAAUGAAAUAUGUUGUAGACUUAAUGCCGGCUUAGUAAUCACUGCAAGAAAACCGGCUUAUCUGGUAACACUCGAGGGCCGGUUUAAACAGCAUAGUUGAACCGGUCCUUACCUUGUUUUAAUCAAGUAGUUGAGCAGCUUUACGCAUUAGCCCCCAAGUGCCAAGUACCUUUGCCUGCAAAGUGCUUGGGACUUAUUUUCAUUUUCCGGCACUGUAAAUAGAGCUCUUCAACAUACAUUAGCCCCCAAGUGCCAAGUGUCUUUGCUUGCAAAGUGCUUGGGACUUAAUGUUGUAUUAUAAUCACCCUAACUGUAACCCGGAAUUUGUACAGGCCGUCUGUAAGAAAUUUGAAUCGGAAAACUCUGAUCUGAAGAACCGCCUGAAGACUCAGGAAAGUGAAACCCAAAAGGCCAACUCUAAAUUUGAAUUCAGUGUAUCUACACAAGAGAAACUGAAGAAAAAGUUUGAAGCAGAAAGAAAAGCCUGGGUGGAUGAAAAAACUGCUUUGCUCAGCCGGGCCGAACAAGCGGAGGCCACUCUUACUGAAAGAACCGCCGAGCUAUCCGGCUUAAAACGCCAUGUAUCUCAGAUGGUUUCCGCAAUCUUUGGUAAGUUACUCUGUAAGUUUUUAGCUAGUUUACAUCGUUCAUUUCCCAUAAGCAUCUCAAUUGCCAUCAGCUCACCUGACUUUGUAAUGCAGGUCCCCGGAGUUCCAAUCUCAACCAGAACGUGCUGAUCAAACUGAAGGCGGUUUAUAACUUUGUAGAGCAACUUUACACCGGGUCACAACAUGCCUUAGCCGUUGUGGCUCUGUCAAACAAAGUUCCCACUCAUCUGGCGGAUGUACUCAGGCGGCUUGCCGUGCUUCCUCAACGCUUCCAGGAGUUAAGACGUGCUUCUGCAAGAGCCGGAGCCAUAGUCACUCUAAGCCGGGCCAAGGCGUUUCUACCAGAACUAGACCCGGCCGACAUCGCCCUUGGGUAUCCUAGCUUGAAGGAAGAUGGCACUCCCUUUGACCAGAAGGACUUCGCCGCUUGCGUGAAGAGCGUACGCCCUAUGGCCACUUUGAUUGGUAAUGACACAAACCUUACCAAAUAUCAACCGGGCUAUGACGCGGAGAAUCAGAGGAUCCCAACACCUCGUUAUGAAGAAGUCAGCCUAAUUCCUCUGACUCGUAAGCAUACCUUCGCCCCUGAAGUUGACCCGGCCGGGUUAAUUGAUGAUGAAGCUCAAUUUGAAGCCUUGAGUGGCAUUGACUGGAAAUCAUCAACCUUCCAGGAUAUGGAAAUAGCCGGAGGAGCGAAGAGGGAUGAACCGGAAGCUUCAGCCCAACAACACCUUUGAUCUCUACGGUGGCUCAUGGUUAUGUCAUAAAAACAAUGCCUCACCUUUUGGACUCAGGGAGUCAUGUAAUAGAGUAGGAUAAGCACUUAAUUUUGCUGUGCCAUCGUGCACGUGUGUAACGCUCAAUACUGUUUAAGCCGCUCUUUUAUAUUCUUCUGGGUUAUGCUUGAUCCUCUGCUUUCCUUAAGUUUAAAGAGCUGUCUUUAAUUGUCCUGCAUAGAAAACAAAUCACAAGUCCCUAGGCGGCUCACCGCAUGGAGAGUCAUAUAUCAUACAUAAAACCCGGAAUAUGAAUCAAAGUAAUAAUAAACCGGUUCUCAAUUAUAUCUUGGAGAUAACCAUAACAGCAUACCUGCGAGCCUUCGAGUAUACUUCUGGUUUAUGUAACCCGAAUAAUGAGGUUAAGAACUCAACUCCGGUUCAUCAGCACAUAUAAUGCUUAUUAUGUGCUAUCAACGUUAUUCAUCAAGGUUAAGCCGGUGGAAUAAGAACCACCCUUGAACAAUUUUGAUAUGAUCAAAAGAACUUGUUUGCAACAAAAAGAUUUCAAAAAUUUGGAGGCUUCUGAUUUGAACACGACCAGAGAACCGGCCCAAAGGGUUAAGCUAAGAUUCGAAUACGAUCAUAUAGCCCCUAGUGGCUUUGGCGUUGCCGAUCAAGAGGGUACCGACAACUAUGUUCUCUUUGGUUCGAAUACGACCUAUGUUUGAACAGGAAGCCCCCAAAUGACCUUGAGAGUUGUUUAACGACGCUGAUUCGAAUACGAUCCACGUCGGUUCCCAAAGGGGGUUGAGCUAUGAUUCAAAUAUGAUCAACAAACUCCCCAAUGAGCUCGGCAAUAUGCCAAUCGAGUGGGUAUCGACAACUAUGUUCUCUUUGGUUCGAAUACGACCUAUGUCUGAACAGGAAGCCCCCAAGCGAUCAUAUUUUUAACGGCUUGAUUUGAAUACAAUCAUAAGCCGGAUCAACCUCCAAGUGACCAUGUAAUAUUACAAUGGAAACAACAAUGACACAUUUACCUUUGGAGGGAAAAAAGGACAGAGGUCCUGCUUUAUUAUUUAUCAUAAUAUAUACAUAUCUAUAGAAAUAUGUACAUUAUGAGAGUCGGUGGCUCAAGUGUAAUAAGGCCGAAGCUGAGCUAUAUUCCACGGCCGGCGGGUCUCCUCCUCCGAAUUACGUGAAUCUUUGUGCUCUCGAACAUCGAUGAGGUAGUAUGACCCGUUGUGCAAGUUCUUACUGACCACAAAGGGCCCUUCCCAAGGUGGGGAUAGUUUGUGUGCAUCUGUUUGAUCCCGUUUGAGCCGGAGCACCAAAUCACCUCCUGAAAGGUCCUGGAUUUAACCCGGUGGCUGUGAUAGCAGCGCAGGUCUUGCUGGUAAAUCGCCGAGCGAGCUGCUGCUAUGUCACGUUGUUCGUCCAACAAGUCAAGAGCAUCUUGACGCGCCUGCUCAUUAUCCGCCUCGACAUAAGCCGUCACUCGAGGCGAGUCAUGACGGAUGUCGCUAGGGAGGACCGCCUCAGCUCCGUAAACCAUGAAGAAAGGUGUGUAACCCAUAGACCUGUUAGGAGUAGUAUUGGCGCUCCAUAAUACAGAAGGUAACUCCUCCACCCAACAACCCGGCGUCCGUUGCAAAGGGACCAAAAGCCGGGGCUUGAUGCCCUUUAAGAUUUCCUGAUUGGCUCUCUCAGCUUGACCUUUGGAUUGAGGGUGAGCCACUGAUGAAACAUCAAGCCGAAUAUGCUCUCGUUGACAAAAAUCCGCCAUGGCGCCUUUAGAUAGAUUGGUACCAUUGUCAGUUAUAAUGCUGUGUGGAAAACCAAAGCGAAAUAUCACCUUUUUCAUGAACUGAACCGCCGUGGCUGCGUCACACUUACUAACUGGCUCUGCCUCAACCAACUUUGUGAACUUGUCAACCACCACCAAGAGGUGGGUCUUCUUAUCUUUGGACCUUUUGAAAGGCCCAACCAUAUCAAGCCCCCAGACUGCAAACGGCCAAGUGAUUGGAAUCAUCCUCAACUCUUGAGCCGGCACGUGAGCCCGUCUUGAGAACUUCUGACAACCGUCACAUUUACUGACCAAGUCCUCUGCAUCAGCAUGAGCCGUCAGCCACUAAAAACCAUGACGAAAAGCCUUGGCCACAAGGGAUUUUGAGUCGGCAUGAUGGCCACAAUCCCCCUCGUGAAUCUCACAUAAAAUUUCUUGACCUUCCUCAGAGGAAACACAACGCUGAAAAGCUCCAGUGACACUGCGAUGAUGCAGCUCGCCACUGACAAUUAUCAUUGACUUAGACCGCGGGGUUAUUUGUCUGGCCAAAGUUUCAUCCUCAGGCAAUUCUCCCCGGGUCAUGUAAGCCAAGUAUGGCACUGUCCAAUCUGGGAUAACGUGGAGAGCCGCCACCAACUGUGCUUCUGGGUCAGGAACAGCCAAGUCUUCCUCUGUAGGUAACUUGACAGAAGGGUUAUGCAGAGUAUCCAAGAAAGUAUUAGGCGGCACCGGCUUUCGCUGAGAGCCUAACCGGCUUAAUGCAUCAGCCGCCUCGUUCAUUCUGCGAUCGAUGUGCUCUACUUGGUAACCCUGAAAAUUUCCAGCAAUGGCAUCAACUUCGCGGCGAUAAGCCGCCAUGAGGGGGUCCUUGGAAUCCCACUUGCCUGAUACUUGUUGGGCCACCAAAUCUGAGUCACCAAAGCACCUUACCCGGCUUAAGCUCAUCUCCUUAGCCAUCCGAAGACCAUGGAGCAAGGCCUCGUACUCAGCUGCAUUGUUAGUACAGGGAAACAUCAACCGUAGUACAUAACAAAACUUGUCACCUCGAGGGGAAGCUAACACAACUCCAGCCCCCGAGCCCUCCAAUUGCCUGGACCCGUCGAAGUGAAUAGUCCAGUAUGUAUUAUCCUGUUUCUCUUCAGGCACCUGCAGCUCUGUCCAAUCGUUGAUGAAAUCCACCAAUGCUUGAGAUUUGAUAGCAGUGCGUGGCACAUACUUUAGACCAUGAGGCCCAAGUUCUAUAGCCCACUUAGCAACUCUUCCUGUGGCUUCUCUGUUUUGGAUGAUAUCUCCUAGGGGAGCAGAACUAACCACAGUGAUAGGGUGGCCCUGGAAAUAAUGCUUAAGCUUCCGGCUUGCCAUGAACACCCCAUAAACAAGCUUCUGCCAAUGUGGAUACCACGUCGGUUCCUUACCGCUUCCUUACGCUCCACCACCACAGCCACACUGACGGCUCGUGUGUUAGCGGCUACAUAUAACAAUAAAGGCUACUUAUCGACAGGAGCAGCAAGGACUGGCGGCUCAGCCAGCUGUCUUUUCAAAUCCUCAAAAGCAGCAUUAGCAGCAUCAUUCCAGACAAAGUCAUCUGUUUUCUUCAUCAUCUGAUAUAGUGGCAUGGCCUUUUCACCUAACCGGCUUAUAAACUGACUCAAAGCAGCGAUGCGACGCGCCAGAUGCUGGACGUCAUUUAUGCACGCCGGCUUAGCCAGAGAGGUGAUUGCCUUGAUCUUCUCCGGGUUAGCUUCAAUGCCUCUGUGAGAAACCAAAAAACCCAAGAGCUUGCCUGCAGGAACACCAAAAACACACUUGGCCGGGUUAAGCAUCAUCUUGUAGACCCGGAGAUUAUCAAAGGUCUCUCUCAGAUCAUCUAUCAAGGUCUCCUUCUCUCUGGAUUUGACCACGAUAUCAUCCACAUAGGCAUGAACGUUGCGCCCAAUCUGAUUAUGAAGACAAUUCUGCACGCAACGCUGGUAAGUCGCCUGUGCACUCCUGAGCCCAAAAGGCAUAGACACAUAACAGAAGGCUCCAAAGGGAGUAAUGAACGCCGUCUUCUCUUGGUCCUUAAUAGCCAUUUUGAUCUGAUGGUAACCAGAGUACGCAUCCAAAAAACUCAAACGCUCAUAACCCGCCGUAGCAUCAAUAAUUUGAUCAAUACGAGGAGAGCAAAAGGAUCAGCCGGACAAGCCUUGUUUAAAUCCGUAUAAUCCACACACAUACGCCAGGUGCCGUUCUUCUUGAGUACGAGAACCGGGUUAGCUAACCAUUCUGGAUGAAAGACUUCCACAAUGAACCCGGCCGCCAAGAGCCGAGCUACUUCCUCACCAAUGGCUUUCCGCCUCUCCUAUUUAAACCGCCGGAGGAAUUGCCUGACCGGUUUAAAUUUUGGAUCAAUAUUAAGAGUGUGCUCAACGAGUUCUCUCGAUACACCCGGCAUGUCAGAAGGUUUCCAUGCAAAGAUGUCCCGGUUCUCGCGGAUGAACUCGAUGAGCGCGCCUUCCUAUUUAGGAUCCAGAUUGGCACUGAUGCUGAACUGCUUAGAUGAGUCACCUGGAACAAAGUCAACAAGCUUAGUCUCAUCGGCCGACUUAAAUUUCAUUACCGGCUCAUGCUCCGUGGUCGGCUUUUUCAGAGACGUCAUAUCUGCCGGGUCAACAUUAUCCUUAUAAAACUUCAACUCUCUUGUUGCACAAACAGAUUUAGCGUAAGCAGCGUCACCUUCCUCGCACUCCAAAGCUACUUUUCGGCUGCCAUGAAACGUAAUGGUCCCGUUGUGACCCGGCAUUUUGAGCUGCAAAUAUACAUAACACGGCCGGGCCAUGAACUUGGCGUAAGCCGGCCGCCCAAAUGAAGCAUGGUACGGGCUUCUUAUUUUGACCACCUCAAAACAGUUUUUCCGCCCUAUAGUUGUACUCAUCUCGAAAGGCUACUUCCAGCUCGAUCUUACCAACUGGAUACGCCGACUUACCGGGCACCACCCUGUGGAAAACAGUGUUGGACUGGUUGAGAUUUUUAUCAGUUAGUCCAUACGACGGAAGGUCUCAUAAUAGAGGAUGUUGAUGCUACUGGCCCCGUCCAUGAGCACCUUAGUGAAUUUAUACCCACCAACUUGAGGGGCCACCACCAAGGCCAGGUGACCUGGAUUAUCAAUCCGGGGAGGGUGAUCUUCCCUACUCCAUACAAUCGGCUGCUCAGACCAUCGCAAGUAACGUGGAACCGCCGGCUCAACAGCGUUCACAGCCCUCUUAUGAAGCUUCUGGUCUCGCUUGCACAAACCGGUGGUAAACACAUGAUACUGUCCACCGCUGAGCUGCUUUGGAUGGGUCUGGUAACCCCCUGCUGCUGCUGCUGAUUACCCUGGCCGGAUUGCUGGUUAAAACCACCUUGAUUACCUUGAGAAUUCUGAAAAUUGGAAUUUGAACUGCCGCCCGGGCCAUGAAAGCCGCCGCCGCCCGAGCCGCCACCCUGCCCAUUGUUGCCAUUGAAAGUGUUGGAAUUUUUGAAAGCUUUCAUGAUUGCGCAGCCUUUCCAUAGAUGAGUGGCCGGCUUCUCCCUAGAACCGUACCUUGGAGAGGGCUCAUUCAAAAAUAGCUCAAGCGUCGGGCCUGAUCCGGCAGAUCGGGGAGGUGGUCUCCCCUUACGUCGGUGGUUGUUACCUUGCGCAUUGGUGUUGGCCACAAAUUCCAUACUACCAUCAGCCAUACGUUUAUUGCCCCCCUGGUUCGCCGGGUUAUGCUGAGGGCCCUUGCCGCUGCCGUUCUUCUUUCCCUUCCCUGUCCUUUCAUCAUCAGACGCGGGAUCCUUGGUACUAUCAGAGUCGGCGUACUUGACCAGAGCCGCCAUCAGCGUACCCAUAUCGUUGCAAUCGCGCUUGAGCCGCCCAAGCUUCAUCUUCAGGGGCGCAAAACGAUAAUUUUGCUCCAACAUCAAGACCACAGAGCCGGCAUCCAUCUUAUCAGACGAGUGUAUUAUCUCUUUAACCCGGCGUACCCAAUGGGUUGUAGACUCGCUUUCUUGCUAUUUGCAGUUAGUCAAAUCCACAAUUGACAUAGAUUGCCUACAUGUAUCUUUGAAAUUUUGGAUGAACCGGGCUUUUAGCUCUGCCCAUGACCCGAUGGAAUUGGGCGGCAGUCCCUUGAACCAAGUGCGGGCAGUCCCAUUCAACAUCAUGGUGAAGUAUUUGGCCAUUGCCGCUUCGCUGACCUCCAGCAACUCCAUAGCCAUCUCGUAGCUCUCAAUCCAUGCUCCGGGCUGUAAAUCCGCCGUGUAAUUAGGUACCUUCCUAAGUCCUUUGAAAUCUUUGGGAAGACGUUCGUUACGGAGAGCCGGCACCAGGAAAGGAACACCUCCGGCUCUUGUAGCCAUGCCUGCCUCAAUAGAAGCCGUCGGGUAAACUGGAAAAGGCUGGUAAGCCGUCAUCUGAGCCGCCUGUUCAGCUUCCUGACGCGCUCUGUCUUGAUCCACCACAUUAAAGGCUCCAUUAUGCGCCGGGCCAUGGCCAGUUGGCAAGUCACGGCGCCGGACGUUGCUUGAGCCGGUCGCUGAAACCAUGUGUCUGCUAUAACUUGGGCUCCGGUUUGGACGAGGAGUUGAAUGAAUCCUGUCCCGGCUAUAUGAAUAUGCCUCCUGUUGUGCCAGAGCCGUCUGAAGAAGUUCUCUGACCCUGCGGGUUCCGACCGCCGUUGGGGAGUCACCUUCGACUGGGAGAGCCGCCAGCCGCGCCGCCGCAGCGAUCAUGUUUUCCAACGGGUUAGAACAAUGACCCGGCGGUGUUGUCACGUAUUGAGGCAGAGCAGUAUUCACACGGGGAGGCCCCAUCACUUGCGGCUGAACCGGCGUUCCAGCCCCGGGUGCUAUGAUUUCUGGCGGGUUACUGGGCCCUGCACCAGGCGUGUUGAAGAGGUUUCGAGGAUCAUAAACCGGAGGGAGCCGAGAUUGAGCCUUCUGAUGCCUCCUUCUCAUGAUCUCAUUGGAUGCGUUCUGAUCCAUCGUGAGCCGGAAAGACUGCGCCUGAAUCAGUUGAGUCUGGGCGUCCAGACCCGCCCGUUCUGCAGCCAUCCUGAUCCCUUCCGCUGCCAGAUCUUCCUUGGCUCUUGCUAUAUCCAGCUUUAACUGUGCCACCUCCGCAUCAUGUUGAGUUUGAUCCGCUGGGACGACCGUAGCGGUUACCAGGGCCGUCAUCUUAUCCGUGAGAUCCAUCAGCACCUGAGCCGGCGAGUGCACAGGGCCUCCUGCCCCAGCGGCGGAGUUUUGAACAGGUUGUGUGCCGGCCAUGAAGAUUCCGACCCGGCUCGGCGGCUCAAAGGGGUCCGGAAUACUGUCGCCAUCGGAACAACCCCUGAGCCUGCCAUCUUGAAGUUGAUAUAACGAGUCGGUCUCACCUGUGGACGACUCACCGUCAGAGCGGGUGGCCGUCUCCUCACCAGAUCUAGAUCCUUCAGAGAGUUCUCCAUGGACACAUCCCACGAAAGCACGCUUCAAGGCCGGCAGAGUCCGGGCGGGUCUUGCACGCUGAGCCGUCUCGACGGGGUCGGUGCAGAUGUCCGGCUCAGGGCCCGGCUCGCCAAUCUUUCCAAUGAAAACGUGGAUUCCGCCGAAGGGGACCCGGUACCCGUACUCAAUUGAGCCGGCGUCGGGGCCCCAGCCUGCGUCGUCGAUGUAGAGCUUGCCGCGACGACUCUGGGUCAUCCGGCCCACAGCGUAUCCCUUGAGCCCUUCGAAGCUGCCCUUCAAGAACUCAAAUCCAUCGUGUGCUGGCCCCACGGUGGGCGCCAACUGUCGUGGAAUUGUCACGGCAGAUGUCCUCGUGCAAGGACUUAGUCGUGGAGCCAUCGCAGCUAGGAAGCUUAAAGGGGUUAAACGGGACAAAGGACACGAGGAUUAUACUGGUUCGGCCCCUUACGUUGAAGGUAAAAGCCUACUCCAGUUGAGGUGGAAUUACUUAGGGUUUCGAUGACCAGGAGCUAAGCCGCUCUGCCUGGCUAUCGAUCUGAUCUUACUUGUCCAGAACCGCCGCCGGGUCAUCCCUUUAUAUAGAAAGGUUAACGCCCAGCGCCUCUCAGAGUUCCGGCCGGCUCAUAAACUGUGUCCGGCUUGGACUCUUAACUAUUAUUGCCUUACACUACAAGUCAUGCCACAACGGAGGUUUACCACUACGGGCCUUAAGUCGCCUCUGGGCCUUAGACCUAUUACUAAACCGCCAUCCUUAACCUGUCCUUGGGCAUCUGAACGAAAAGCUGUUGCAACGUAACCCGGCCCAUCUUGGGCGGGUUACACCGGUAGCUAAGUUACCAUCCUUUCCUAGCAAACCAUUGUUUGGCUAAGUUACCGCUUUUGCUCAGCCCUUCUUAUAGCGUUGCUAGUUGCAGGUGAAGUUGAAGUUAGUUCCAUGUUGGAACAUGGAUUCUUGGCUUAUCACAAUAUCUCUUAUUUAAUUAAUGCAUCUAUAUAUUUGGUAAAGGGUGGAAGGCUCGGCCUUAUGCCUGGUGUUUUGUUCCACUCUUGCCGCCCUAGUUUCCGUCAUACCGGUGUUAUGUUCCUUGAUUUUGCAUUCCUUACGCGGUUGGGUGAUUUAUGGGACCCCCUUGACAGUUCGCUUUGAAUAAAACUCCUCCAGCAAGGCCCAACCUUGGUUUUACCAUUUGUCACCUAAGCCUUUUUCCCUUGGGUUUUCGCGAGCCCGAGGGUCAUCUUUAUUUUAACCCCCCCCGGGCCAGUGCUCCUUCGAGUGUUGGUCCGAACAGAGCCGCCUGCGGGCCCACCUCGGGGAAACUCGAAGUCUGGUUUUACUCAUAGCCUGUCUCAUCCGGUGUGCCCUGAGAACGAGAUAUGUGCAGCUCCUAUCGGGAUUUGUCGGCACAGUCGGGCGGUCUUGCUGGUCUUGUUUUACCAUUGUCAAAAUGUCUUGUAAACCGGGAUUCCGAGACUGAUCGGGUCUUCCCGGGAGAAGGAAUAUCCUUCGUUGACCGUGAGAGCUUAUGAUGGGCCAAGUUGGGACACCCCUGCAGGGUAUUAUCUUUCGAAAGCUGUGCCCGUGGUUAUGAGGCGGAUGGGAAUUUGUUAAUGUCCGGUUGUAGAGAACUUGACAUUUGACUUAAUUAAAAUACAUCAACCGCGUGUGUAGCCGUGAUGGUCUCUUCUCGGCGGAGUCUGGGAAGUGAAGACGGUUUGGGUUAUGUAUGAGCGUAAGUAGUUUCAGGAUCGCUUCUUGAUCACUUCUAGCUUCUCGACCGAUGCGUUGCUUCUCUUCUCGCUCUCAUUUGCGUAUGUUAGCCACCAUAUAUGCUUAAUGCUUGCCGUUGCUCCACCAUAUUACCCCAUCCUUCCUAUAAGCUUAAAUAGUCUUGAUCUCAGGGGUGUGAGAUUGCUGAGUCCUCGUGACUCACAGAUUCUACCAAAACAGUUGCAGGUGCCGAGGAUAUCUAUGCAGGUGACGCAACCGAGCUCAAGUAGGAGUUCGACGAGGACCGUGGUCGUUACUAUGUUUCGUUUCCUGAUGAUCAGUAGUGGAGCGCAGUUGGGACGAUCGGGGAUCUAGCAUUUGGGGUUGUCUUCUUUCAUUUUGGUUCCGUAGUCGGACCUUGAUUGUACUCUGAAUGAGGUAUGUUUAAUUUAUGCAUUGUGUGAAGUGGUGACUGUAAGCCAACUCUUUAUCCCAUUCUUGUUCAUUACAUGGGAUUGUGUGAAGAUGACCCUUCUUGCGACAAUACCUACAAUGCGGUUAUGCCUCUAAGUCGUGCCUCGAACGUGGGAGAUAUAGUCGCAUCGUGGGUGUUACACUUGUGCACCUCAUGUUGAUCCUUUGCAUCCUACCCUUGAUGAGUCUAUUGACAUGAUUCACAACCUUAGAACUAUUAAUCUUAUCACUAGAGGUUUGCCUAGAAACUUGAUUGGAUGUUUGCCUACUCUUGAUUAUGCCUACACUAUAUGGAGAUUCCUUGAGGAAUGAUUUCCAAACUAUUCCUUGAAAAACUUAGAUGAGAUUCUUCAUAAGUCUAUUGCUUUGACUAAGAUGAGUCCUAAUGAUCCUAAGUAUAGUGAUUGUUUGUUUGAGCUUCGUGAUCUAAUGCGUGCCAAAGGAGAUGUUGGAAUCAUUAGCAAUAUCAUUUCCGAAGUCAUUAGAAUCCAUAAAUAUGCACAUUGUUAUGGUCAUAAAUCUAAUGAAUCACCCUCUCUAGGAAUUGAUCCAUCACAAGACGAUGUUGAACGUCUCAACACUCGCAAUAUGCUCAGCAAGAGGAGGCACUAUAACAUUGGGACCAACCUGGACUGUCUCCUUUGUGGCGAACACGUGGAAGAAACCCUUGAGCAUCUCUUCUUUCGCUGCACAUUUAGCACACGAUGCUGGCUCAAGCUCAAUAUCACUUGUCCUUCUACUGGAGAUCGGCUGCAUAUGUUGAACACCUUAAGACGGGAAAUCAACGUAAGAUGAUCAUGGACACCUUCCUAGUCGCUGCGUGGAGUCUGUGGAAGGAAAGGAAUAAUAAUUAUUUUUGGCAUGUGGCCCCUUCGGUUGACAGUUGGCUAGCCAGGUUUAGAAACUAUUUUGCCAACAUUGCUUAUAGACUCCCUAUAGAUAAGAGACAUCUCAUCUUUGCUAUCCUAGCUUCUAGCCCCUAACUAUAUUAACCUGCUAGCUCUCUGACUAUCCUUUGUAAUUGCUUAAGACAUCCCCCCCUCUCCUUGUACAUUUUUAACAUAGUCACCCUUUUGUGUCCUUAAUAUAUACAUGCAGUAGUACGUGUUCCUACUGUCCAACCUUCAAAAAAAAGACGAUGUUGAACAUGGAUACUAUGAUGAGGAUGAUUAUAGUGACUUCGAUCUCGAAGAGUCUAUGAGACACAUUGGUCUUAUGGCCAAUCUUCGCGACUACAUGGCUGGAGGAAAGGAAUGGGUCCUUGAUAGUGGAUGUACCGAUCAUAUGACCGGAGACAAGGAUAUGUUUCAUGAGCUUGCUGAAAACGAUGGCCCUCGAAAGUAUGUCACCUUUGGUGAUAACUCAAAGGGUAAGGUGGUUGGCCUUGGUAAGGUGGCCAUCUCACAUGAUAGCUCCAUACAAAAUGUUAUGCUUGUUGAAUCUCUUGGCUAUAAUCUACUUUCCGUAUCUAGACUUGCUGAUUUGGGCUUCAAUGUCCUAUUUACUCAAGUAGAUUGCCAAGUGUUUCGUAGAGAUAACCAUAAUAUGGUCUUUACUGGUAUACGUAGAGGUGAUCUACACAUUGUUGAUUUCACUAAACAGGCUCAACCUAGAAGUUGUUUUAUUGCUAAAUCUUCUAAAGGUUGCUUGUGGCAUAGAAGGUUAGGUCAUGUGGGCAUGUGAAAUCUUGAUAAGAUUAUUAAAGGUAAUCAUAUCCUUGGAGUAAAAGAUGUUAUAUUUGACAAGGAUAGAUUAUGUAGUGCUUGUCAAGCAGGAAAACAAGUUGGAGGAAAUCACCCCGUGAAGAACAUCAUGACCACGAGGAGACCGCUCGUGCUACUUCAUAUGGAUCUCUUUGGUCCCAAUGCCUACAAGAGUCUCGGUGGAAACUCAUUUGGUCUAGUUAUAGUCGAUGAUUAUUCAAGAUUUACUUGGCUGUUCUUUCUUGAUAAUAAAUCGCAGGUCCAAAAGAACUUCAAGAACUUUGCUAGGAAGGCUCAAAAUCAAUUUGACGUGAAGAUCAAGAAGGUUCGGAGCGACAACGGAACGGAGUUCAAGAACUCAAAUGUGGAUACCUUUCUUGACGAAGAAGGGAUUUCACAUGAGUUCUCGGCUACAUACACACCUCAACAAAAUGGAGUCGUUGAGAGGAAGAACCUGACUCUUAUUGAGGUGGCGAGAACGAUGCUUGAUGAGUACAAGACUCGAAAACAUUUUUGGCGGAACCGGUUGAGACGGCUUGUCAUGCAACAAAUUGCUUGUAUCUUCACAAGCUUCUUGGCAAGACGGCAUACGAGCUCCUCACCGGUAACAAACCCCAAGUUGGAUACAUUCGAGUAUUCAGCUCAAAGUGUUACAUUCUUGAUAAGCAUCGUCGUUCUAAAUUUUCUCCCAAAUCUCAUGAGGGUUUCCUACUCUGUUAUGGCUCAAACUCUCCCACCUACCAUGUCUACAAUAAUUUCACCCGAAAGGUUGAAGAGACGGUAGAUGUGAAGUUUGAUGAAUCUAACGGCUCGCAAGUAGAGCAAUUGCCAAUUGAUGUAGGAGACAAAGACCCUUCGGAAGCAAUCCAAGACAUUUGUAUUGGCAAGAUCCGUCCAACCGAGGUGAAGGAGAGUACCUCGUCCGUCCAAGUGGAAGCUUCUACCUCAGGACAAGGUGAACCAAGAGUUGACAUGGAAGCAUCCACAAGUGGGACACACCAAGAUGAAGAAAACGAGGAAGUACACAAAGAUGAACCUCAAGAACCUCCUUCUCCACCACCAUAAGAGAACGACAACGUCAACAAUGAAGAAGGCCAAGAAGAAGGACAAGAUGAUGAAGAAGAUGUUCCACCCCGACCCAAGCAAAAGCUCUCACGAGUUCGAGCGAGAGUCUCGAGAGAUCAUCCCGUCGAACAAAUCUUCAAUGAUAUUCAAACCGGGAGAAUCACUCGCUCUAAAACUCGUUUUCCUAAUUUUUGUGAACAUUAUUCAUUCAUUUCUAGCAUUGAACGUAUGAAGGUUGAAGAAGCAUUAGAAGAUCCGGAUUGGAUAAAUGCCAUGCAUGAAGAGCUACACAACUUUGAGAGAAACCAAGUGUGGACAUUGGUUGAGAAGCCCGACAACAACCACAACAUCAUCGGUACCAAAUGGGUGUUUCGCAACAAGCAAGACGAAGAUGGUCAAGUCGUCCGCAACAAAGCACGUCUCGUCGCCCAAGGCUAUACUCAAGUCGAAGGUAUGGACUAUGGUGAGACAUACGCCCCCGUUGCUAGACUUGAGUCCAUCCGCAUCAUACUUGCCUAUGCUAAUCACCAUGAUAUCACCUUAUACCAAAUGGACAUUAAAAGUGCUUUUCUAAAUGGUGAAAUUGAGGAGGAAUUUUAUGUUAAACAACCUCUCAGCUUUGUUAAUCCUAAGAAACCCAAUCAUGUCUACAAACUUCACAAAGCUCUUUAUGAUCUUAAACAAGCUCCUAGAGCAUGGUAUAAAUGCUUGACCAAGUUCCUUAUUCAAAAUGGCUUUGAGAUUGGAAAGAUAGAUUCUACUCUUUUUACUAAAAGGGUUAAUGGUGAAUUAUUUGUGUGCCAAAUUUAUGUUGAUGAUAUCAUAUUUGGAUCGACUAACCCUCAUUUUAGUGAAAAGUUUGGGAAGCUAAUGUUGGAGAAGUUUGAGAUGUCUAUGAUGAGUGAACUCAAGUUCUUUCUUGGUUUGCAAAUCAAGCAAACUAAGGAAGGCACCUUUGUCUCUCAAACAAAGUACACCAAGGACUUAUUCAAGAAGUUCAACAUGCAAGAAAGCAAAGGUAUGAAAACACCCAUGCCUACUAGUGGACAUCUUGACUUGACCAAGGAUGGCAAAUCGGUUGUCCAAAAGGUUUACCGAUCUAUGAUUGGUUCAUUGUUAUAUCUUUGUGCCUCCCAUCCCGAUAUUAUGCUAAGUGUAUGCAUGUGUGCAUGAUAUCAAGCGGCCCCCAAAGAAUGUCAUCUUAAGGCUGUGAAAAGGAUAGUGAGAUACCUAAUACAUACAUAAAAUUUUGGCAUUUGGUAUCCUAAGAGGUCUUCUUUCGAUCUUGUUGGCUACUCCGGUUCGGACUAUGCCGGUGACAAGGUUGAUAGAAAGUCCACUUCGGGUACUUGUCAAUUUCUUGGUAGAUCUCGUGUGUCUUGGUCCUCCAAGAAACAAAAUUCAGUAUCCUUAUCUACCGCCGAAGCGGAAUACAUUGCCGCCGGUUCAUGUUGUGCUCAGUUACUUUGGAUGACCCAAACUCUUAAGGAUUAUGGGAUCUAUGUGAAACAUGUUCCAUUGUUUUGUGACAAUGAGAGUGCUAUUAAGAUUGCUCACAAUCCCGUGCAACAUUCUCGAACUAAGCACAUUGAAGUUCGUCAUCAUUUCGUUCGAUAUCAUUUUGCUAAAGGGGACAUUGAUCUUAAGCAUGUUCGUACCGAUAAGCAAUUGGCGGAUAUAUUCACCAAACCGCUUGAUGAGAAAGUGUUUUGCCGUUUGAGAGGUGAAUUGAACAUCAUCGAUGCUUCAAACUUGGAGUAGAUACUCCAUUUGGAUACAUGCAAGGCAUGAGCCUAUGACUAUUCCUUGAUAUUUCUCUUAUGAUGAUAUUCAUAUGUCUUGGAUAUAUUUGCACCCUUGCAUGCUAUCUAACCCUUGUAGGUACUUGGAUGAACCUAAAUCAAUGAGAUUGCAAGUCACUCAUACCGUGAGCAAUCUCUACAUUACCAAGCCUCUACAAUAUGGUGGUUGAAGUCAAGGAAGCAUGAUACCCUUCAACAUAUCCUUUGACAAAUUUUAUAUAUCAAAUUUCAUUUGGUAUCAAGUUUCAUGAUUGUCAUUUUGGAUACACAAGUGCUCUUCCUUACAAGACUAACCCAUGUAGGAAGAUUAACCUCAAUUACACGUGGUGCUCCCAAUCCUUGAUGACCUACAUCAACCUUGAGCAUCCCACACAAGUUCGACUACAUGAUCAAGAUCAACACCACCACCCAAGGUAUGAUAUUCCAUCUUAGAGAAGCUUUAACCCAAGCCAUGGGUCAAAGCAGCUCAACAAGAUGCGAGUACAUCAAAAUGCUUAAACGAAAAAUGGCAACACCAUUUUGAGCUUAAACGAUGAGUAUGACCUACGAUCAAGUGUUCUCACUUGACUCCUUAGUCAAUAUACUCUAACAUAGGUGACUUUGUCGCCACCCAUUUCUAGAUGAAGUUUUCUAGUGUUUCUCUGUGUUCUUGCAUUUGUUCCUUGCAUCUUUGUUCCCCUUCAGAAAAACUUCAUCUAGAUUUCUUCUCUUUUCUCUGCUUUGCUCUGCAGUUCCUGCAUCUAAUUCCUUGCAAAUCCUUCAGUUAAUUCAUUGCAAAUCUUUGUGAGAUCCUAUUUGCCUAGUGAGCUGAGAUAACAAUUGCCCUUUCUUUGUAUUUAACUCGGUCACACCGGCUUGUCAUUCUCGGUCACACCGACUUAUUUCGGUGCCAGCGACGAGAACAACUCGGUGUUACCGAUUUCACUAUAGUAGAGACAAUUUGCCAUUUGUUUGUGCAUGUUUGUUCCAGCUCCACUCAAUGAUUCAUGUCCUCUACCAGCAUCACGUUCUACAUGUUGUUUUGCUAUGUGACUCAAGGACCAAACCUAUUUUAAUCACACUCCAGAAGAACCCUUCUUGGAAAUUGAUGUCAAAGGGGGAGAGAGAUCUCACAUCAAAGCUUAAUCACUUCAAGAUGGGGAGAGAGUACUUCAACAGGGGCAGAGAGAUAUUCACUUCAAAGGAAAAGAUAGAGCCCCCAGAUGCUUGGUAUUCAAGAGGAAAGGAGUUACAUGUCUUUAAGAAGGGAAAGACAUGUUUGUGCUAUUUUUUCUGUGUGUGAUCUGAUUUUUCCUUUUCCUAUUUUCUCCCAUUAUCCAAUAUAAGAUUCAGGGGGAGAAAGCUAUCUAAGGGAAGGAAAUCUUUGAAUUCAUUGCAUAUCUUUUACCAUUGGGGACAUGUCUAUAUCAAAUAGAGUACCAAGUACUCACUCUCUACAUGUCAUCCCAAUCCUAGUACUCUUGUGGUUCUUUUGUUUGCUCUGCCUAGUAGAUGUUGUUAGAGUUAUAAUAUAAGUCAUGUAUACCCCUUUGUAUUUAUCCCGUAGUAUAAGGGGUUUCCUGCAUAUGUACCACACAUGUACAUGUAUAUAUAUUAGCCUAUGGCCUCAUGGGAAUACAAGUUGCUUAUUCCUAACAUGGUAUCAGAGCUUUAGGUCUUUUUUCGCACGCGCAACUCGUGCUUCGAUCCACUCCUGCCGUCGCCGUGUUCUCCCUUCGCUCGGCGUCGCUGCUCCAUCUCCUCCCGCCAGGCGCCUCUCCUCCUCAAUCGCCGUAGGGAGGCCCCCGAUCGCGCCCAGCUGGUUCCGCUCGGCGGUCGUCUCCUCUCCCGCCAGGACUCCGCCGUCUGUGUUAUCUAACCUUGUUUAGUCAGGUUUAUCUCUUCCUAAGCCAGCUCAAGACCACAAGGUAAGUAUAUGCAUCACAAUCAUGUGCGUGAUGAUAUCUUGUUGAUGUACAUAUUGUUUGCAAGAAGGACUCAUGAACAUGAAGGUACACUUCAUAUAUUCACUUCUUUUGCCAUGAUGAAUAUAGCCGAGAUAUAUCUAACAUAUUGCUUGCUCUGUCAUCUAUAUGCAUUCAUAUGCUCUAAUAUUCAAUACUUACAUGAUUGCACACAUGUAGGGGGAGCCUAUGCCUGUUACAUGUCUUUCCAAAGCUUUUCUUGCUAUUCCCUAUAUCUUUAUCUAAAGCUUUGAUGUAUGUUGUCAUCAAUUACCAAAAAGGGGGAGAUUGAAAACACAAGUGCUCCCCGGGUAAUUUUGGUAAUUAAUGUCAACAUAUCUCUUGUUGGACUAAUGCCUUUAUCUAGUAUAUUUCAGAUAAGUUCAACAAUGGAGUGUCAUGGACAAGAGGAUGUGAAACCCCUUCAAAAUGUUAAGGACAAAAGACUGGCUCAAGCUCCAAAGCUCAAGACUCUACAUUUUAUUUUUUAGUGAUCCAAGAUCACAUUGAGUCCAUAGGAAAAUCCAAUACUAUUAAAAGGGGAUGAGGUGUUGCUUAAUGGCUUGCUUGCUCAAAGUGCUUAGUGAUAUGCUCCAAAGCCCUCAACCACUUUCUCAUUUCCACAUAUGUUCCAAACCAAAAGUCAAUCUCGGCCCCACCGAAACAUUCCAUCUGGCGCCACCGAGUUCACUUGACAUAGCCACUGCCAGAAACCCUAAUCAAUUCGGUCUCACCAAUGGGAUCCCGGUCUCACCGAGAUGGGCUUGCAAACUCUCUGUUGCCUGUUCCAAUUAUUUCGGUCUCACCGAGAUUUGUAAUCGGUCUCACGGAGUUUGCUUGACCAACUCUCUGGUUAGCUCUUUACCAAAAUCGGUCCCACCGAGUUUGUGUAAUCGGUCAAACCAAGAUGAGGUUUUACCCUAACCCUAGCACAUCGGUCCCAUCGAGUUGACAUAUCGGUCCCACCGAAAUGCCUAAUGGUCACAUUAUGAACUGAAUCGGUCCAACCGAGUUUUCUGAUUCGGUCCCACGGAGUUUGGUGAAUUGUGUGUAACGGUUAGAUUUUGUGUGGAGGCUAUAUAUACCCCUCCACCGACUCUUCACUCGUGGAGAAAGCCAUCAGAACAUGCCUACACUUCCAGCAUACAUUUUCUGAGAGAGAACCACCUACUCAUGUGUUGAGGUCAAGAUAUUCCAUUCCAACCAGAUAAAUCUUGAUCUCUAGCCUUCUCCAAGUUGCUUUCCACUCAAAUAAUCUUUCCACCAAAUCCAAAUCUAUGAGAGAGAGUUGAGUGUUGGGGAGACUAUCAUUUGAAGAACAAGAGCAAGGAGUUCAUCAUCAACACAACAUCUAUUACCUUUUGGAGAGUGGUGUCUCCUAGAUUGGUUAGGUGUCACUUGGGAGCCUCCGUCAAGAUUGUGGAGUUGAACCAAGGAGUUUGUACGGGAAAGGAGAUCGCCUACUUCGUGAAGAUCUACCCUAGUGAGGCAAGUCCUUCGUGGGCGAUGGACAUGGUGGGAUAGACAAGGUUGCUUCUUCGUGGACCCUUUGUGGGUGGAGCCCUCCGUGGACUCGCGCAACCAUUACCCUUCGUGGGUUGAAGUCUCCAUCAACGUGGAUGUUCGAUAGCACCACCUAUUGGAACCACGCCAAAAAUCUCCGUGUCUCCAAUUGCGUUUGCACACUCCCAUCCUAUCCCUUUACAUUCUCGCAAAUUGCAUGCUUUACUAUCCCUUUAUAUGAUAUGUAUUGUGAAUGGGUAAACUUGUGCUAAAACUCCACCUUAACUUGAAGAAUUUAAAAACUGCAACUUUUCUUUGCUAAGAGUCUAUUCACCCCCCCUCUAGACACCUCUUCUCGAUCCUUUCACCCUCUCAAGUAUAUCAAUACCGCUUAUGACGAUGGAGGAUUGAUGGCACAUAACCAUGACUCGGGAUAUGAGCAUGGAGAUGACUUGAUGCUGACUGAUUUGCCGGAGCCGGAACGUCCUAAGGCGGAAUGCAAAAAGUUUCUCUUCAUGCGAUCCUCGCAUGAGACGCCUCUAGAUGCCGCCUCUACCCAGCAACAACCCGACGGCCGUCCACUGAUUAGCCCGACGACACUGGGGGUGAUGGUUAGGGAAGGUAUGGUGGGCUUACUACCUCCACCCGCCAAGAAGCAAAGGAGGAGACCAGACAAGAAAGGCCCUAAAGGCGCGAGAGCUGCUUCAAGCAGCCAACCGCCUCUGAAGUCCUGGGAGGUAGACAGAAUACCUAUCGAAGGUGCGGAGCGUUUCCAUGUCGCCGGCCACCCGAUCCUACCUCCGAAAGCGCUAGAGCACAUACUGAACAAUGAUCUAGGGAGACUUCAUGAAGAUGUGCUGGCCAGAGAGAAAAGCCUUCUCAUCUCAGAAAAACCAGGAUACCCGCUUUAUGCGGCUCAGGUGCCGGGAGGGAAGUUGUACGUCGAGAGAUGGCCCGCGGAUAAGCUCAUCCUGCAAUUUGACUACAUCUACGACAUGUUCCACAUGACCAAGCUGGAUUUUCAGUUUAUCCGUAUGUAUGCGUUGUAUCUCAGCUACAUCAUUAGGCGCGAGAACUUCUUGGUAGUCUGCAAAGAUCACCGUGACUAUGCGAGCAAGUACAUCGGCGAGUUUAUGAUCGCUAUUAAGGAUAAGGAAAUGAUUCUCCUGCCUUAUCAUCCCACGUAAGUCAUCCGCAGAUAUCUUUUCAUAAGUUUUAAUCAUUUCUUUGCAUGCAUGGAGGCUAAUUUGAGGUGUACUUAUUUUGCGCGGCGNNNNNNNNNNNNNNNNNNNNNNNNNNNNNNNNNNNNNNNNNNNNNNNNNNNNNNNNNNNNNNNNNNNNNNNNNNNNNNNNNNNNNNNNNNNNNNNNNNNNNNNNNNNNNNNNNNNNNNNNNNNNNNNNNNNNNNNNNNNNNNNNNNNNNNNNNNNNNNNNNNNNNNNNNNNNNNNNNNNNNNNNNNNNNNNNNNNNNNNNNNNNNNNNNNNNNNNNNNNNNNNNNNNNNNNNNNGACUCAUCGAAGAACAACAAGAAAAAGGAUUACACACACAUAGAUAGUGUCUGUCUAGUGGAUAUAUCAAGGUGAUAAAGUACAGGAAGAACAGGCUGGGUUUCGGCCAUAAGACGCACUUCUGCUGCAUCCAGCAACCGUACACCAGUAAGGCUGAUGAAUUCGACCUCAUGCAUCACCUGAUCGAGUACAGAAGGGAUAAUCAACGCCUUCGCAUGUCAGCUACUUCCAACGAUGCCGAUAUUGUCAACUAGGCCACAAGCAUUGGAAGGACACCGGAUCAUCGAAUCUGAGCUGAGUUUUAUCACGUACAGUGUGAACUUGCCCAAGUGAUCAUGAAGGAGGUCCUUGAACUAACAUGGAUGUCCUACCAUGGGGAAAUCACGCGGGAAGAUGUCCGAGCACUGCUACUCGCUCAUCGUCUAGACCUGAAGCCUUUCACGAAGCUUGGGUGCUUCCUCCCUGACUAUGAAGAUUGAACCGCCGACAUGGAGGAAUGAUUGACGAUGACAAUGUGUCACUACGAUCUUUUUAUGGCAAAACUUUGAAUUUAUGCAUGGCGAAACUCUGUGAUGUAAUUAAACCGUCCUCCUAAACUAGCAUAGAUCACUCUAGUUAAUUAGUUUGGGUAUGAGGAUCGCUCUAGUUAAUUAGUUUGGGUACGAGGAACUUCGUUAUUUAUGUUUACUAUAGGUUGCUUGUAUUUUGCUAAUUAUGCCUCUUUGUGUUUCUCAAGUACAUUAUGCUGCAUAUUAUCGUUGAAUUCAUCAACUGAAGAUGCAGGUACAUAGAUCAGACAUGGCGAAGGACUGCUACACCGUAUUCGUUGGGAGUGUUCCAGGAAUGUACGACCACUGGCCAGACGCUUAGGCCCAGGUGGAUAGGUACCCGGGCGCUAGCCACAGAGGGUUCGACAACAGAGCCGAAGCGGAAAAUAGUUACUUGAGGUGGACGCUCUGGCAAGAGAGGGAGCGAAACUGGUGCCUCAAGAAGUACUACAUGGUCGCACUCUUGCUCAUACUGAUCGCUCUUCUCUUCUACAACAUGGUUUAGAUAGAGAUGAUGAAACUUGUGUGUGUGCCAUGACCAUGCAGUUGCAUGUAUUCGAGAUAUGGCAUGACUUGUGUAUCCCUAUUUUCGAUAUGUCAUGAUAUUUGUGUUGGAUGAUGAUGAUGAUGGUAUGACGAGACUUCUGUAUGUGUAUGAUACGAGGAGAAUAAUGUAUGUUUAUUAUGAUAUGAUGAAACUACUAUAUAGAGCAUGCACAAAUACAUCACAAAUACGUAGAGGGGAAAUAAAUUUGUGAAAGCAGGAAUAUUAGUAGUAGCGCUGGUUUCAGCAGCAUUUGCUUUUUUGCAGCACUACAGAGAGUUAGCCGUAGCGCUACUCCUAAUCGUACUUACCAGUAGCGCUGGUCUGAGCAGCGCUACUGCUACAACUUAGCUGUAGCGCGUUAGCAGUAGCGCUGCCUCCAGUGCUAUUGUUAUAGGUAUUUCCAGCGCUGCUAGUAAUUAUUAUUAUGGACUAACAUAUCUUACAUUCGUAAGAAGUUUAUCCCCGUUACAAGGCAUUCUCUCAACAUGCAGAUUAUUCACCGCAACAUUCCCAUGUCAUCAUUGCAGUUACAGAUAACAACUACAUAUCUCUUUCUGACUAUCUGUCUCCCCAGCCCGGCAGCCCCUCUUUGGCGUCUCCACACCGCCUAAUAACCUUCCCAAUUAACUUCUUUACCCAUUGAUUUCCAUCCCAAUUCCUAUUCAUCUUCUCUAUCGAAUAAAUUCAUGAGUAACAGAUGGAGUCGCCUUUAAGCUCCCGUCUUCACCAUAAUGACUAGAAGAGCACCGGCCGCCCUCUAGUCUAGAUAGUUGCUGCCCCACCUGUCCAACCCACGAGAGCCACCCACCCUCACCCAUCCCCGGCCGCCACGCCGUCUAGACCCGCAGGUCGCUGACAGCGACAAGCGCGCCGUCGCUAGCCACCUGACCACCGGCACAACCCUUGACCAAGACAUUGCACGCGCAGCUGUCCCAAUCCAGCCACAUGCCGCCACUAGCAACUUUCCUGACCCCUUCCGCCAACCCGACCACACGCCGCGUGCCACCGCCAACAGCCUCACCCAUCCCCAGCUGCGGAUCCAGACAUGGUGAACCGACAUCGUGCAAAUCAUGCACGUGAAUAAUUAUGUUAUAAGAUACAAUCGUAUGAUAUCAAACCUUAUUAAUUUGUUUUAAGGGAUGUGGCAACACUUACUAUGAUUGUGGAAAAUGCCUACAAAAACAAACAAAAAAACAUAUGAAAGGAGUCAACGUGCCACAUGACAAAGGGAGAUGAAAUUAAGGAGUUAUGUGCCACACGAUAGAGGAAAUGAAAGUAGUCGAUGCGCCAUGGAACAAACAGAGAUGAAAGGAGUCAACACACCAUGCGACAAAUGGAGAUGAAAUGAGUCAAUGAGACAAAUGAAACUUGGAGAUUAAAUGGAUCAACACGCUAUGCGACAAAUAUAUCUCUUGAGAAUCUAAAGGUUUAGAUUUGGAGAGUUAGAUUGGAACUUAAUGAUUUAUAUUUAGGGUGACCUAGGGGCACCACUUAAGCUCGUUGAUAGAAUGAAAUUCCAGCAUGAUACAAUGAUCUACAAGAAUUAGUAUUAAAUGCAUUAUUGCUUGUUCAAUUUCAUACUACGUAACUUCCCCCCAUGUACCUUCUAAAUGGGGCAAUAGAGCAAAGUUUCGUGAGAUCAUCUUCGGUCAUUUUUUUUAAAGGAAGGGAUGAUAUCCGAUGACUUUCGUGAUGGUAUUCAUUUUUCUUUGGACGAAUCGAGAUUGUGCGAUGUCACCUCAAUUCUCAAGUAGAUUAUGAGAUACUAUAGACUGGGAUAUGGUCUCUCAAAUCUUUUUGAUAGGAAUAAAGGAAUAAGCCAUGCAUACCAUCGAUGUGUAAAAUAUCAUUACGAAAAAGGAGUCCAUGCACUGCGCAGAGUAUGACAUGCAAUGUAAAAACUAGAAAGUUUCCAUUUCCAUUGGGUGAGUCUUCUCCGAAACAAAUUCAUAAAAAGAGAAUACAGUAGUUGGACUUCAUUCGAAGCAAUGAGCGUAAGUGGUGCCUCUAGGUCUUUCUAUACAAAACUCGUUGGGUGCCAUCUGACCCUCCAAAUAUGAGGUUUUUGAUUCUCAGAACAUAUAUAGUCGCAUAGUGGGAUGAAUCCUUUCAUCUCAUUUUUCAUGUAUCGUGUUGAAUCAUUUCAUCUCCAUGUGUCAUGUGGCGUGCUGACUCCUUUCACCUGUGUUUGUCGAGUGCACUUUUGACUCCUUUCACCCCCUCCAUCGUGUGGCACAUUGACUUCUUUCAUCUCCAAUUGUUUGGUGUCACGUUAACUCCUUUCCACUAGUAGAAAACAGGGCUUUCGUUCGGGCCUGGCCAGCCCAUUAGUCCCGAUUCUGCACGAACUAGGACCCAUGGGGUGCAUUAGUCCCGGUUCGUGAGCCCAGAGGGCCGGCCGGGCCACGUGGGCCACUGGUCCCGGUUCGUCUGGACCUUUUGGUCCCGGUUCCACGCACGAACCGGGACCAAUGCGCCUCGCCCCUGGCCCAUGACCAUUAGUCCCGGUUUGUGCCACAAACCGGGACUAAAGGGUUGGUCCUUGUUGCGGUCAGAGUUUAGUCCCACCUCGCCAACCGAAGGGCGCUCACACCGGUUUAUAAGCCCGUCCCUCUCUGCCUUGUUGAGCUCCUCUCAAAAUGAAAAUAGAUGCCCUUAUACAGAGAAUUUGACCUAAAUUCAGAGUGAAUUUCUCUGAAAUUCAUAGAAAUUUCUUAUGAAUUUAGGUUGAAUUCUCUCUAUAGGCGCAUCUACGCUCAUUUUUUUAUGUUGGGGUUGGCGAUCUUUACAGACUUUUUGUGUGUUGAAUAUGCACAAUUCAAAAUCAGUCUCUGCUUUGAAUGGUUCAUUUUGAACACACAAAAAGUCUGGAGUUCAAAUAAGUUCAAGAAAAUGAAAUCCCUUUGUAACAGAUGAGUUUUCGUCCGAAACCCUGAUACUUCGAAAGAUAUUGUCCAUUUUGUUCAUGUCACAGCCCUAGCUUUGGCCUUUGCUUGUCAUUGCAUGUGCAUCCAUGCAUCAUCUUAAAUUCAAGGAAAUUUAAUUGAGGGAAUUCUCAAGCCUCAGAAAUCUUAUAAAAAAAAUGAUGACAUUAAAAUAUUUUCAAAUGAGCCCAACACAAUGUUCCUGCUAAUCAAUGAAAAUAUUGGAAAGAGCUAAAAUUCAAACCAAUAUUUUUGGAGUCUUAGAAAUAUUUAUUUUGGGCAUUUGAAAUUAAUUGAAUAACUAUUUGAAUUGGGUCUAUAUUUAUUGUAUAAUAAAUAUAUGUUCAAUAAUUCUGGAAAUUGUUGUGUGGCUUUGGAUAAGUCCACUUAGUUAGCACAAUUAUUUUCAUGAAGUUUAAAGUUGAUUUGGUGUUAAAACUAAAUUGCAAACAAACUGCAAAAAAUAGAAAAGAGAAACAAAAAUGUGAAAGGAAGAAAACUUACCUGCCCAACCAGGCCAGCCCAGCCCACCUGGCCUGUGCCAGUCGCCACCCACUCUGCUAGUAGGCAGAGGAGGGACAGUGCACGGCGCGCGCGGGCGCCACGCCACCAGGCUGCCUGCCUGCGUCGCCUUGCCACUGCGACGCCUCGCGUCUUCUCCUCGGCGCUGCCUCGCCCCCCUGGACACCACUCUCCCCCUCGUCCUCUCCCGCUAUGGCCGACGCACCCGUAAGCCGCCGCCGCCGUAGUCGACGCCACCGCCUCUCCCUAGACCCCUCGCCGUGCCUGCGAGCUCCGACUCGACGUCCUCGACCUCCUCGCUUCGCCACACGUAGCCAGACGCGCUCCUCUACCCUCACAGAGCUCGUCCCUGACCGUCCGUCUCUGGAGAUCCCCCUCGCCGCCCCGCUCAACCCCGACCUCCUCCGAGCUCUCCGUCUGCCCUGACGUGACCGCUGUGAGCUCCUGCCCAUUCUUCCCCUCUCCAUUCUCGCUCUCACAUGCCGUAGCCGCCGCGCCACUCGCACCCAUACGCGUCGCCGCCCGCGCUCGUCGCCGGUGGUGCUCCGGUGACCAUAUGGUCCCGGGCUUGUGCCCAUUGCACUCCCCGCAUCGCGUAGGAGCCGUAGGUGCUAGCGCCGCCCCGCCUAGGCCACUGCAGCAACGAGCCCGAGCUCGACCGAGCUUCGGCCGCCGCCGAUCUCGUCGCCGGCGCCACUCCGGCGACGACUCGGCCGCGCCCCCACCACGGUUGGAUGCGGACAAGCGUCCGCAUCCCAUAGCUGUGCUCCGUGAGCCAAACGGCUCUCUGUAGGCAAAUCCCACAGCGCACCGCCGCGUCUGGACUCGCCGGCGACCGCUGACCCGUUGACCGGCGUGGGUUGACCCCACUGCCCGGUUUGACUCCCCCCUCUCUCUCACUGACUUGCGGGCCCCGCCUGACUAAUUACUCUAGUUAGCACUAAUUAACUAGUUAGGUUAGUUACUAAAGUCACUGACCAGUGGGCCCUGCCUAGUUAGUUAGGGCUAACUAACUUAGUUAGUUGACUGGGUCACUGACUAGUGGGUCCCACAGGUCAGGUUUGACCCUGGGCGACCCAGUUGACCUGCUGACAACACAAUGACGUCAUGCUGACGCUGUAAUUCUUUCUGGAAGUUCGAUAAAUCUUAAAUGAUUUAUUUAUUUCAGAAAAAUAACCAAAACUUCUAAAAAUCAUAGAAAAUAAUCUAUAACUCAGAUUGAAAAGAUUUAUAUAUGAAAAAUGAUCAGAAAAAUCCAAUCUAUCCAUCUGUACCACUUGCAUGCAUGUUUGAACAACCUAAGGUUGCUGUAUAUGGCAAUUUGCAUAAUUGGCAUUUAAAUAAGCACAUAUGGAGUUUGAAUUUGAACCCUUGGUUCAAACCAACUUCAUUUAAUCUCGUUUCUAGUUGCAUUAGCUCAAACAACAACAUAUUGCCAUGUCAUGAUGAUGCAUCAUAUUGUUGCAUUGCAUUGAUUGUGUUCUUCCAUGUUUGCUGGUAUUUGUCCCCUCUCAGUUGACGAGGUUCGGACGAUGAGUUCGGUGACACUGAUGAAGAGCUAUAUUAUCUUCAGAAGUGCCAGGCAAGCAACACCCCCUUGUUCAUUCCGACACAAUCCCACUCUCUCGCUUCUGCUCUCUUUUACCGCACUAAGACAACAACGCUUCAACUGUUACAUGCUGCGGUAGUUGAACCCCUUUCCUCUGCAUGACCUGUCUUUGCCACAGUAAAUAGAUGAAACCCACUAGCAUGAGUAGGAGUUGUUUGAGCCCUGAUGUGCCUACUCAUUCAUGCUUGUUUGUCAUGCCUGCUACUUCUUAGAGUUGAGUCAGGUCUGAUUCAUCGGGGAUGAAUUGGAAUGUGGUCAACAUGUCUUCCUGUUGAGAGCUAAGUGUGUGAACACGAUUUGGUAAAGGUAGCGGUGAGAGGCCAUGUAGGAGUACAUGGUGGGUUGUCUCAUUGAAACCGUCCUCAGGAACUGAGUUCUGUGUUUGUGAUCCAUGAACAGCUACUACCAUGCAUUGGGCCCUGAAAUAUGACCCCCGCUCGACUUCCUAAACCACACUAGUCCUCUGUCCAGGAAUUGCAAGUAGUUUCUGGUGUUUGUAGUUUACUGGAGGCCGUGGACAGCGCUGACCCGCGGGGUGGGCUGUGAUGCGGUAGGUACGUGGCACGGUGUACCGGACGCCCGUUUGGUGUCUCGGGAACCCUGCACACAUCGUUCGGGGCCGUAUGUGGAAUCCUCGGCCGGGCUCCGUGCGGAUGGAACCUGGAUAGCGAUAAACCUGGACUAGAGACUUGAGUGUUUAGGUAGGUCAUGGUCUACACCCACGUCGGCUUUCGCUUGAAGUCUGCCGAGCACAUUCGUGUGCAGGCGCUAAGUGGUGGAAACAUGUAUGAAGAAGUACACCCCUGCAGGGUUAACAUCAUCUAUUCGAAUAGCCAUGUCCGCGGUAAAGGACUUCUGGGUUGCCUAUAACAGUUCAUAGGCAAGUGAAAGUGGAUACUGUAAAACUCGCAAGAUAAGAGUGAGUGCUAUGGAUGGCCUUCUCGUAGGAGACGGGAGCGGAUCCAUAGUGGUGUAUUGAUAUGGUGAAUAUGUGGACUCGUGUGCGCCACCACAAAAGAGUUACUUGCAGUCAUAGUUUAGGAUAGCCACUGAGUCAAAGCUGGCUUGCUGCAGUUAAACUCCACCACCCCCUUUGUUGAUACCGAUGCAUAUGUAGCUAGUUCUGAUGUAAGUCUUGCUGGGUACAUUUGUACUCACGUUUGCCUAUUUUUAUGUUUUGCAGAGAGACGUCAGUCUCGCUAGUAGUUCCUUGUGGACUUCGACGUUUAGCUUGAUACCUCAGCUACGAUCUUGUGCCCUCGGCAUGGUCUUGUAGAUUGUCAGGCUUCUCGGCCUUCUUCAUUUGUAGUUGUCUGUACCCAGACAUGUUAAGCUUCCGCAUGUUCUUGUUGCUUGUAUGCUCUGCAUGUUGGGGUCAUGAGACCCAUGUUUGUAAUACUUGGCUCCUCGGAGCCUAAUGAAUAAAUACUUGAGUCGUAGAGUUAUGUUGUGAUGCCAUGUUGUAUUUACACAUAUCGAGCAUAUUGUGUGUAUGAUUGAAAUGCUUGGUAUGUGUGGGAUCCGACAACCUAGUUGUUUAUCCUUGGUAGCCUCUCUUACGGGGAAAUGUAGUCUUCUGCUUCCAUGAGCCAUAGUAGUCCGCUACAGCCCGGUUCACCGGAGUCCUGCUAGCCCAGCACUACUGCUCCGGAACAGUUGACUGGCCCGCAUGUGAUUCACUUCGUUCCUGUGUCUGUCUGUUCGGAGAAAUGUCACGCGGUGACAUCCGGAGUCCUGCCUAGCCUGCUACAGCCCGGGUUCCCGGAGUCCUGUUAGCCCAGUGCUACAGCCCGGAUUCACACGCCGCUGACCGACAUGCUCGAUGUUGAUUCAUGUAUGCCUGUCCCCGUAAGUUAGUGCCCCUUUGGGUUCACGACUAGUCAUGUCGGCCCGGGUUCUCUGUCAUAUGGAUGCUAGCUACACUAUCAUAUACGUGAGCCAAAAGGCGCAAACGGUCCCGGGCCAUGGUAAGGCGACACCCGUGGGAAUACCGUGCGUGAGGCCGCAAAGUGAUAUGAGGUGUUACCGGCUAGAUCGAUGUGACUUGGAAUCGGGGUCCUGACAGCGUUGGUAUCAGAGCCUGACUGCCUGUAGGAUUACCAAGCCAAACUGGUCGAAGUUGAGUCUAGAAAUGCUUUAGCUAUAUAAGGGAAUUGAUUGUGGAAGGGAACUUAAGGCUCUUUUUACUCCUUAUACCUUAUGCCCUUCUGAUCUGAGUCAACCUCUUCCUUUCUACGGGGAUUAAGAACUAGGCUUCUCAUCUUUCUAUCAGGAUCACGUGUUACUAAUCCGUAGACUUAUAGGAUUGUUGGUUUCAAGCCCCAGUUCAGUUCCUACUACUACUGUGUGUUGACAGUUAAUCUCAGAACUUUGAUAUUAUGAUGUUGAGAGGUUAUGCCACCAUUUUGCUGGAUGUCUCAAAUCUUUUUGAGCAUUUACAACAGUUAUGCUGUCCGAGUCAUCCCAGGUUUCUAAAUAGUCUGAUGCAUUUGCAAACCCCUUCUUUCCGUCUCCGAUGUUUCUCUGGGCCAGUUUAACCACACUAUUCAGUGAGUUGAGGUACUCUGUUGUCUCAACAUAUAUGUUGGAGCUAUUAUUAUGACCCUAGGUGUCUUAGAGGAUCACCUAAUAAUCUAGCCAUGUUUUGUGUUCCCAGUGUGAUGAUUCUGGCCAUCUUUCUCGAAAGCAUCCCGUGAUGCCAUUUAGUUAGUAGGCAUUCUAUUUCUGGGUUCUUGAACCCAAGAUUCACUCUACUUACCUCAGGUUGAUAGUGUUUGCUCGUUCCUUUAGAAUAUUAGUAACCUUUGUGAUAGUCCUCGAGGUCCGUGGUAUAUCCUUCUUCCAAAUACCAUGAACUACUUAUGGCAGAAGCUCUCCUGAACCAAAAGAUCACAACCAGAGUGCUCUUGAUGAGUUCUCCAUUCUGCAUUGUGAAUCUGCCAGUCCUAUGUUUCUAUAUGGAUUAUCCGGAAGAAAUAUGUUGAGCUUUGUUCGACAUACUAAUCUAUGCAUCCACAACUCAGAAAGUUAUAUGUUCCUUUGAGUUGUCCCUCUUCAGUUGUAUCCCGACCAUCUCCUUUCAAGCGAUAGCCAAGAGUAGUCGUGCACUCGUGUUCAUCGAUGCCUAUUAUUCUUGUGGUCCGACAAGCCAUUCUAUUCUGGAAUGACUAGGAGAAACAAACUCCAGCACCUCAUCCAUUUCUUGGACUGGUCAAAGUAGUUGUAUUUCGCAGAUCAAAAUGCCAAUCCAGCUUUUGCUCUGUUCUACCUCGGAGUAUUACCCCCUUUAUGUCAGUAUUGUCAUGAGAAUUGCACCAUCUCUCAUGAAUUCUUGAUGCAGUGAUACUUCCUGCGAUCAUUUUCCAUUCCUCGGUUCCGUGUUGUUGCAACUGGAAUGCCGACAAGUGAACCAUGAUGUGUGAAACCAAUACUCCUAGCAACCGUGUUGCUUGGUAGUUAAUGGACAUGAAUAUCAUUCUUAGCGUGUUGUUUAUUGAAUCACUAUACUAGGAUUGAUCAUGCUACCUUGUUCUUAUUCUGGUGCACUCCUCGAUCUUUGAGUUCGGAUUGAAUCCCUUGCUUAUUUGAUCAUAUCGUCUUGCUUUGAAAAGCAAGAUUGUUCUCGAGCUUAGUAACAUAUCGGUGGUUCAUGAUGUUCCGAAUAUCUUCUCAGAAGUGUUACCAGGUUGUCACCUGGCCGCUAUGUUGAGUUCGUGAUCAAGUUGGUUUUCUUACAAACCACCCCUUCUCCAAGAAUAUGUGUUGGAUACUCUGAGCUAGUUGGUCAAGCUGAACAAUAAAUUGGAAAUUUUGAAGAUAAAAGCUUGUCUGACCUAGUUCAUGUUAAGGGAUAUCUUUUUGUGUGUGUGUGUUGAAGAAAGAUGAUAUCUUCAUCGAUCGGUCCUCGUGAUCAGUUGUUAGACCUAUUGUCGUAUCAAAACUUUUAUUUGAGUAUGGGUUAUCAUCAAAUCAAAUCAGAACCAACGUUGUUCAUAAUGUUGUCUUACUCUUGGUUGAUCCCUCGAGCAUACACCAUUAUAUCUUUUGGGUCUGACCAAUGCUAUCACUUGUCCACAUAAUUAUGGAAUUCCAUCUAAAUGGAAACCUGGACGAAUUGUUGUUGAGCCCAUCACCAACACUGCUACCUUCUCCAUGAUUCGUGUUGACCAUCCAGCUAGUAUUGGAAAUUUUAUAAGCAUUAUCUUCGUGUUCCAUUCAUGAAGCAUAUGUUGGAUGAAACAAGUGACUUCCUCUAAUUCACGUGCAUUUGAUGUAAGCUGCCGCCGUGAAUUCGAGAAAGCUUGUUUUUGCUUCCUCUGGAAUCAUCCCAAGUUAGUCACGCAUAUGUGCGAAGUACUCUAUGGUUUGAUAGGUUGGCCGCCUCCAUUCUAUAUGUGUUUCCUAGCACACCAAGCCACUGAUUGAUUUGUUCAAGGAGAAGAAGUUCCUUCUUAGGAUCUGGACUUAUGUAAGGGCUUCGAUAUCCUUGAUGAUGGUUCCCAACCAGAGCUCGGUAGUGUUUUGUUGUAAGACUACCAUGUGGUCAUGCUUGUCUGGGACAGCGUGUUCACAGGUUGUAGCAGAACCAGCUCAUUUUUUGGAGCUUGCUAUCGUAGCUCAUCUCCCGAGAAUCUCGCAACAUCAUCUCGUCGGUUUGUGUUGCAAACUUUCUUUUCCAGACACUUUGUCUGAAUUAUCCUGUUACCAACCAGAUUUGAAUCUCAGGCAGAUACGAUGCUUGGAACUUCUUCCAAGACCUUGAUAUAGGUUCCAGUGAAGUGGACGCACCUAGAUGGAAGCACUAUUAUUGUAGUAUCUUGAUUAAGCCAUUUGGUCACAUCCCAUGAGGAUUUCACAUGACUUAUUCUAGAAGUUGUUCCUUAUGGAUUUUGUGCUCCCGAAGUCCGACCUUUACUUGAUGGCGAUGUUGAUGUUUUCUUAAGCAUAACCAUGGUAGCUAGAACAUCAAGGAGAACAUUAGAAGCGGAGUGCUAAAUGUCUCUCGGUCGAUCAUCCAGAUUUGCUUCUUUGGCAUUGCUAAGGAAAAAUCUAAUAAAGUGUUAUCUUCCUUUGCAUCUGCAUUCUCCACCAAUAUCCAUCAUGGUGGUAUGUUGCCAGGAUCCUUGACACGGAUAUUGGUAAAACUUUGAUGAAUAUGGAAAUGCUGAAGUUCUUGAGAGCACGGGCAAGCACCCGGUGUUAUCAUCGGCACUAACUGGGAUUGCUCCCAGUUUCCUCGGUUAUGCUAUAACCUUUCAAACAGUGGAUUAACUCUCUACUGUUGAGCUUCUCCCCAGUUACUAAAAUCAUUCCAGCAUUUGCAUUUUGUUCCCAGCUUGCACCGUCAUUGUGCCGUCCUACUAUGGACUACCCUUCUCAGUAAUUACUGAUCAAGAUCAUCUUCAAGUGGUCCUACCACGGAUUCCAUCCAUUCCCGGUGAUAAGGAAAAAUCGUUCCUUGUGUUUUCUUCAACAAGGUAGUCCACAUCAUCCAUCCUAGUCCGAGUAUGUCAUUCCCUCAAACUCCGUCAAACGAUCAAAUGUGAAUUGCCUCAGGCUGGCAUAAAAAGUCUCAACGAUCUAUGUAUCAAAAGUAAUUCUUUUGCCACUUAAGUGAUGAUUCUACGAGUCACCCUCCCUGAGGUGCCCCAUUAUGGAAUCAUGUCAAUUUCACCUCGCUACUUUGAAACCCUCGUCAAAUUGUUUCUUCCAUCCGUUCCAAGGUGCGUUUUGCCUCUCAGCUCAAGAGAUGUUUCUACGUCUCAUUCUAUGGGUUGAUCCUGUGAUCAUUAAGAUGAUCCAUCAUUGUAGAGUUGUCUCUGUCGUCGUGUUGGAUGAAGAUCUCGAAAGCAAAGACGUCAAUGAAAACAUGAAGCAGUGAUUCAACAUCUUCGAGAAGGGCAGUUGGAUCAUGAAGAUCGUGUUAUUAGCUUUGUGUCUCCUCUGUCUUCCUACCUCACGUCUUGAAUCUCGGGACGAGAUUCUUGUUUAGUGGGGGUGAGUUGUCACAGCCCUAGGUUUGGCCUUUGCUUGCCAUUGCAUAUGCAUCCAUGCAUCAUCUUAAAUUCAAGGAAAUUGAAUUGAGGGAAUUCUCAAGCCUCAAAAAUCUUUUAAAAACAUGAUCAACAUUAAAAUAUUUUCAAAUGAGCCCAACAAAAUGUUCCUGCUAAUCUCUAAAAAUAUUGGAAAGAGCUAAAAUUCAAACCAAUAUUUUUGGAGUCUUAUAAAUAUUUAUUUUGGGCAUUUGAAAUUAAUUGAAUAACUAUUUGAAUUGGAUCUAUAUUUAUUAUAUAAUAAAUAUAUGUUCAAUAAUUUUGGAAAUUGUUGUGUGGCUUUGGAUAAGUCCACUUAGUUAGCACAUUUAUUUUCAUGAAGUUUAAAGUUGAUUUGGUGUUAAAACUAAAUCGCAAACAAACUGCAAAAAAUAGAAAAGAGAAACAAAAAUGUGGCCCGACUUACCGGGUGGCCCAGUUGGCCGACCCAGCCCACCUGGCCUGUGCCAGUCGUCACCCACCUCUGCCAGUAGGCAGAGGAGGGACAGCGCACGGCGCGCGCGGGGGCGCCACGCCACCAGGCUGCCUGCCUGCGCCGCCUGGCCACCGCGACGCUUCGCGUCUUCUCCUCGGCGCUGCCUCGCCCCCCUGGACACCACUCUCCCCCUCGUCCUCUCCCGCUAUGGCCGACGCGCCCGUAAGCCGCCUCCGCCGUAGUCGACGCCACCGCCUCUCCCUAGACCCCUCGCCGUGCCUGCGAGCUCCGCGUCGACGUCCUCGACCUCCUCGCUUCGCCACACGUAGCCGGACGCGCUCCUCUGCCCUCACCGACCUCGUCCCCGACCGCCCGUCGCCGGAGAUCCCCCUCGCCACCCCGCUCAACCCCGACCUCCUUCGAGCUCUCCGUCUGCCCUGACGUGACCGCUGUGAGCUCCUGCCCCUUCUCCCCCUCUCCGUUCUCGCUCUCACACGCCAUAGCCACCGCGCCACUCGCACCCGUACGCGCCGCCGCCCGCGCUCGUCGCCGGUGGUGCUCCGGUGACCAUAUGGUCCCGGGCUUGUGCCCAUUGCACUCCCCGCAUCGCGUAGGCCCGUAGGUGCUAGCGCCGCCCCGCCUAGGCCACUGCAGCAACGAGCCCGAGCUCGACCGAGCUUCGGCCGCCGCCGAGCUCGUCGCCGGCGCCACUCCGGCCACUCCCCGGUCGCGCCACCACCAUGGUUGGAUGCGGACAAGCGUCCGUAUCCCAUAGCUGUGCUCUGCGCGCCAAACGGCGCUCUGUAGGCGAAUCCCGCAGCACACCGCCGCGUCUGGACUCGCCGGCGGCUAAACGUCGGCGACCGCUGACCCGUUGACAGGCGUGGGUUGACUCCACUGCCCGGUUUGACUUCCCCUCUCUCUCACUGACUUGCAGGCCCCGCCCGACUAAUUACUCUAGUUAGCACUAAUUAACUAGUUAGGUUAGUUACUACAGUCACUGACCAGUGGGCCCUACCCAGUUAGUUAGGGCUAACUAACUUAGUUAGUUGACUGGGUCACUGACCAGUGGGUCCCACAGGUCAGGUUUGACCCUGGGCGACCCAGUUGACCUUAUGACAUCACAAUGACAUCAUGCUGACGCUGUAAUUCUUUCUGGAAGUUAAAUAAAUCUUAAAUGAUUUAUUUAUUUCAGAAAAAUAACCAAUACUUCUAAAAAUCAUAGAAAAUAAUGUAUAACUCAGAUUGAAAAGAUUUAUAUAUGAAAAAUGAUCAGAAAAAUCCAAUAUAUCCAUCUGUACCACUUGCAUGCAUGUUUGAACAACCUAAGGUUGCUGUAUGUGGCAAUUUGCAUAAUUGGCAUUUAAAUAAGCACAUAUGGAGUUUGUAUUUGAACCCUUGGUUCAAACCAACUUCAUUUAAUCUGGUUUCUAGUUGCAUUAGCUCAAACCACAACAUAUUGCCAUGUCAUGAUCAUGCAUCAUAUUGUUGCAUUGCAUUGAUUGUGUUCUUCCUUGUUUGCCAGUAUUUGUCCCCUCUCAGUAGACGAGGUUCCGACGAUGAGUUCGAUGACACCGAUGAAGAGCUAUAUUAUCUUCAGAAGUGCCAGGAAAGCAAAACCCCCUUGUUCAUUCCGAUACAAUCCCACUCUCUCGCUUCUGCUCUCAUUUACCGCAUUAAGACAACAACGCUUCAACUGUUGCAUGCUGCGGUAGUUGAACCCCUUUCCUCUGCAUGACCUGUCUUUGCCACAGUAAAUAGAUGAAACCCACUAGCAUGAGUAGGAGUUGUUUGAGCCCUGAUGUGCCUACUCAUUCAUGCUUGUUUGUCAUGCCUGCUACUGCUUAGAGUUGAGUCAGGACUGAUUCAUCGAGGAUGAAUUGGAAUGUGGUGAACAUGUCUUACUGUUGAGAGCUAAGUGUGUGAACACGAUUUGGUAAAGGUAGCGGUGAGAGGCCAUGUAGGAGUACAUGGUGGGUUGUCUCAUUGAAACCGUCCUCAGGAACUGAGUGCAUUCUGUGUUUGUGAUCCAUGAACAGCUACUACCAUGCAUUGGGCCCUGAAAUAUGACCCCGCUCGACUUCUUAACCACACUAGUCCUCUGUCCAGGAGUUGCAAGUAGUUUUUGGUGUUUGUAGUUUACUGGAGGCCGUGGACAGCGCUGAUCCGCGGGGUGGGCUGUGAUGCGGUAGGUACGUGGCACGGUGUACCGGACGCCCGUUUGGUGUCUCGGGAUCCCUGCACACAUUGUUCGGGGCCGUAUGUGGAAACCUCGGCUGGACUCCCUGCGAAUGGAACCUGGAUAGGCGAUAAACCUGGACUAGAGACUUGAGUGUUUAGGUAGGUCGUGGUCUACACCCACGUCGGCUUUCGCUUGAAGUCUGCCGAGCACAUGUCGUGUGCAGACGCUAAGUGGUGGAAACAUGUAUGAAGAAGUACACGCCUGCAGGGUUAACAUCAUCUAUUCGAAUAGCCGUGUCCGCGGUAAAGGACUUCUGGGUUGCCUAUAACAGUUCAUAGACAAGUGAAAGUGGAUACUCUAAAACUCGCAAGAUAAGCGUGAGUGCUAUGGAUGGCGUUCUCGUAGGGAGACGGGAGCAGAUCCAUAGUGGUGUAUUGAUAUGGUGAAUAUGUGGACUCGUGUGCGCCACCACAAAAGAGUUACUUGCAGUCAUAGUUUAGGAUAGCCACUGAGUCAAAGUUGGCUUGCUGCAGUUAAACUCCGCCACCCCCUUUGUUGAUACCGAUGCAUAUGUAGCUAGUUCUGAUGUAAGUCUUGCUGGGUACAUUUGUACUCAUGUUUGCCUAUUUUUAUGUUUUGCAGAGAGACGUCAGUCUCGCUAGUAGUUCUGUGUGGACUUCGACGUUUAGCUUGAUACGUCAGCUACGAUCUUGUGCCCUCGGCGGGGUCUUGUAGAUAGUCAGGCUUCUCAGCCUUCUUCAUUUGUUGUUGUCUGUACCCAGACAUGUUAAGCUUCCGCAUGUGCUUGUUGCUUGUAUGCUCUGCAUGUUGGGGUCAUGAGACCCAUGUUUGUAAUACUUGGCUCCUCGGAGCCUAAUGAAUAAAUACUGGAGUCGUAGAGUUAUGUUGUGAUGCCAUGUUCUAUUUACACAUAUCGAGCAUAUUGUGUGUAUGAUUGAAAUGCUUGGUAUGUGUGGGAUCCGACAACCUAGUUGUUUAUCCUUGGUAGCCUGUCUUAUGGGGAAAUGUAGUCUUCUGCUUCCAUGAGCCAUAGUAGUCCGCUACAGCCCGGUUCACCGGAGUCCUGCUAGCCCAGCACUACUGUUCCGGAACAGUUGACUGGCCCGCAUGUGAUUCACUUCGUUCCUGUGUUUGUCCCUUUGGGGAAAUGUCACGCGGUGACAUCCGGAGUCCUGCCUAGCCUGCUACAGCCCGGGUUCCCGGAAUCCUGUUAGCCCAGUGCUACAACACGGAUUCACACGCUGCUGACCGACAUGCUCGAUGUUGAUUCAUGUAUGCCUGUCCCUGUAAGUUAGUGCCCCUUUGGGUUCACGACUAGUCAUGUCGGCCCGGGUUCUGUGUCAUGUGGAUGCUAGCGACACUAUCAUAUACGUGAGCCAAAAGGCGCAAACGGUCCUAGGCCGUGGUAAGGCCACACCCGUGGGAAUACCGUGCGUGAGGCCGCAAAGUGAUAUGAGGUGUUACCGGCUAGAUCGAUGUGACUUGGAAUCGGGGUCCUGACAGUUCACGAAGUGCAUCCACCUUUUGCCGGGACCCUCUCAACUUUUUAGCACAUGCUAUAUGGGUGAAAUGAUGAUACCAUGCCAACUUUCAACCUUUUCAGAGUUCAUUUGAAAUGCUUUUCAAUUUUAGGGUCUUAUAGCUCAAAAUAAUUAGUAAAUGCAUGAAAAAUAACAAAUGAAGUCAAAAAGGAUUGAAAAAUGAUGAUGUGGCUUUGAAUGGUGCAUUUUGAACACACAAAAAUUCAGGAGUUCAAAUAAGUUUUAAAAAAUGAAAUCCCUUUGUAACAUACGUGUUUCCGUAUGAAAUCCUGAUACUUUCAAAGAGAUUGUCCGUUUUGUACAUGAAGUGCAUCCACCUUUUGCCGGGACCCUCUCAACUUUAUUGCACAUGCUAUGUGGAUGAAAUGAUGAUACCAUGCCAACUUUCAACCUUUUCAGAGUUCAUUUUGAAAUGCUUUUCAAUUUUAGGGUCUUAUAGCUCAAAAUAAUUAGUAAAUGCAUGAAAAAUAAGAAAUGAAGUCAGAAAGGAUUGAAAAUUGAUGAUGUGGCUUUGAAUGGUGCAUUUUGAACACACAAAAAGUCAGGAGUUCAGAUAAGUUUAAAAAAAUGAAAUCCCUUUGUAACAGAGGAGUUUCCGUAUGAAAUCUUGAUACUUCGAAAGAGAUUGUCCGUUUUGUACAUGAAGUGCAUCUAGUUUUUGCCGUAACCCUCUCAACUUUCUUGCACAUGCUAUGUGGGUGAAAUGAUGAUACCAUGCCAAUUUUCAACCUUUUUGGAGUUCAUUUGAAAUGCUUUUCAAUUUCCGGGUCUUAUACCUCAAAAAAGCAGUAAAUGCAUGAAAAAUAAUAAAAUGCAUAAAACUAUAAUAUUUGUUAUGAUCAACUAGCAAACUAAAAUCAAUUAAAAUAUUCUGUUAUGAUGAACUAAAAUAAAACUAUAAUAUUCUUCAAUAGCAAGAAGAAUCAACUAAAAAGCUUUUAUAAAAUUAUAAUAGCAAAAGGAAUCAACUAAAAAGCUUACAUAAACCUCUAGUAUUUUUGAAACUAAAAUUAUAUAAAAUUUAUGCAACUUAUAGUAACAAAGUAUUUUUUGUUCAAAACAUUAAUAGCAAAAAGAAUUAAUAGCAAAAAAAUUAACAAAAUCUGUUUUUUUAUUAAAAUAGAUAUUUAAAAUAACCUAAAAUUACCAAAUUGAGUAUAAUGAUAAAACAUAUUAAUAUUAAAUAGCAGGAAAGGGAAUCACUCAAAAUUCUAUUUUUAUAGUAAAUUUAUUCAUAAAACUAGUGAUUCACAUACAUUUGAAAAAUAAAUUUUAAAACUAAUGGCACUAACAGAACGUUUAUAAUUUUUGUGACCUAAAAGCAAAAAAGAAAUCACCAAAAAACUACAAGUAUUCAGUUUUAAGUAGAAAUAAAAAAAGAAAAAGAAAAAAAGGAAAAAAUGCCACCUACUGGACCUCCACGGCCUGAAUACGACUAGAAACCCUACAAUGGGCCAGGAUUCAGGCCCGCAGAAGGCCAAAUAGGCCCAACAGGCAUGGCAAAGUAGAGAUUAGGCCCGUAAGCCUGUAAUAGAGUGGAGCUCGAGAGGGUGGCGGCAGCAAAGCUUAUAAACCACUCUGAGACCCUCUCAACUAGCGAGGUGGGACUAAACUUCCCACCGCACCGUGCCAGCACAAGGCCUAUGGUCCCGGUUCAUGCCACCAACCGGGACCAUAGGUGGGCAUUCGUACCGGUUCGUGGCACCAACCGGUNNNNNNNNNNAUGGUCCCGGUUUGUGCCACCAACCAGGACCAUAGGCUCAGUUUCCCGCCCUUUGGGCUGCCGAAAAGAGACCUUUGGUCUCGGUCGUGGCACUAACCGGGACGAUAGGUGGGCAUUGGUACCGGUUGGUGCCACGAACCGGUACCAUUGGUUUUGCUAUAUAAGGUAUCACUUGUGAAAAUUUCACGAACUGCUCCCAUUCCCCCCGACGCCGCCAGGCCGUUCCUCGUCGUCGUCGUCGUCGCCGCCCCGAGCCCCUGCCCCGACGCCGUCGCCCCGCCCCUGACCCGCCGUCGACGUCGUCCUCGCCGUCAUCGUCGCCGGCCUCGUCGUCGUCCUCGUCACCGGCCUCGUCGCCGUCCUGCCUCGAGCCCCCAGUGAGCCCCUUCCCAUCCCGAUCUGUGCGCUCCCGCGGCUGCCGCCGCCCCCUGCGCCACGCCUCCGCCCCUGUUUUUGUAUGUUUGUAUGUAUAUGGAUGUAUGUAUGUAUGGAUGGAUAUGCAUGUAUAUGGAUGGAUGUAUGUGUAUGUGUUCAUAGUUUUUUUUGUUCAUAGUUUUUUGUUCAUAGCAUUUUUAGGCUGUAUAGUUUUAUUUUUGUUCAAUGUUUAUGGUUAGAAGAGGAGAGGAAAAACUUGUGUUGCAAAAGUUACAUUUAAGGUUAGUUGAUUUAGUGCAUUUUAGGUGAUUAGUUCUACUGUUAGUGCAUUUAAAGUUAGUUUAUUUUUAGUUGAACUAGUUGAUUAAUUAAUAAAACUACUUUUUUUACUAUAUAUAGAAGUAGUUUAUUUUUAGUAAGUACUACUUUAAAACUAGUUUAUUUUACUAUAGAAGUAGUUUAUUUUUAGCUAGGAAAUUAAUAGAACUAGUUUGUUUUUUUAGUUAAAGCAAUUAUUCCCGCAUCAACGUCGACGAUUCCUAUCCCGCAUCCUCGUCGUCGACUCGGCGGAGGAGGCCGGCUUGAUCAGAGGGGCCAUGUCCGGGACUGGGCUCCGCCGGGCUGGUUUUGGGAGGUGCUACCUUCCGGUGGGCGUAGGUUGGUGAGGAGCCAGCCCGUCGUUGACCCGAUCCUUGUUUGGUGGCGGUCGCGUGGGCCAGUGACGGUGCCGAGGCUUCCGGACACCGCGGAGGUGGUACGUCACCGUGUCAGCGAGGAGGACCAGCACGUCCGUCGCUACAUGGUUGCGUUGGAGGGCAGGUUCGACAAUACCUGGCAGGUUCUUCAGGGAUCUCACUGGAGCUAUGAUCCUAUGAUGAUUCCGUCCCUUUGGGUGUCCACCGCCCGCGCCGAUACCCGUCGGGCGCUACGGUUCUAGCUGUACUAGCGAUGCUAUAUGUAUGAUAGUAUUCGAGGUGUAUUAGUGAUAAUAUUCGACGAUGUACGGACGCAUGGAGAUGAUGUAGUUUUGCUUAUAAUUGAAUGCAUCCUAAUUUGAAUACUACUUUAUUUUGUGAUUUGAUUUUGCUUAUUGAAUGCUCAAAGUGGAAAACUACUCCUACUUUGAAUGCUAAAAUUGGAGAGCACUAUGCAAGGCGUAUGCAUAUGAUUAGUUGAUAGCUUAUAGGGUUUUUGUUUUCGCAGAAAUCUAGGAGCCCCCGGCCCCUCCAUCAUCCCCGCCGUCGUCCCCGUCACCGCCCCCUCCGACAUCGAGGUGAGACCAGCCAAAUCCUCUUUUAGAAAGAUAAUUAAACGAUAUUUCAGGUUGACUUUAAGUCUGUCGAGUCUCCACCAUAUAUGAGAGGACGAAGAAUCCCGACUGUUGUCGUGGGGGUAGCUUCUCCUUCCUUCCCGUGUGCUAGACAAUUUGGUGUAAUGCACUCGAGAAUGAAAGGAGGGAGCUACCAUCACCGACGGUCACAAAUGUCAGAGAGGAAUCAGUGAGGGAGAGUUCUACCAUAUAUAUAUAUAUAUAUAUGAGAGGACGAAGAAUCCCGACUAUUGUCGUGGGGGUCGCUUCUCCUUUGUUCCCGUGUGCUAGACAUUUUGGUGUAAUGCACUUGGGGACAAAUGGAGGAGCGACCAUCACCAACGGUCGAAUGUAUACACCACGUGAGCUGAGAGUUUUCAAGAAAAGACUCGACAAACCGAUAGUCAACCCGUGAUGAAUAAUAAUGAUCUAACUUAGUUUUUUUAGUACAUAUAUUUAAUUUUAGACGUUUAAUAUUUGAAUUAUGAACAUAGGAAAUGUCGUACUCGGACGACGAAAGUAUCCUGGGGGAGUGCGACUGGUGCCACGACGACCGAGGUCAGUGCAACAGUCCUCACCUGGACGAAGAUCGGUGCUUCAGUAUUAAGCUGGAGGAGACCUUCGAUGUUGAAACGGUACGCAACGAUGACAAGUGUUAUUUUUUCAUAAUUAAGCACGACUUCAACUAUUUCAACGUGUACUUUUCAUCUUUUACAAUUCGACUAGCUUAUCCCAUGCCAUGCAAGACGCUACGUCUUGGAGAGGAUGGGUUUUGAAGACCAUGACAGUAUGGAAACAAAGAAAAUUCACCUAAGGACCCAUCAUGAUAUAGAUUUUGAAGUAAAUCUGUAUAAUUCUGAGAGCGUAACCCAUUUUGGUUGCAAAAAUUGGGAAGCAUUUUGCAAGAUGUAUGGUUUUGAUGAGGGUAUGCUUGUCACCAUGGAUCUUGGUGAUCCUGACAUCGAGCAAGACAAUAUGGACAUUUGGGUCCUUGUUGAUACGCCUCCAAUUCUACCGCUAUGUGAGUUUCUCAAACGUAGUUAUUAGCUAAUUUAUAUUGUUCAUUUCAAAAUAGUUGACAGCUUAUUUUCAUUGACAGCUUAUUUUGAUUGUUCAAACAAUGUGCGGAACAUGGUAGACAGAACCUGCUACACCGAUGGCUCUGAGUUAACUUAUAAGGAGAAAACUCAUCUGGUCGGAUUUUGUACUGAUCUUGAGAAUUACAAUAUCUAUUGUAAAACUCCUCCACAUUAUGGUCAAUACGUGCCACUAGUGCACGUGUUGAACUACGGUAACUACUAUGGAGAUACCCUCGUAAGAUUUCUUACUAUUACGACAUCCGUGCAUCUCUUGCAUACUUCUAAAACUAGUACAUCAUUGCUAACUAUGAAGUUAUUACUAUGUUUUUCAACAGAUAAUCCCAGAGGAUUGUGUGCCUCAUUUGAUGUAUCAGAAUGGUAGGCUUGAUGUUUUGAACAUACAACCAGGUAAUCCUACGAAUCUCAACUGUCCAUACCGGAUUUCAAAAAAAGUGGAGACAUGAAAAUCAAAUAAUGGAAAAAAUGUAUGGACAGUGUAUGGACAGGCGCAAGGAGGUUCUUGGAAGCAAAAGGAAGCGAAGCGCAAAAAUUGGAGACAGGAUGAUCUCCAUUCUUCAUAAUGGAGAGUCGGAGUCUAUAUUGUUUUAUGCUAUUUUACCUUAAAGAUGGUAUUUAGGUCCUACCUAAUAUUGAUGAUCAUGUGCUAAGAACAAUUAAGUAGGGUUGGUUCGAUGACUAUGAGGAUGAUGAUCGUAUGACUUGUUAUUAAUAAUGAAUAGAAGUUGUAUGAUGAUGAUUAGUAGGACUUGUUAUUAUGAUGAUGCAUGAUGCGGGCAUGAAGAGUUAUUAUAUAUCAGUGGGUGAAAUGGACAUGGAUUGGAAUGAAGUGAAGGCAACAAGCAUGUGGUGCAUGUCGAAAGUAGUACUAAUCCAAACUUGAUCAAGUUAGGAUUAAUAUUACUUUAGACAUGCACCACAUGUUGCCUUCAUCACUUUAAUCUAAGCCAUGUUUAGGCAUAGCAGUAGCGUUGGUAAAUCAUGCACGGAAAUAAGAGAGGACAGUUCUCUCUGUUAGCUAGCUUACACAUCCUAAAUUACCCCCUAAACCCUCCCCCCUUUCAAAAAAAACAAAAACCCCAGCCACUGAAAUGCUGACGCGUGGAUGCCUUUUGGUCCCGGUUGGUGUCACCAACCGGGACCAAAGGCCCUCCUGCCUGGGCUGGCCGCAGCGGCCACGUGGAGGCCCAUCUGUCCCGGUUCGUGUAAGAACCGGGACUAAAGGGCUAGGGCAUUAGUAACGACCCUUUAGUCCCGGUUCAACAACCGGGACAAAAGGCCCUUACCAACCGGGACAGAUGACCCUUUUUCUACUAGUGUUCAUCUCCAUUGGUCUGGUUCUCCAUGAUAGUAAGCACUACUUCAUCCCACAAAUCAUAUUAAUAGGAUUUCUAAUAACAUAUUUUUGUAUUUCAUGUGCAUGAAUAACUCUCCAGCGUAAUUCCUAUGACAUCAUUCCUUUUUAAUAUUUUUCAAAAAAGAACAUGAAACUAGUAUAUGUUAACUCUUGGGCCAUAUACGUACCACAAACAGAAACAUAUUGACAGUUGACAAGAAUGGAAACAAGUUUAUUGAGGGGGAUAAUAAAAAAAUGGCAGAAACUAUCACACCUUUCCCAAAACUACACAUAUCCUUGGCAUGGACCACAAGAACUCCACUCGAUGGAUCCUUGUAUUUCUUUUCUCUCUUUGUCGUAAAUGAUAUUUCUUCUUUCUUGAACAUCUUGGCCCGACUUCAUACUCACAAAGCAUAAACAAUUAUCUUUGUGAUGUUGGAUAGAGAAUGCAAUUAUUUGGUUCGAAUUUGUGUGUUGCUCUCGCCCUAGUCUGAAACACCCUUGAACUUAUUUUUGAGAAGUGUUUUAUUUUUCAGAUAAAAGGCCCUUGCCAUAUUCUGAUUCCAGGAAGUCACAAGGCCCGAUUUGUGCAACUGAAAUCGAAGAUAAUUUCCAUCCGUUUCUUUGAUGCCUUCUUGCUUGUGAGUUGUGGUAUGCUAUGGCAGAAGUCUGGGUCCUGCCGGAGAGUGGUUAUUGCAUUCACUUGAACCCCUCCCAGACAUACAUCGAACGUGCCAUGCUGCUGCUGACCUUAUGGCGCUGUUGGCACGUCUGCAAUGAAGUGAUUCAUCACACACCACUACCCCUGGCGGAAGCAUCUAAGAGAUUUCUGGUAAGCUAACUGGACUCUAUCAUUGGGCUCAAAACUGAAUUGUGUGACGAUCCUUGCAAAGGUAAAUCUAUCAUCACGUAUCACCAAACAGUGAGAACAACAACGACAGGUCAGGUGGAUAGAUGGAGUUCGCCCCCUGCUGGGUGAGUGAAAUUAGACACUGACAGGUCCUAUAGGCGAUGAUUGUGCCGCUGGAGCGGGAAUGAUCUUACCGAAUGAUAAUGGUGCUAUCAUUUUUUCGGCAUGUAGGGCACUGUUUUCAUGUCGAGAAGCAUUGGAGGCGGAACUCUGCGCGUGUAUGGAAGGACUCUCAUUUCAAUCGAGAGAAGUGAAUUGCCAAUUAUUGUGCAGAUGGACUCCAUGGUAGUUGUGAAGCUGAUUCAGUCGCAUGAGAUAAACAGGUCUUUAUACUCUUCCAUUGUAAGAAAGAUUAGGCACUUGAUGAGCCUUCGUAGAACUUGUAUUACUCUUGUCGACUGCACUCGAAAUAAGGUUAGUGAUAAUCUAGCUAAGUUUGCAAGGGUUGAAGGAAGAACUAUGACCUGGAUUGCUUCAGGACCUUCAGCUUCUUUAGAGCUAGCUCAUGCAGAUUGUAAUGACCAUGAUAUUUGAGUAAUGCAACUUUUUACCCGCAAAAAAAUGGAAAAAGUAUAGGUAACCUAUGCACCAGAACAUUUGUUGAGAAAAGAACAAAAAAGCAAAAAACAGCAACACUGCCCGUGGUUUUGCUUUCUUCCCAUGGACCGACGGCAGAAGCAGAGGCAUUGACAUGCACAAAAUUAAUACUGGAGAUUUAGAAAUUAAAGAGUAGUAUCAAGUAGCGCAUGAACACAACCACGGGCACAAGCAGACACCAAAAUACAUGCACAAAAUUAAUACUGUAGAUUCAGAAAUUAUGAGUAGAAAUUAAGUAGCGCAUGAACAGAAUCCAAAAUCAAGCACGGGGACCACAAGACUUCCACUCCUUCCCUCGACCCCUCUCCCCCUAUAAAAGCCGCCUUGCAUCCUCCAGCCCUUCGCACAAAGCUCCUCUGAAAUCCACAUUUUGGUUCUGUUCUGCCUUGCGGCGAGGAAGUCAUUGUAAGAGGUGGGGAAGGAGGCAUCUAAUCUAAUUGAGGUUUUGGGUUCUAUUCUUAAUAAGAUGUCUGUGGGGUUUGUGUUGGUUAGUCCCCUUGUUUCUUAAUCAGUGUUUUCUUGAUGGCGUUUGAUUUGCCAGGUGGGACGAAGGAGUUCGGAAAACAACGGCCUCCAUGGGUGGGGACAAAAGGCAGAUGAUGGAGGACGCGGCGGAGGACAAGUUCCCGGAGGGGUUACGAGUCCUCGCCGUGGACGACGACUGCGUCUGCCUCAAGGUCCUAGAGAACCUCUUGCGCGGCUGCAAAUACCACGGUGAGUCUCUUGAAUCUUGAUCCCUUGUGAUGUUUUUGAUAUAUGAAUGCUCUUUGCGAUUAGAAUAAUGCUUUCUUUUUGUGCGCCAAAGUCCAUUAGAAUCGGAGCCUUGUGAUCUUUUUGUUUCUCUGCAAAUAAUGCUUUCUGCGAUGCAGCAACGACUGUGACGGAUGCCAAGACAGGGCUGAAGAUUCUCAGGGCGGGGAAGGAGAAGUUCGACGUCGUCAUCACCGACGUGCGCAUGCAGGACAUGGACGGCUUCAAGCUCCUUGAGCGCAUCCGCCUCGAGAUGGAUCUGCCCGUCAUCAGUACGUUCACUGCUCAAUUCUAAGUCCUAGUUUUAUUUUUGUGUGUAUGAGCUGACAAUUCUCUUUGAGAACGUACUUCUAAUCCUGAAUCUUGGAUAUACACUGAGAGGACAUUCAUUCCUUCGGGCAGCACGUGAGAUCCUAUAUAUUCAGCACGAUCUUAGGAAACCAAAUGCACAUGCACGCCACACUCACCGUAUUUUUAUCUUUGGGGAAAUCGAAAGAGUGGGAUCCCCUUUCAGCCCGAACCAACGGGAUCCCAUCUAACCGUUCAUCUGUCCGAUCGGAUGGCCAGUGGGCCGGGUAGUAGAGCGGAAGUGAAUCGACACAUUAGUGAAUUAGGAGGGUGCCGGAUCGCAGGAUCCCUAGUGGUAUCGGUUCCUUGCCGAACCAAGGGGAUCCUACCUAAUUGUUCAUCCAUCGAUCGAAUGGCUAGUGGGGGCCGGGGAAUGGAAGUGGACAGGGUAGGAUGUGAAUUAAGAAAUCCAAUUAACUAUUGACUUAAAUAAUUGUGUUAAUUGUCUUUAGUAUGCUAGAGAUAUGGUCAUGUGUACCAUAUAUAAUUAGAAGGAGGCAACAAGAUGUUUUUUCCCCUAUAGGAACCGGUUCUAUUUUCGAUCAAUUGAUGUCCCAAUUGCAUUAAAACAUGUCGUCUAGAUUCAAUAUAAAUUUGUUUUAGAACUUCAAUACAUAAUGCCUGAAGUGUAGAAUUCAAUACCAUCCAUACAAUAUAUAUGGUAAUCUAGCUUAGUGGGAGUAUGUGUCACUCCUAUGCAAUGUAGACCCACUACGUAUGUGUUCGGCAUGGGUGCAUUGAUGGACGUAGUUUAAUUUUGUAUGCUCUCAUUUGUAAAAAUCUAGUCGUAAGAACCAACACUAUAAUAUAUUUAUAUUUUGUGAUAUGACCAAUUUAUAUUUAGUAGUUUUCUAAACAAAUAUUAAAUGUCUAGUCAUUGCAAUCACACAAAGUAUAGAACUGCACCACACCUGUUUGCUAGGGUGGCAUGAGUAAUACAAUUGGGAAACCACUUAUGUUGUAUCUACGUUAUUAAAGGAUUACCCAUCUAUAAUCUGCUUGAGAUUCUUAGUUAAAACUACUUACUCCUGAGAAUACCUUAUAUAUUAAAGUAGGAGUGCUACUUUUAAGCAGAUAUGUUGAGUAGGUUAACCAUGUCUAGUAUCUACAAUCGUGCAGCUUUGAUGACUUUGAACUAGCACACUAAUUUGUAGUCACAUUAUUUUUGGUGGAGAUUGCAACCAAAAAUACUUAUUAUCCUACAUUGUAAUAAAAUACUUCAGAUAAUGGCGCUACUAUGUGCAUGAUUGCUUAACAAGCUCAAAACAUUGCUGGGGCCGAUCACUUUUAUCUAGUGCGCUAGAGAAACAUGGUAAACCACCAAUAAUAGUAAUUGAUCUUCAGGUUCACCAGUACUUAAUUGUGAUGAUCAGAUUUACCUAGUAAUAAUAUGGUGUUAUGAUGGGUUAGCCAUUGUGUCAUGGUUAUUUUUCUAUCGAUUAUUUAUCUUUCGUAUUAUUAAUUGAAUCUGUGAAUGUUUUUCCUUUUAGUUUGCGUUGGAAAGAAAAUUAUAUCAUUGUCAUGAUAAUUUGAAAAUCAUGUGUAAAACAUGUUUGCUUCCCCACUUGCUCGACGCAUUUGGAAAAUAUUGAAUUCUGUUUUCUGUCUAUAAGCACUAGUAUAAAAUUUUAUGUCCAGUUCAUAGAUUUUUGUGAAGUACUGAACUCCAAAGCUAAGUUAGGUCAUAUGGCAUGCAGUGCUAUCCGAAGAUUGCGACAAGAAGGCUGUGAUGAAGGGGAUAAAUCAUGGGGCGUGUGACUAUUUGGUGAAGCCAAUGCAUACCAACGAGCUAAAAAACAUAUGGCAGCAUGUUCGAAGCAAGAGAAAAUCCGAAGCAAUAAGGCACAUCAGCGGUGAUGAUGAUGACGAUCAGAGAGCACAGCUUGGGACUGCUGCCAAGAGCAAUGAUGGAGCUAAUACUGAUGAGAACAAAGAGAACACACAGGCAUCCACUACCCCGAAGAAGCCAAGAGUGCGAUGGACAAUUGAGAUGCAUACAAAGUUUAUGGAAGCUAUCAACCAGAUCGGCCUUGAUAGUAAGACACACAUUAUGUCCUUAUUAAAUGAAAAAACAUUUGUUGCUAUUUGGGAUUUUUCAUUAACAAAUUUCUGAUUACGUUACUCUAGGGGCUACUCCAAAAAAGAUUAUGGAGAUGAUGAAUGUCGAUUGCCUCACUAGGCAAAACGUAUCGAGUCAUCUACAGGUUUAUUUUCGACCCUCGUUCUUUAUUUUUCACAUGUUUGUGUUCCAUUUAUUCAUAGUCUAACAUUUUGUCGUAUAUAAGUGCGAGCUUUUAUUUUUGGGGUAACAUAUCGGUCAAAGGUUUAGUAAUGCACCUAGCAUGAAAACGUGUGUAACUUUAAUCAUGUUUGUCCUUGAAAAUGUAAGGCUUAUCUUAUAUAAAGGAUGCCCCAUACUUUUUUAUAACCCAUGCAACACUUCCUGUUAUUUUUCUUCCCACAUGUCUACCAUUACUAUCUCCCAUGAGCGUGCAUCUCACAUACACUUUUAUUUUCUCUAUUAUUAUUUCAGAAGUAUAAAUUGUACUUGAAAAGAGUCAACCCAAACCCACUUGGUGAUGCAUGUGUAAGAUGGAACGAUUUCAUGAACAUUCAGGAGAGUUUUAUGCAUAACCAUGAACAUGAAAGGUGGGGUGUGUCCUCAGGUCGCAUCGCCUCCUGGAGUCCCAACCAUUACGGUGAAGCGGGUCACUUAGGUCAGCAUAGAAACACCCAGAGCAGUAUGUCCAUGGGUUCAUUAAUCAAUGGUGCUAGAAUGCCGGUGUAUUUGGUUCCACAGACACCCUAUAUGGGAAGAUUUUCUGGCUUCAAUGAGCACAUAGUUCCAUUCAUCAUACCUGGCAACCCAAGCUCUAUACUGAUAUUGAAUGCAAAUGACAAUGUUCCAAUGGCAGCACCUCAGUUCGUUUACAGUGACCCCAUCACUACCUUAGUGGCAGGCUUCAGUGAGCAGAUGGCGCCAUUCAACAUAGAAAGCAACAUGGGCUCGGUUGGAAUGAUGUUAAAUGGCAAGUCUACACAUGGUACAGGAAGAACAUCAGUGGGAGAGGCUGCUAUGGUUAACUACGGAAGAACUAGUUCUGCACUUUCCAACCAUCAAACAGAUGGUUUCGUCCCAUUGACCGAGAUGCAUGAUGUCGGUUAUGCAUCUGGCAUUCUCCAUGUGCAAGAAGGAACAAUGGAUCAGCAAGUGCUUGGUGGUCAACUGAAUGGCAUCAAUGCCUUGUCAUCGGGUGGUAUUUCCAACCUUCUCAAUGAAGUAAGAACUUUUCUCGUUGACAUGUAUGUAGUCUAUGCAUAUGAAACUUUGAACUGAAAAGGUGUAUUUAAAUCAAACUAUCUUUCUCGCUAUAGGAUUUCAUUGGAGAGGAUGCUGUCAUGGAUGGAUAAUGACACUUAUGUUGGUUAACCUAACCUACACGCGAGAUUUUUUCGCAUGUUUGUUGGGAACUUUUAAUUGGCCAUUCCCUUGUUCUUGCACACUGUACCUUGAAACUAUGUGAAUUAUUGUAGUCUAGUUAGAAGUACAGUCGUGUCGGGGCUUCUAUUUUACUCUAGCUUUUUAAUAAGUCUGUUGUCUUUUGAGAACAAAAUGAUGUUCGGUUAUGUUAUUUCUGAUGUAACCAUUAAUUAUUGUUCUAUGUAUUAUCAAUGUGAUGUUGCAUCUUUUCCUGAGAAAACAUUUCAAGGUAAAAACAUG
rnacentral:lncRNA from 1 species